rnacentral:lncRNA from 1 species
AAAAAAAAAAAAAAAAAAAACUAAAGAUAAUAUGCUCUCAAGUCAACCUCACCUCAUCAUUUGGUCUUGCUUCUUCCAAACACCACCUCAUUUCCCACUUUCUUUUCUUUUACCAAUUUUAAUUAUGGGGUUUGUGUUUGCGUUUGUGUGUGUAUAUAAUAAGAGGUGGUGGGUUUGUUCCAAUUCUUGACCAUAUGGUAUUAAACAUGAAGGUUCAUCAGUUUGCACGUGGAUUUUGGGACGAACCCUCUCUCUCCCUUGGCUGUAAACGCUUACGCCCUCUUGCUCCUAAACUUCAACAACCCACCUCCGAUAACACAACCACCACCACCACCACCCUCACCACUUUCGAUCUCAAGACCUUCAUCAAACCCGAUUGUGGUCCUCGCAAACCAGGUUCCUCCCAUGAUCACAGCAAAGACUCUUCCUCCUCUUCCUCUUCCCUCCAGGUAACUAAUUAACAACUACUGUUCUUUUAAUUACAAUACUUAGAAUAUCUAAAAAAAAAAAACCCUUGUUUUGUACAGACAGGGGUGGAAACGCAUCCUGGAGGGACACGGUGGAAUCCAACUCAAGAACAAAUUGGGAUAUUGGAGAUGCUUUAUAGCAGAGGAAUGAGGACUCCCAAUGCCCAACAAAUCGAACACAUCACUGCACAACUUGGCAACUACGGAAAGAUUGAAGGCAAGAAUGUUUUUUAUUGGUUUCAAAAUCAUAAAGCCCGUGAACGACAGAAACAGAAACGCAACAGUCUUGGUCUUCCACACUCUCCAAGAACUCCUCCCCCUCCUCCCAUCAUUCCCGCCUUCCACACGGUACGUUUCCGAAAUAAUCUGCAUGUCUUCUAAUAAUCAUUAUCCCUGCUUCCGUAUAAAUUAAUCAUAACACGAGGAAUAUAAAUUAAUUUGCAGGGAGAGGAAGACAGCCCGUACAAGAGGAAGUGCUUGUAUUGGGGUUUUGAGUGUUUGGUAGAAGAUAAUGGUUUAAUGUGUAAAAAGGAGGAAGAUCAUGAUAGGACUUUGGAGUUAUUCCCCUUGCACCCAGAACGCUGAUGAUCCAAUUUUUUUGAAAUUCAAAAAAAAAAGAAAAAAAAAAUUGCAUCUUUUGCUAUGAUCAUAAGUUGUUAUGAAUUCUCUUUCUCUUUUUCUUUUUCUUUUUUCCUCUCGUUUUCGAGAAAAAAAAAAAAAGAGAAAAAAGAGAAAAGAAAGGUCGAAGAAUAACAACUACCACUUCUCUUCUUUGUACUCAUGUAUGACGUACUGCCAAUUUUCUUAUGUGAAAGAAAGCGAAGGAUAAAUCCUGAUUUCUUUUCCUUUUAACAAAACUUCCUUUAGUUUUAUGUUAGUAAGAAAAACGGUUCCUUUUUUGAGAAACACUUUGUUAAAAUGGAAGGCUUUUUUAGGUUAAAAGUGAGGGAGAAGCUAUAUUGGACACUGAAGUCCACAAGGGGCUACCUUCCUUCUUGUUUCUUAUCCUUUUUCUUGGAUUUCAAACUCUUCUUCCACUUUUUUCCAAUAACUAUUAUAAAUAAAUUUCCAAACGUUAACAAAAUUUGACUACUUACGGCAGACUUUCAUAAAGUGCCAUAUCAACCCAAUCUAAGGACAUGAAUUUUCAACUUUAUUUUCUACCAAAAAAAUAAAAAAAAAACGUUGAAGGACUGUUGUUAAAUUGUGACAUGCAUGUAUUUUAAUGAGAGAAUCGAAGUGGAAAGUGGGGGCCAAUCGUCUUGGAGGGAAAAGUUGAAUCACUAAAUUUGAAAGAAAAAAAAGUUGAAAAAGAAAAUAUUAAUGUGAUUUGUUAGUGUCCAUUAAUUUCAAAUAUGAUGAUGAUGAUUAUGGAAAUAUGGAAAAUAGGGGUAGCUAUGACUUCUUAAAUAAUUGUCAAAUUUAUCUUUGUCUAUUAGCAUAAUUGACAAUCUGUUUCACAAUGAUGAUGAUGGGAAAUUUUUUGCUAAAUAAAAACAAAACAUUCUAAUUUUUGUAAUCUCUGUAUUCUUCUGUAGCACUGUCCAUUUUCAAAUAAAGAGAUUAGAUAUGUGUCUUGUAUUUCAGAAGAGUACCAUCGUUGUUUUUGCUUUAUUUACUUGCCACGUGUUUGUGUUAUAUAUGUUUCAUAGUUUUCUUAAACUGUAUAAUAUAUACUUCGAUCUUAGCUUCUUUCUAUCUUUUUUCAACUCAUAUUCGUUCAAUUACUGCUUGUAAAGUGAUAAAAAGUAAUUGUUUUCUAAUUUUAUAUGACGUCUGGUUGAUAUAAGCUGCAAAGAGAUAAACGUAGUUGGAAGUGCAACAACUGAAAAAACUAACUAGUCCACUAAUUUGGUUUGGUUAAUUUUCUUUAUAGAAUAAAACCUCUUCAUUUGAAGGGAGAAAAUUGUGAAGUGUUUAUUUGGAUCUGUUCUUUCAAGGGUGUAGUACAUAUUUGUUGUUCAGAAAAAUUAUUAUAAUACAUGUAUAUGUAUGCAUGUUAUUCAGAAAACCCAUUAGAGAAAUAAAAAUGUCCAAUUUUAAUUUAUAAAGAACAAUGGCAAAGUUAAAAUAAAUUUUUGUAACAAAAAUACCCAAAACUGGUAACUAAACCGACUGUAAUCUGAAUUAAUUGAUUAAACAUUGAUCCAGUAGAUGUUUUUUUAUUGAACAUCGUUUUAAUUUCCUUGUUUGCAUAAAAUUAAUUUGUUUGGUUUGAUUUAUGGUUAGUCCAAUAAUUGAAAAAACUGAACUGAUUUUCACUCCAAGUGUACUGCAAGAUAUACAAUGAAGUGUAAUUCAUUUGGUAUUAUUAGGAAAUUUGUUUUGUUCUCUUCCUGUGCACUGAAGUAUAUUAUUCAUAGAUUAACAGUUUAUUCUUCUCUCUUCAAAGAAAACAAACUGUAAACUUGGGAACAGAUGAUCUUCAUAAAAAUUAUGUUUUAAUAAAGUUUACCGGAUGAAUGAAUUGUUAUUUUUUUAUCAUUUUGGGAAGAACUACAUAUUUAAAGUGUGUUUAGUAACCUGUCAAAUUUUCAUUAUUAUGAUUCAAAAUACGUUUUAAUCUUAGUUAAUAAAUACCAUUUAAAAAUAUUGGAACAAUUUAAACACUCUUUGAAAGUUCCAUAUCAGAGAUGAUUUCUUUUAAUGUGGUGUAACCAAACUAAUUACUUUUUCUUCAAAUUUGAACAUAUUUAACUCAAAGUCAAAAUCAACUUAACUUUUAAAUAUUGUUAUUGUGCUUAUAAUAUCAACCUCAACCCUUCAUUCAAAAGCUUCCAUUUUUCUCACUAUAAAAUUCAUGUAUUCAACUCAAAUGCUAUUGAAAAAUAUAUAUAUAAAUAAAAUGCAUCUUUAUUUUUCUUCUUCUAAAUUUUAUUAAAUUCAAGUGAGAAAUUAUAGUUAAAAUAAGUAUCAACUUUACGAUUUAACAUAACGAAUUUGAUUUAAGUCGGUGUAUGUCAUAAUCUAUACUAUACAUUAUUAUAUAUAAAAUAAAAAGAAAGAAAAAAGCUAUCCUUUUACGUAUAAUAAGCUACUUUUAUGCAUGCAUGACGCAUUAAUUAAUAGUUAGAUGGUUUUUUUUAUGAUUAAUAGAAGCUUUUUUUUCUUUAAUAUUAAAAAAGAUAAUUAAGAUGAGAUUUUGAAAUGAUUAUCUAGGGGUAUUUUUUCUUAAUUAGACGCAUUUGAGAAAGAAAAAUAGAACCAGCUGUGUAACAAAUGUAAUGAUUACAAGAGGAAGGACUUUAGCUUUGAUUAUUUAAUAUAUAAUAGGAAGAAUAAAGAUACUUUAGCCAAUUGAUCAAUCAAGUAGAUCGUGCUAGAUUCUUGUGGGUCACUUCUUUAAUCUCAUUUUCACAUCUUAACAAACUUUUAAACUCUUAUAUUAUCUUCUUCUCCAUUUUAACUUUCACACCUCCAACCAAAUCUAACUACUUAAUAUUUUACAUUAUUAUUAUUUUUGUUACGAUAAAUAGCUCUAAAGAAAUAUGUUCGAUUGUAUGGUUGUUUAGGGUUAAGUAAUAGUUAUUACAAAUUUUCUCAUGUAGUGAUUUAAACAUUAGUACAAUCUCUUUACAUAAGUGUUAUACGAGAAUGUUUGGUUCUACGUGAAAAAAAUGUUUUAAGAGUUUAAUUGUUAGAAAAAUAAUGCUAUUACAUAUAAAUAUGUAGAAGUAUAAUAAUAAUUGUAUAUUUCAUAUCAACUUAAUAAUUAGUAAUUAAGCUCAAUUUACUAAAAUACAAAUUGAAGAUAGAGAUGUUGUUGCAAACUUAAAAUAUAUGUAAGAGAUAUUUUAGAUAACAUGUUUAAUUAAUUCUUAUUUUUCUUGGUAUGCAUCAUAGUUUUAUGAUCUUAAAAGCCUUUUCUUAAUUGUUAUGGGAAAACCUUUAUGAGUGGUUGAAUUUUGUUUAUGGUAGGCCAAAUAAUCCACCUUUGCUCUUUUCAUUUUCCUUCUGUUUUUCAAAAUAAUAAUGGUAAAAAAAGGGACAAACAAAUGGAAAAAAAUAAUAAUAGGAAUGAGCCCUAAUUAAAAAAUUGUUAAGGAGGUUAUUUAAAAGCAACUUUUAAUAUACUUUGGUCAUGAUUGGAACACAAACUUUAAUAUGUUGGUCUAUUUUAUUUAGAUAUAAGUAGUCUUUUCAUAUCCUUUAAAUAUAUUUGCUAUAUAUCAAUCUGCUAUGUCUAAAUACACUUUAACUAUGAAGCUUACAAAUUAAUAUUUCAGGUAAACUUCUAAUUUCAUUGACUAAAUUUCAUGUUUAAGCAACUUAUCUAACUCUUGCUCUUCAUUUAGUUCAUGCACAAUAUCAACAAUAAUAAUUAAAAAAAAAAACAUAAUUUUCUUUGAGGUAUUAAAAAUGGGAGUUAAUCAUAUGUUUUACAAUUUAGAAGAAUAUUAUUUUUAACAUAAUUCUCAAUUGAUAGCUCAUUUAGAAUGUAAAAGUUGCAUUUACUCAAAGUUAUUAAAAGUAGAAGUAGUUUGUGAAAAGAGUGAAGAAAAGGGGCAUGCCUUUAAAUGAAGGCCGAUGUUGAAUUUCAGUGGUUGGGCCCAAAUUCUCAUGGAUCUUUAAAGCCCAUUUCGAUUAGCACACCCAACUCAUUCCACAAAUUAAAAGGAAAUAUGGUUAUACAAUGUAAAAGCAUUGACUGAAUCCUUCUUUACUUCACUAAGUGACAAGCACAUUACCACUGUGCUAUGUGCUAUGUAUAUAUUAUCUUUGUUGGGUGUGUUCUUAUCUUCUAGAUCUUCCCCCUUGUGUUGACUAAUAUAACUCUUUUUUUUUCUUUACUUGUUUAUCUCAUGUACUUGAAUGUUGUAUAAAAUAUGAAACCCGAAGAGUCAUUUAUGUUGGUGUCUCUUCCGUAGGACUGUGUCGUUGCCAAAUUAUUGGGGACUGGGGAGGAGAUAUUUUUUUGGCUGCUUGCGAUAUCUUAUUUGAGUCUAAAUUAUAAUUUAACCAUCUGAUUUGACUCGACAAACUCUCCUAUACGAGGCGUUCAAUUUUCAUUGUUUAUAAUAUUCAUCCUGGUCCUACGUUCAUUGACAAAACAUUUUGAUAAUUGAUAUAUGACAUGGUGGCUUAUUUAUUUAUUUUUAGUUCUGGGUAUCUAGCUUCCUUACUAGAUUGUCUGAUAAUUGUGUUUUUUUUUUUAAUCAGACGUGGUAUUAUGUACAAUCGAAUUUUCCCAGAUGUGUUUUUUUUGUUUGGGCAAAGCAAUUGAUCUGUAAACGUUCUACCAUACACUUUAUAGUCUUUUGGCAUCGUUCUACUCUAUAUUGCAAGAUUGUUAUAGAUAAUUCAGCCGUGUUAAUGAAUAUGGUUUUGUUUAAAGACGUAUGUUGAGAAUAAAGAAUCUGCACAAAAUGCAGUAGGUAAGCUAAUGGAAUGCUGAUCAAUUACUAACAAAUCUGGACUUGGAUACUUUACUUGUGGAGGUCGAAGUGUUUUGGUUUUGUUAACUUAGAAAACGUACAUGAUUCUGUGAAAGCAAUAACUGAUGUACUUGAAUAAUAAAUAGUUUGAUUGCAAGAAGAGAUAGGUUGAAAAGCUAUGGAAUUUUUUAAGGGAGCCGAAAGUUCAAGAGCUGGUUGAGCGUAGUAUAGAUGAUUUACUUGCUCCGGAUAUAAGUCUAGUUGAUAGCAUUGAUGAUUACAAAUUUACCGUAGUGUUAUACGAGUUGCCACAAUUUCCUCGUACUACGUUUCUUAUUAUUGGAGUAGUAAUAGACAAAUUUUCCAUCUGAACUUCUGUUAAAUUUACAGAAUAUGGUCCAAAUGUACCCUUAUGUAUUUGUUCUCUGAUCUAUUUUAAUGUCUUGGGUUGUGAUCCUAUGGUUCUAAUAAUUUGAUAUUACUCAUGCACUUUUGUAUGCAAAAUUUGUUUCAUACACAAGGAAUGUAACUCUUAUUCAUUGAUUGGAUCUGUUGGCUCUAAUUGUCUCUCUUUUAGUGCGGAGUAUAUUUCAUGGAGAUUACUCAAUUGGCAAGACAAAAAUAUUAAGAUUCAUUGUAAAGGAAACUGACCAUCUCCUUAAUGAUAGAUAUAGUUCUCAUCUUCCAUAGUUUUUCUUUUUCUAUGUAGAGCCAUUAACAAUUGGAUUUUUUCGAAAAAAAAUUGGAGCAAUCAUAUACAACUUCCAGGCUGCCGGCUCAAUGGUUGGUUGUCUCACUUUCCUGUGUAUGUUUUGGAUGUUCUCUAUAUACUACUACUCGAAAUUUCAGGUAAAAUUAUAGCUCUCUUCCAUUCAUCAAACUACUGUUAUGAAUAAACACUUGAAUAUGUAUGCAUUUUUCAAUAGAACUAUGUGUACUAUCACCGAGUUUUUUACAUUGUCUUCUCACAAAUCUGAAAAUAAAUGUUUAUCUUAUCAUUUUGUGUGCUUUCAUAGUUUGUGAAACGGAAUGAAUGAAGUCUUCUGGUUAAAUAUUUGCAAUACAUACCUUUUCUAGAUGCUUGUGACCAUGGAGUGAGUGUGUUGUAACUUAAAAAUGCAGCUCUUUUGAUAUCAAUUCAGUAAUGAUUCUUCCUAACAUUUUUGCUCAUUGAUAAAUCUUUUUCGUAACCCUUGGCUUAGAUUUGGAUGGUGGCUUAUCCCCCACUUUAGAUUUGGAUGGUCUCCUUUGGUACUUUACUGUAAGAAACAAAAAUAAAAUUUCUCUUGACUCAGCCUGAAAUUUUUUCUCAUUACUGUGUGGAUAUGACUGAUACCGAUAAUCUUGGCAAUCACGAUGGUGGUAGAAGGGUCAACCUCAGAUGCUUUGAGGGUUAGGGCGACUCGAAUCAUGGGCCCGGGAUAACCAAAUAUCAUAGAGAUUGUUAGUUAUCCCACUAGUUUAACUGAGAUCCAUGCCAACGAAUUGACAUAAUACGUUUUGUAAAUUUCCCCAUUGGAAUCCUAGAUCGUCUCUCCCAUGUCCUUUUCCUUUAUGGAUAUAUGGGUGCAUGAUUUCUCCGGCAGGUAUUUGGUGAUAUUCUGGUGCUCCCUCCCUGGGUUGAGGAUUGCUAUUUUUUGCUUUUUUAUUUGAUGGGUUGAUAAUGAUUUGUGCUGUAAUUCUGAGCAUUAACAUGGAGUGUAUAGCAAAGAACGACCAUUCUAAAUGGUCGAAAAGUAGGUAGUAGAAGGAAGAUGCAAAGACAACAAGUUAGAAAAAGAACUUCCCCGCUAUGUGGUCUGAUAAGGCUUUUACCAUGAACUACUGUGUCACCUGAGAUUUGAAGACACUUCGGAGGGUAUUUAACGAGUGUUUUUGAGAUUCCGUAUGACAUCUCAGCUGUUCAAUUAGCUUCCGUUGAAGGGGCUGGUCGCAUGAACGUUAUGUGGCUGCUUGGAAAAUUCAACGUUCAUUGGUCUUGCAUUUUGGAGACAGCUAGAUUUAUCAUCAUGGCGUAGAAGAGUAAGACAGUUUGGAAUAUAUAUAUAUAUAUCCUAGGGUGUGCAUUUUUUCAUAUUGACCCUGUACAUUUCAUUAGUUUGCUUUUACAUGGAACCUCAAAGUCUAGGACACAUUUCUUUGUCCUGUAAUUUCCAAUGUCCAGCCGACACCUAGGAAACAUCAUUUACCUUCUAACACGUGGAUUGUGAUGAAAGUGGACACAAUUAAAAUAAAGAAAACGGUUUGAUGUUUAUCUUAUCAGACCCACGUCUCUGUUUGUGAAACCUCUUUGAAAUUGCAUCUGUUUUCCCUGGCCUUUUCACAAUUUCCAUCCUAACUAUUUGAUUACCUUCUUCUCUUCAAUGAUUUGAGUGCCGGUGGCUUCCCACGUGUGAGGCUUAAGCUGCGAGCAAAUACCUUUCUUAUGAACGAGGACUUUGAAUAGGUAACAAAUCCAACUUAUGGAUCAAGUUUACUGGUAAUUUUUUAAGACAACUCAAACAAGUUAGUUGGUGGGCUUAAAAUCUUGAGCUCAUUUUUAAGAUCCACCCAAUAAUUUUUACCAUUCUUUGGUUCUGAUGUGAAGAUUUACUGACUGAAUUUUUUCCCAAUAAUGUAAUAUUUGCAGUAUGUUUUUUUCUUUAUGAGGGUAGAAGUGUGGAUAGUAGAGGAAUUCUAAAUGUAGACUGAAUCAAUUAGAUACUGUUAGUUGGUAGUAAAUUAAUAUCAAACCUACCUGUUUCGUAUUUUCAAUCUGCAGGUUUAAACACCAGGAUGAGGCCUAUUUAUUUAAUUAAUGGGCAAGUGGAAGAGUGACAUUUUAAAUUGCAUCGGAUGCCUGCCAUGCUUGCUUGCUGUGCCAUCCUUCCCUUGAUGGUAAAGUUAGUGAAUAUUUUUGGCUUCUCUCAAUUAUCUAUUUUGCAGAUCACGGGAACUUCUUAGACAGUUUACUUUCAAAUUUUCCAACUUUAUAUGCAAAGUUCAAUGAAACUUAAUGAUGAAAAAGGCCUUUUUUUUCACAUAUAUAUUUAUUUUCCUGUUUAUUGCUAUGUGUCUGAUUUUUAAAUUGGUAGUUGAAACAACCCAAUGUGAUAUUAUUGUUUUGCAGUUAUGGGUGAAUGACCAAUCCACCAAGUACUGACCUUUGCAUCAUUUUAACCCUUCUUCCUUAAUCUAUGUAAUUAAACUCCCUACAUUUUUUACUAGAUGGUUUGGUAAGUAUAUUUACUGCAGUAUUUGCAGGUGAAAGAGAUUGGCAAUGUCAGUUUUCAGUGAUUAUUGCAACAGGCUCUUUUUCAUUCCUUUUUUUUUUUUUUUUUUCUUUUGUAAUUAUUUAAAAAGUCUUAGCUGAUAGGUGGGAUUGAUUAGCACAUUUUUCCGCUGUUUGAUUAUUGACAAAAGUUGCAACCAGUUUUCUUCUUUCUUUGACACAUUCAUUUUCAUUCAAUUUCAUCUUCUUUCUACUCAUUUUGAGAAGAAAAUUGCCAACUGACAAAGAUGCCCACUUAUAAUGGUGGGUUAGGAGAAAGGCAAUCUUGGUUCCCUCUUGGUUUAGCUUGAUAAUUAUAUCUACCGCUGUUGGUGAAAAAAAAAAAAAAGAAGAGAAGAAAAGUAACCCAUCUCAAUUGCCUGUUUAAUUUCCAUCUCCUAAACCCUUUAUGCCUAAGCACAGUAUAUUAGAUUAGGUGAUGGCCUCAAAUACCUGAUUUCUGGGUUUGGUAGAUCCAUGAUUUUUGGGUCACUCUAUUUUUUCUAAAGAAAAAUAAAUUUUAAAAUGAAUAUAUUGAAUUUGCAAAAGAGGAGGAAAAUAGGUUUAAAAUUGUAAUUAUACGAAGAUUAUUAUUAGGUUUCAGACUCUCGUUUUGGCAGCCAACCACUGUGUUUUACAUUUACCCCACUUCUUCACAGGUAGUUUAUUGAUUCAAAGGGUCAAUCUCUCUCUCUCUCUCUCUCUCUCUCUCUAUAUAUAUAUAUAUAUAGAUAGAUAGAUGUAUAAAUUUAUGUGGGUGCAUGAUUGAGGCUUUGAUGUAUUAAAUUGAUAUAUUUGAAUUAAGCAAAAGCAGCUAGAUAGAUAUAGAGAUUGUGAUAAAAGCUGAGCCGUUUGGGUUGUUGAUUAUCCGAAGGCUUGGGUUAGGCCAUAUAUUUCUCCAAUUAGUCAAAAGCAUUGAAAUUUUCUAAAUAUUCUCUAUGGUGGGAGAAUCGUCAUCUCAUUAUCAUAAUUAGUAUGUGUGAUUAUUAUUCUAACCAAAAUAAAAAUAAAAAAUAAAAAAUUUCCCUUGAAAGAAGCUGUGAAGCAUUUGUUUUUUACAAGCAAACUCAUAUGGUAUGGACAAAUUGCUAUCAUAUUGUGUGGCCUCAUUUUAUGGCAUAAAAAAAUACAGGGUAUAAUAGCAAAGCAAACCCACAAUUGAAAGACAGUAAUAAAUUUAAUUUUAUAUAUAUUAAAGAAAAGUGGUAAUACGACCAAAACCAUAAAGAACGAAUAGGCCCACAAUUGAGAUAUGAACGGUGUGGGGAGGUGGCCAUUCAUUUAAAAAGAAGAAGUUGGGUUAGAAUCUGGCCUAAUACUCAAGUAGCCUUCACCCUUUCACACUUCUUUUAAGCAAAGAAGAGGCUUCCAUACAUUAACCUUUACCCACUGCCCAAUAAAAUCCAAAACGUAUAAAAUAAGAGGGAUAUGAUAUGAUUCUGUAUUUCCAAAAUAUGAAUUUUUACGUUACACCAAGCAAAAUGCUAAAUAAUAAUUUUUUUAAAAAAAUUAGGUGUAUUUGAAUGAUUAUUAUUGUGAUUAUUAUCAUUUGUUUUGUUGUUUGACCACGUGAUGGGUAAAGAAAAGAAAAAAAAAAACCCCAUUAAUAGAUGGUCAAAAAUUACACACAAACAGCCCUGGCAGCAAAGAAAGGAAACCAAAUCUCAAGUUUAGGAAUGGGACCCAUGAAAGGAAAAGUAUCAUUGCCACGUUUACGAAUUUUGUUUUGGGUAAAAUUUUCAUAAUUUACAAACCUUGAUUGUUCUGCAGUGGUGGAAUUAGAGAGUUUAAAGGAAAGGAGAAGGAAGAAGAAGAAUAAGAAGGAAGUGGGGUUGAAGGUAUCCAUGGCGGACAUUGGGGGGCGGGUGUUUUAGUUUUAAUAUUCAGUAAUUUUGUUGCGUGUUUAGUGUUUUCUCUUUUAAGGGUUUUUAACAAAGAUGGAGACUUUUGAACAUGAGGUCUGAGCCAUUUGGUAAGCGGCCCAACAGGACACACACUUUUAUUCUCUUUUCUUUUCUUUUCUUUUUUUUUCUUUUCGUUUUUUUUUUUUUUCUUUUUUGGUUGUUUUUAUCUCUCAAUUUUAUUAAAUUCUCUGUCUGAAGAUGGGAACGCCUUGGCUUUGCCCUUCUGGCUAUGGAUGGACUGUUUACUCUAAUCUCUCCUCUCUCUCUCUCUCUCUCCUUUUUAAUAUUUUUGUUCUGGGUUAAUUCUUAAAAUUAAAGAUUACUACCCUUUUAAUCUUGGACAUGGUCUUUUGUCUACCUCACAUCCCCCACCUUUCCCUCACCCAUUACUCGGUGGGUUUUGUUACCUCCCACUUUCAUCUUGUGGGAGAUUGUCAAACUUAAACCUUUUCUUCUCCUUCACUUCCCAUUUACGGAUUACUUCUUGGGUUUUCUUCUCAGAUCCUUCUUCAUAGAUCGACCCCUUUUUUUCCCCUUUUCAAAUUUCAAAUUUCCCCAUCUCUUUUGGUAAGUUUUUCUUUUCUUUUCUUCCUUCUUCUUAGGUUGAUCGGUUCUUGUUGAUGGAUGAUUCAAUAAUCGAAUGUUUGAUCUUUGAGGUUUUCGUUUCUUUUUCGCCUGAGGUUUUUUAAUGCGUUAAUAGAAUUAGAGGAUAAUAUGAAUACUGUUCAGACAUCAUAUAUGAUAUGUUCUUACGUUUUUUUAAAAAGAAAUUUUAAAAUUAUAUAUCUUUUUUUUUUUUUGGAUUUUGUUAAAGGGUAUAUCAAAGGGUGAAAGGGUUUGGCUUUGACUUCUUCAAUCUGAAUUUUGAACUAAUCUUAUCGGUGACUUCGGCGAUGAUGGUUCUUCUAACCACGCCAAAGUUUAUGGACAUAAGUUGAGCGCCUUUGAUUUCUCCGCCUUCAUCAGUGCUAUUUUCUAGGUUGUUUUUGGUGUUGAAAGUUCUCAUUUUUCAGUUUUUUAUUUUAUUUUAUUAUAUAUAUAAUAUUGAGGCUGGGGUUAAGCUGUUUGCCUAAUCUGUGAGCCCGAUUUUUAUUGAUUCUGGGAUUUAGUUCUGUAGCGUUCGAUGCCUUUUCGUUUCUCCUCUUGUGGGUGGGAUAUGUUUUAGAUGCUUUGUUGAGUUCUAAAACCACAAUUUUUGGUUUCAUUUCCUCCUUUGACAUUUGAGCCAGUUACAGGACUUGAUGAGAUUUUGUACUGUUUCAUGAUGUCAAUGUGACAAUGUCGCCAUUGUUGCCAGCCCUCUUCUACGGAUAGGAAUCUGUAAAUGUGUAAUUUAAUCUGCAAUUGAUUGCAUGUUAGAAAUGUUUCGUUUGAAGUGAACAUUCUGCACCACGUUAUAACACCUCUGUCAUUGGUCAUUCUCACAAGUCGUUUCUGGGUGCUUACAUUCUUAAUUUGAAUGGUUUCUCCACUUCAUCUCAUUUUCUUUAUUUCGGUGAUGAAUUGUUGUAUGCAUUUCUAUGCAUGAUAUGGGACUGCGAUUUCUCCAGGUAUUAGAGAUUUCUUCCAGUGUUACAUUGUUACCAAAUGCCAAAAUCAGCAUUUCUUUGGCAUCUCUAAGUUCUAGCUGUUGAUUUCUCCUUAUAAUUUAGAAGUUUCCUUGUUCUGAUUAGGUUUCAUCUCUAGCUGAUAUCACUCAAAGGAAUUAGAGGUUUCAAAAUAUGUUAAAUUUUGUAAUAAUCUUAUUACAUUUAGUUGUUUGUAUGGGAAAUGUAUCGAAGGUUGAUUUAUAGGAAGCAAGUGUUGUUUAGUAGUAUUAAGCUCUUAGCUUGCAUUGUUGUUGCUAGCCAUUAAACUGGAUUAGAGAAAACGAGUACUGUUUGGGGUUCGGUUGUGCAGAUUUUGUGAUUUAUUGUCAGUUUGGAAUCUUUUCUUUUACCUUCAUCUAUUCUUGUUCCACAUUCCUAUACUCGUCUAGAAAUUGCUUUGAAUGCUGGCAAAUAGUACUUGAUACUUUGGUUUAAGUAUCAAGAGUCUUUGUGCCAAUAAAAAUAUUGUGUUCGAUCAUGGAGUUUAUUUGUUUGACAGAUCUAGCAUGCUAACUUGUAAUGUUGUAUGAAGCUCUUUAACUUCUUGUUCUAAUUGGCUUUUUGUUUCAUUGGUUUCAGAUUCAAUCAAGUGUAUGUGGCUUCGUUUGUUGUCUGGAAAACUUUUUUGACCUGGCUCAUAUUUGAUAGAGAAAUUUACAUUUUCUCUAAUGCAAGGGCAAAGGAGUAGUAUUGGUUCUUUGUCAGAAACAAUAAACUUUGAACAUGGAUCUUCAUCAAAUAAUCCUGGUAACCAACCAGUAUACUGGAAUAAUGUGUGGAAUCCAGCAGAGAACCGAAUACCAGAUUAUUUAUUACCUACUUCUGAUGUAAAUUCUGGAUAUGUAAGCUCUGUGAGCCAUGAGCAACGAAGUUUGAGCAGAUGGAGCUUGGGUGAACCUAGCUCUUGUGAUAUGCAAACUGAGAUGCUGCCUGAUGAGCAGAAAGCUGAAAUUGGAUGGUCUUCAAUGGCUCGUGAUGCAGAUGGUCCUGUUACUGAAAACCGACUCUGUGAGCCAUCAAAUAAUCCUUCACUGGGUCAUGUGAAUCUGAGCCCACUGAUUAUACAAAAUUCUAAUUCUAAUUCUAAUGCUAUUCCUCAUAAUCUCAACUUAAAUUCAAGUUUUGUUAGUCAUGGAGGUGACAAUAGCAGAGUUAAUGAAGGUACUAACGUGUAUAAAUCUAGUGGACCAGAGGAAGGGAGGAUUUUAUGUUCUAAUGCGUCUGAUCCUCUUCUACUUCCUUCUGGAAAUAGUGGACUUCCGGUGGUUGGAAAUGAUGGUAGACCAGGCUCUUCCUUGGAUGGCCGGCGAGCACCCUGCAAAAGAAAAUCUAUUGAAGGAAAUGUUGCACAGUCCUCCCUAAGUGGAAGCAGCAACUACUCACAACAUAUUGAAAGUGGAUCAGAAGCCCAUCUUCCAGUGUUCCCUGGUCGCUACAACACAGGCAGUAGGUUAAGCAUACCUCCUCCACCAGCACGAAUGAAUCAGGCCCCUGUACGAGGUGCAGGUGAACUAACUUCCAACAGCUUCUCUGAGUCAAUUGUUGCUGAAAGCUCAGACAGUUCUCAAAGAAACUACCGUAUAAGGAUUAGUUCAUCAAAUGCACCAGAUUCUUUUGCAUCGGCAGGAACUGCUGUUAGGCAUCCUGGGCCACCAUCUUCCCAGCUGCCAGGUAGACUUCUACCUGCUGAGCAUAUACUAGACUUGAGGCCAGCACCAGCUGUAGACAAUGUAUCAGCUCAAGGUCAGCCAAUUAUGAUACAUGUGCCUGCUUUACCUCGAAGUUUGCAACCAUAUAGGUGGAAUGGAAGCUCUUCUUCCAGAAGUGGCAGUUCAUCAAGCUCUGCAGGGGAGAGGCAGGUGGUGCAACGUGAAGAGGUGAGACCAAGCAGCAUGGGAAGAAACGUAUCCGAACAUCCUAUGUUUGUCCCGGCAAAUGAGCUGAGGGGUUUGGUUCGGAGUCCAUCAAGUAGAGCUUUAGCAUCUUCGAACUUGUCCAUUCCUGGAAAUGUUGCUUCUACAUCCAGGGUUGGUUCAAGUUCAGGGGUACAUCCCUCUUCUGGACCUUGGAUUCCUCCUGAGAGUUCUCCUACACAGUUUCCCAGGAGGUUAACAGAAUAUGUUCGUAGGCAGUUAUUUGCUUCUGCUACAAAUGAGUCUGGAGGAAGGACAAGUAAUUAUUCACAGCGUUCAGGUUCUACUUCUGCCCAGGAGAUGGUCCUUUCAUCUGGAUCUGGCCGCCGGGGGCACCAUUUAUUGCAACCGAGGUCUGCAUUAUGGAUGGAAAGAAGAGGUGACAGUGGACUUGGUCUUCCAUAUUCAUUACGAACUUUGGCUACUUCUGCUGAAGGAAGUGACAAUAACAGACUUGUAUCUGAGGUAUGUUGAAUUUUUUAAUGGAUUAACUGAAUGAUGACCCUAGGUUCAUAUGUGUUAUAUAUGCAUGCCUGUCUGCAUCUGCAGAGAUGUUCAUUUUGAUUGUUGAAUCUUGUGAACAUCUUUGCUUCCUGAAUUCUUUUUAAUGCCAAUCCCUCCCGUUGUUUAAUCGAUCAAUUUUUUUAUUAUAUUGUCUCUUAAAAGUUGCAAUACUUUCAUGUCUACUGGAGAAACUUUAGAUGUUGUGGGUGUCACGACUUUUAUGCUUGGGACUGCAUAUCCGUGAAUUACAUAUGCUAGUGUGAUCAACUUUGCUCCUUCAAAAGCAUGAUGGGAAUUUUUAAAAUAAAUUCCCAUGUUCACCAACUCUGAUGCCCUGUCAACAAGAAAGAGAGGGGGGAAGUCAGGGUGAGGGAGGAACUACUGUAUGACUAUCUAAGUACCUUCCUCAUUUAAUGCAAGCCCUUAUGAAUUGAAAAUUGCUAUUCUGAAAUUGCUGGAUAAAAUUUUUCUGGGACCGCAAGCUUUUCUAUAUGACUAUCUAAGUAACUUUCUGGAGAUUGCGUCCACUAGGAUGGUGUUUGCUGGACUACAAACUGCAGUCAAAUUCUUUGGGAAAUCCUUCUCAGCAUAAGUUACCUUUUAUUAACAAUUUUUUUUUCCUCCAAUUCUAAGUAAUCUUACAUUACAAGUAUGUUGGGUUGUGCUGUAAACAAGAUUUGAUGGAUUAUGAUGCUGUCUUCAACAGUUCAGUUUUCUGUUGGUAUUCAAACUUUGGUUGAUUCUUAGAAGCUCACAUGCUAUUGUUUUGUCUGCAGCACCUUCGUAAUGUCUUGGGCCUUGUUCGCAGGGGUGAAAGCUUACGAGUUGAGGUAGGAACCUUAUUGGUGCUGUAUCAUGGUCAGUUGAUGGCAAAGUUGCAUGAUUGUAUUGAGAUACAGGCAGUCGUUUAGUUACAUGUUUCAUUUUUGUUUAGAUUGGUUACAAUGUGUAAAUGGUGGUGAACAGCUACUUUGUUUUGUUCACAUUCAGUUGCAUUUGGGAUAAAGCUAAAUGGUUCACUUAGUUGAUAUGAAAUAGACUUGAUUUGAUGAUGGUCUAGGACAGGAUCUUGUAUUUCUCCCCUCCAUGGCUUUGGACUUUCUCUAGGGCUUUUGAUUUUACAAUGUACCAAUGUUAUUGUAGCAAUACAUUUUUUAUUAUUAUUGUUAUUAUUUGUUUGGAGUGGGGGGGGUGGGGGAUUCUGGUGGCACCGACUGAUACAUAGUUUCGUGAGAUUUCCCAUAUUCAAAAGUCCUUGAAUUAAUAAUCGUGAAUAUUCUCUAAAUUUACAUGGCGGGGAGGAGGAUUUGUGUCAAAUUUGAGGAAAUUGUGUUCUUCAUGGAGACAACUUAGUUUUGUCAACGAGACUUAGUUGAAGUCAUUGACUCGACAUUUUUAACUCUUGUUUUAUAAUUAUGGUCAUCAAUACUAAUGUUGCUUUAUAAUUUCUCUUCUGUCAGGAUGUGAUGAUCCUGGACCAAUCACUAUUUUUUGGGAUGGCUGAUAUUUAUGAUAGGCACAGGGACAUGCGUCUAGACGUUGACAACAUGUCGUAUGAGGUUUGUCUAAAAUACAAACCAACCAACCGAUGUAUUUUGCACCUUUUUCGUGUUGCCUUGUUCGCGUUUUAACUAUGUGAAAGUGCAGGAAUUGUUGGCAUUGGAAGAGCGUAUUGGGAAUGUCAACACAGGACUAAACGAAGAGACAAUAGUUGCUCGACUGAAACAAAAGAAGCGGGUGAAUGCUGUUGACUCACAGGUGGAGGAAGAACCAUGCUGUGUUUGUCAGGUUGUAACAGAUGUAUCUUUUGAGCUGUUAUCAUUCUUGAAACUGCACAACUUUGUAAUGUCUGUCUCCUUCCCUCAUUAGCAUCCGACUAACAACCCAGCUGAUGAUUUCCAGGAGGAAUACGUGGACGGAGAAGACAUUGGAACGCUGGAAUGCGGGCAUGACUUUCACACAGCAUGUAUUAAGCAGUGGCUGAUGCAAAAGAAUCUGUGUCCCAUAUGCAAAACAACUGGUUUAGCAAGCCGAGAAUGAAUGAACCUUGGUGUGGUGGUUGCUGCUUAAGAGACAAGGAGUUAAAAAAAAGCAAAGCAACUAUGGAAUGGAAUCAAGGAAGGAAAUGCUAGGAUGUUGCUUGCCAGUUAUCUACCUCUGAAGAACCACAUUCAAGUUUCUCUAUAUACAAGUAGUAGUAAAAUUUUUAUAUAAUGCAAGCAAUCAUUUUUUUAAAAAAAAUUUGUUUUGGAAGGGAAGGAAAAGGAAAAAAAAGAAAAAAGAAGAAAAAUUCAAGGGUUGUAAUUGGCAAGGAAUUGUUAGCUUUAAGGUUAUGAUGGUGAUGAUGAUGAUGAUGGUCGGUCAAACUAAUUAAUGUUUACUCCCAUUGACAUUAGAGAUUGUUGGUCUUAAUAUAUCAUCGGAUUUUUCCAUAUAUUUAUUUUAUACCUCGCAAAACUUAGUGGUAGUAAGUAGUGAGUAUUAUUAUUGUUGAUUUCCAAAUUGGAAAAAUGGUUUAUUAUUCCUUCUUCUUUUCGGUAAAUAUAAUGUGUUUGAUUUAAUUUUGUAUUCAGACGCUAUGUCCAAAGUCUCCAAAAGGCAACAGAAAAAGAGUAGAAUAUUUGGUGUUGGUUAUAUUAUGGUUUUGUGUAAUAAAUUGGAAAUAGCCAAACGGUGACGUUUUUGGUUAGGGAUAAGACGGUGAAUGAUACAUCAUUAUUAUAUCUUUGACUUUAUGAAUCUGCCAUCCUCUCAUUUACUUCUCUUUCCUCAUCCAAUCACUUUUAUUGCUCUUUUAUUCUCUUCUCUCUCUCUUUUUUCUUUUUAAUUCAAAUAUACUAUUACCUUCCCUUUAAUUUUAUUUUUUAUUUCUUCUUUUUUCUUACAAAGAAAAUAUGUUUCUCCUUUCACUUUAAAGUUAUUUGAUGAUUUCAAAUGGAGAGUCCAUUAUUCACAUGUAUUCAAUAACAUCCAAUAUAGUCAUUUUCCCAUCAAAUAUGUAUUUGUAUACUGAUCAUAUAUAUAUAUAUAUAGGAUAAUUGUUAUGGAUGCCAAAAAUAUUAAAAUUAUUUACAAUUUAUAGCAAAAGAAAAAAACAUGAAUAUAAGAGUUUGAUUAAUUUUGUUACAUUUGUAAAUUGUUUUAAUAUUUUGCUAUUUUUAGAAAUAUAUAUAUAUAUAUAACAAAACGAUAAUAAGAUAACUAUCCGGAAAAUAAACAAAAUCUUCUCAUACAACAAUGCCCAAUUUAUAGUUGAGGUAAUGUUUUCAGUUUUUAUUUUUAAAUAGUCUACAAGAUAACAAUAAAAAAAUCUCGUAAGUACUUUAAAAUUCAACAAAAUAAGUGAAAAUAAAAUGUUGUUUUUUUUGGUUAAAUGGUAAAUUUAUUCAUUUCACUGAACUAAAAUUUAAUUUAUAAUUUUUAGUUUAACAUGAAAAUAUUGUCAUUUGAAUUUUGCAGAAGUAACACUUGAAGUCAUAAAUAUAAUACUUAAAAUAAUAAGUCCAAUAAAUAAGUUAAAUUUGUUAAUAAUAUUUAUGACAAUCAUGUGAGAAAAAUACAAUUAAAUGUUUUUUAAAAUUCUACUUAAAAAAAAUGAAAAAUUCUUACAAUAAAAACGAACACAUGUAAAAUUUUCAAAAACAGCUACCCAUCCAAAAGUUUAAAACUCAAAUAAGGUGAUUAACUUCAAAUUUAAUUUAAUCCCUAUACGUUGAAGUUUACAGGUACGUGACUUAGCGUCUUAGGUUGGGUGAGGUAACACAUCAUUUGGUUCAUACAACACUUUUAUACAGUAAUCAAUAUUGAGAAUAUCUUCUUGUUUGUCUGAAGAAUGGGGUGAGAGAGUUUUGAGUUGUGUAGAUUCUAAUAUUAUUUUGUUUAAAAGAAAAUUAGGUUUAGUUUUAACUUUCUAAUUUGAUGUCUAUAAUGUUUAUUCAAUAACAUUUGAAAAUUAGGAGGUGUAGGUACUGAAAUGAAACACUUGGUUACGUGAAUGAAAAUGGUGAUGAAUGAAAGAAAAUGUGAAUUUGCAUAAAAAAAGGAAGCAGUGAGAUUAAUUAGAUUAUUAUUAAAAAGAAGACAAAAAGGGAAAUUAGGUAAAAGACAAAUCCUCUAUUUUUGGAAAAGAUUGUAAAUAAAAGAAAGAAUAGGGGAAGUUUUGAAAAAGAAGUAACUGAUGGGUUUCUGUAAAGUAUAAAAAGAAAGAGAAAAAAGGAAACGACAAAAAGAUUAAGGCGGGAGGGGUGGGAUUAAGAAGGAAGACGAUAAGUUGAACCUCGGGACGCAGACCAGAAGUCAGCAACUUCACAAAAACACCAUUAAUGACAAUCCUUAAUCCUUGUUUUUGCUUUCUACCCAACAAAACUAAUCAUCCAACGCUAAAAGAUAAGACGGAAUCCAAGAAAAAGUACACACAAACUCAGACCAAUACCAUACAAAUAUAUAAUUCCUUCCACCCCAAACCGUUUCUGCACACAAAGCCAACAUACCCAACGUAAUCCUUCAUUUUUCAUCCUUACUUUCAACCCCUUUUGAUCCUCAAUCAUGGCGGAUCUCUACGGAACUUCCCCUUCUUCCGAUGUUGUGGGUUUGCCCCAUGACCCUGAAGAUUUCUCUUCUUUCAUCAAUCACCACCUUCAAACCACUACUUCUUCUGCUUCUUCCCCUUCUUGCGUUUCCUUCAAGAACAAGUUCAUGCCCUUGUUGCAUUCUCAACCUCCUUGGCACUCUUCGCCGAUGUUUUCUCGCCGGCCCGAUUCCACCUCUGUUCCCGGUAUGUCCUGCAUGCUCGAUUUUCCCGAGGAUCGGCUUCAGUCCAGUCGUGUUUUGAACCACGCUUUGUCGGAUUGUAAUGUUAGGGAUGUGAGAUUUGCUGAUGCUUCGUAUUUGGCUGUGAACUCAACUUGCGGCGGCGUGAAAUUGUCGGAUCCUGGUGACUUUCUCAAAGAAAGUUCCGACAACGCCUUUUCUUCCUCCGGCGCUGUUGAUUCCGAUACGAAUGCACCGUUGAAGAGAAGGGGUCUUUCGUCUGAAAAUGAUCUUGGGGAUUUCAGUUGCGAUAGCGAGGUAACUUCCUGUUUCCUCAAAUUUCACCGUUUGAAACUUUUGCUUAUCUUGAGUUAAUUCGAUUCUCUCAGGGUGGGGAUUUGCCUGAAGUUCCAUCUAGUACUAAUCUGCCUCGAAAUUCAUCGAAGAGAAGUAGAAGCGCUGAGGUCCAUAAUAUGUCGGAGAAGGUCAGUUUCAUAUUGGGUCCCCGAUUUCUAAGCAUUCUUGUCUUUAAGUUUAGACUAAGAGCGAUUGAUUGCUGAUAUUUUUGCUAAUGGUUUCGGUGAGUGGGCCAGAGACGAAGAAGGAGGAUCAAUGAGAAAAUGAAAGCUCUUCAGAACUUAAUUCCCAAUUCAAACAAGGUAUAUUUGUCAAAUUCAAGACUAUGGCGGUUUUGAUUACUUUUUAAGUAUUUAGAGUUACAAUCAGAUUGUGGUUUGACAGACGGACAAAGCUUCAAUGUUGGAUGAAGCAAUUGAGUAUUUGAAGCAGCUUCAACUUCAAGUCCAGGUGGGUGUCCUUUUUUUUUUGUUUUGUUUUGUUUUGUAUGGUUAUGUGCCUGAGAAUUUGAUCACGUUUUUUCACUUUUGUUUGCUAUGGAAUUAUCUCUCUUUAUACGUGUACUCGUUCAUUUUUAUUGGUUUCUAAUUACAAAUAGUCCAUGAAUUUGGGCCACAGAAUCUUAUGUGCUGAUAUAUCAAAAAGUAAUGUUCCUUUUGUCCUCAUGAUAUGAGUCAAACGUGCCUGCACUUCGAUUUCUGGUUGCAUUUCAAUCAGAGAACUUUGAAUAUUCAAACAGUUUCAUCCUAAUUUUAUUUCUGGCCAAACCUUACUAGAGAAAAGCCAAUUGAUAGUGAAAUUUUUUGAGUCUUGAGUGUUGAUUAUUUUCCAAACCCAUGGUUCUGUAGGAGUUCUGUUACUCAUUCUGAGAAUUAUUGGGACAUUUUCAGCUGAAAAAGGCUGAAGAUCUCCUCCUCCUACCGCCGAUUAACACUGUGUGUUUGAUUACUUUUCACUCUAUCACUAUAAGAUUAUGCUUCGUUUGAGCUUUUCCUAACAUAACCAAAAUUUUACUUCUUAAGAGAAGAUGGUUCACGAAAUAGAGGUUUUUUCUUAGCUAACUUACGUUUGAGACAAUGAUGUCAAAAUAAUAGAUUUCUAGGACCUCAUAUUCUUUCUUAUCACGAAUUUGAUGGGUGCUUAUGAGGAGCAGGAAUAAUACCUCUCUUGAUCAUUGUUUUGUCGAAAAUUUUCCCUGUUUUAGUUGCUCUUUUUGGGCUAUACUAAAUCUGAUAUUGAACUAUAAACGAAAACGAAAUUACAAGAUAAUUCAAGAGUCCAAGGUACUUGGACCCUCCGAAUCUUGGCAGUACUCUCAGGCCGUAGUAGACUUCACCAAAUAUUGCCUAUCUCCCAUCUUCUCCACUCGCUGUAUUUACUUAAAACAUUCAUAACAAUCCCUUAAUACUCUAAUUAUUUCCUUAAAACGUUCAUAACAAUCCCUUAAUACUCUAAUUAUUUACUUAAAACAUUCAUUUCAAAUAAUGAGGUUUGGAGCAACUAACAGCUUGUUCCAUUUUUUUCUCUCUAGUUGACAGAAAUGGUCAUAGUUUGAUGAACAUAUUUAAACUUGUUAUCAAUGACGUUUGGCUUUGCAGAUGUUAUCAAUGAGAAAUGGCUUGAGUUUGCAACCAAUGUGCUUGCCAGGAAUGCUGCAGCCAAUUCAACUACCUCAGAUGGGGUUGGACUACGAUGUAGGAAAUGCAUUUCUAACAUCCCGAAGAGGAAUAGAUACAUCGUCUACUAGGAACGAAGGAUGUCCCAUGCAAUCUACAUUCAAUCUUACCAACAAAUGUAACCUUUCAGAUCAGUCAAUUGCCAUCCCUUCUGUACCAAACACCACAACCUCAGAAACUGCAUUCGGUUUUGAACCCACAAUUCAGGGUUAUGAUGGGGAGUUUAACCUGUCCUCCGAUUUCAAGGUAACAAACAAUAUUAACCAGCUUCUUUCUAGGUUAGUGAAAUUGGGACCAAAUAUUUUCUUGGAAAUAUGCAGGAUGGGGAACCAGCCGCACAGUUAGAUUGCGCUCAGACGGGGAACGAGUCAACAGACGCUUCUUAGCUGUAGUCCUUUGCAGGAUGCUGGUCACUAGAGUAUGGCCUUUUUAAUGAAGCAAUUUCUUUACUUUCCUUGUGGAUUUUCAACAACAAACAUUAUAGAAACUACAAAAAGUUCUAUUUUCACACUUACCAGAAAAUCUAUUGUAGAAUAGGUUAACAACAUAAUCUUGAUAUUUAUGCCUUUGACUCUAUAUUUUUAAGAAAAAAAACUUCAAGUAUUAGUUAGGCAAACAUAGAAAUGCAGAAAUCUACCUGAUCUGCUUUGUUUGAAAAGAAAGAGGAUAGAAGCUGCCAAAUGUUUUUGGGGAGAAGCAAGAAAAAGAAAAAGAAAAAGAAUACGGUGGUCCUUCCUUACCUUUACCAAUUAGAUGCUCUCUAUCUGGACUCAUUGAUGUGAAGUAGAUCAAUUAUUUUGCCUUGUAAUGCUGUCAAGAAAUGAAAACAAAAAAUAUGUUGUCUCUUUGCAGGAUAUUUUUGAGAUAAAUACCCAUUCAUAAUAUACGAUAAUAUCAAUUUAACUUUGUUCAUAUGCUGUUUGAUUUUGGUUUAGAUUGAAAACUGACCCAAAAUAGGGACAAAUUGGGCCAAGUUGAUAUGAAGCCAUUUGGCAGAGGGAAUAUGUCUCAUAUGAUAUAAUAACAAAUCAUAUGAAAUGAUUAAAGAUGAAUUCGAAAGAAAAAGAAGGGAAAAGAAAAGUUUGGGGGUGCCCUUAAAAAAAGGGGAGGGUCUGAAACUUGUUCAGUGGUCAAACUCUAUUUUAUGGGGAGAGGUAAUUAAUUAUGUAACAUUGACUGACACUUCUAAUUAUUAAUUAUUACUUAACUAAUGAGCUACCCAUCCAUUAUUUUUAGUUAAAGCAGGCGCUGCAGUCAGGCAGACAAGCAGAGUUCUUUAAUCAACAAUAAUAUUGUUGGAAUAAUUUCUUCUCAAGUCUUUUUUUAAAGUUAAAGUUUGUGUUUAAUAGGCCAUCAACUUAAUUUCUCAAGAAUGACAUUAUGUCUAUUGUUCAACAGGGUUCUUAGUUUUUAUAUUUGUCUAUAAUGAAUAUGUUGGGGUUCACAAUUGAAAGUUUAAGGAAUCUUUGAUGUUCUGAGGACUAGUUGGACAUUUUGCAAAGUUCAGGAACAUCAAAUAAAAAAAUUUCAAUUUAGGAUCUACACACAAAGAUGAGGGUUAAGGGCUAAACUGUCACUAAACAUUUUUUAAUGAUUUCUUUUUUUGGGUGAAUUUGAUGGCAGCUAAAUUAUUAAUCAGCAGGUUUCUCCUAAAAUUCAAGAUUAUGUUCGUGUGUGUAUUUGUAUCGAUCACAUAUCAUACAAAGAAACAACAAUAAGUCUAAAGAAAAAGGAAAGACAACAGCUAUAAAGGUCGUAUAUUUAUGUAUGAGUCAAAUAAACACUAAUUCUGGGUUUAGAAAGUUGUUCUUUUACUAUUACUGUUGUUAUUAUUUUACAUGAUUUUUAAGAAAAAUUAUCAAUCUUGUUAAACUUUUUUUUGGACAAGGCAACUUUAAGUUAUGAAUGAUAACAUGGUUUGUCAACAAAUUUUGAAUUAUUUACUUAGAAUGUAGAAAUCAAUUCUUGGAUGUAAUAAUUUCGUUCUGUGAAAAUGAAUUCUUGGAUAGAUAAAUAUAUACGUACACACACAAAUAAAUGGAAGAAACUUUUCUUUUUGGAAAGGAAGUAUAAAAUAAUUAUAAACAAGGAAAGUGGUAGGAACACCUUGGGAUGAUUCUUCCCCCCAACUUUUAUUUUUUUUAUUGGGUUUUUGUUUGAAUAAUGUCUACUCUUUUUUUAGAAAAUAAGAAAAACACAGAUGAUAAUUCAUGUUUUUAAAUAGAAAAGGGGAAAAAUUUUAUUAUUCAAUGUGAUCAAAUAUGUAUCAUAUCUAACAACCAAUUCUUUCUAUAUUGUAUAAUUAAAAGAAAAAAAAUCGAUUAUUCUUUAUGAUCACAAAAUAAAAAAAGAAAAAAAAAAGACAAUUUAUGAAUAAUUAAAAAAUUGAACGCGUAAAAAGCAAUAAAGGUAUUACCAAUUUUCCCCAAAAAUCUAAACUCAAAAUUUUAGAAUAUUUCUGUAAAGCCAAAUAAAAAGAGGAAUAUGAAUAAAUAACUUAACAUAGAUAUCUAUUUUUCUAAUGAAAAAUGCUUUUGGGUACAUGCCGACUUGUAUUCAUCUUGAGUUAUCCAUUCGAAACUCUAUCACAAAUUAGAGCAAAAUUUAUCUAAUUCUCUAGAGUUCAUUUAAUUUUUUUUUUUUUGAUAUAUUUUGUAAAUUAUUGUUAUUAUUAUGAGAAAGAAAAAAAAGCAAGUUGGUUGUUAGAUUUUGAGUCCAACACCUAAAAGAGAAAGAAAAGAAAAUUAGAAAUGAAUAAUGGUACUUUGGAAGUAAUUAUGUAGAGUCUAUACUACAAUUAAUUAAACUCUAGAUUUUUGGAUUUAUCCUUUUCUAUUUUCUAUUUUUUUUUAAUACAAAGUCCGUGAUGACUAUAUUUAUAUAUAUGAACAAAUUACUUUCAAUUAAAAGCUUUACCAAUUACACUAUCAUUAUUGUAUUGUAGCAAUAAGAAUCAUAUACUAUAAAAAGAGUAUUUGUCACUCUAUGUUGUCUUAAGAAUUGGGUUAGUUGAUUUGCAUAUUUUAUAUUAUAAGGCUAAUGAUCUAACAAAGACAAUUCAAGCAGUUUACUUACUGAAAACAGUGUAUAUAAAAUAAUUGUGGAGAAAGAAUCUGCAACGAAAAUGGAUUUUAGUGAAUAAAAAUGAAAGAAGGUCGUCUCAAAUUCAGAAAUCAUUUGUAGCUUACCGUGGAAUUUCAGAUAAAGGCUCACCGGGGAAGAGGGUUCAAUAAAUGGAUGGGCUUUUGUAGGGUUGAUUUUUCUUUCUUCUCUUCUCUUCUUCACCAUUGUUGAAGAUGGAAGUCCCAUCAUGCCAGCUCUUUCUUUCUCUCUCGCUGUGAACCCCACUGAAUGAGUGGAAUUUGCAGUUUAGUUUCUUGUCUUCAUUUUCGAGAUUUAUUGUAUCCUUUGCUUUUGCCACUCAGCUAAUUGUCCUCCUUCUUCUGUGGUUGUCUCCGCCACAAAAACAGUCUUGAAAGGUUUGUAGAACAAGGGGAAGAGGAAAAAUGUCUAAUUAUGCCUUCUUGAAUGACCAGCUCUCGAAGCGGACCUCCAUUUUCGGUUUGCGUUUGUGGGUUGUUUUGGGUAUUUGUGUUGGUGCUGCCAUUGUUAUUGUUCUCUUCCUCAUUUCCUUAUGGUUCACUUCCAGGCGUAACAGUUCCAAUAAAUCUAAACCCUCUUUGAACCCCAUUAUCCCAAAUGUGUCUAAGGAAAUCCAGGAAAUACGAAUUGACCAUUCUCGGAACACUACUCAUUCUGACCCCAAAGUUCAGUUGGCUUCUAACCCUGAGCCUUUGCCGGAGGCAGAGCCUUUAGCGACGCUGCUUCAGACGGAAGAAGGAAGCCCACCUAGUGGACGCCAUAGAAUUCACAUUGAAAUUGGGAAGGACCAUCGGAUUUCUUACCCAGAGAGAGGUGGCGGUUCGUCCCACGGAAGUGGAGAGGCUCGGUCUGGUGAUCAGGCGCCAAUGACUGUGCCGGAGGUUUCGCAUUUGGGUUGGGGCCAUUGGUAUACUCUCAGAGAGCUUGAGUAUUCUACUAAUAGUUUUGCGGAUGAAAAUGUAAUUGGUGAAGGCGGAUAUGGUAUUGUGUACCGUGGGGUUCUUGAGGACAACACCGUGGUUGCCAUCAAGAAUUUGCUCAAUAACAGGUUCUUCUUCUCAUUUUAUUUCUUUUUUCACAUGGAUCUUUGUAAUUUAUCGCAGUUAUGUCAAUGCAGUACGAGCAUUUAUCUUAUGUUACAAGAAUCCACAACUGCAAUUGAUACAUUAUGUUGUUCCGCUGGAAGAAAUUUUAUGCACUAUUUCUUGUGUUCAGAGGACAAGCUGAGAAGGAGUUUAAGGUUGAAGUGGAAGCAAUUGGACGUGUUCGCCACAAGAAUCUGGUGCGUUUGCUUGGCUAUUGUGCUGAAGGAGCUCACAGGUAUUCUGAUUUUCCUCCAAAGUAAUCCUGUAGAAGCUUAAGAAACUGUAAACACUCUCUUCUCUAGUUAAUUUGAGAACGUGUGUGCAUUCUGCUUGUCUUGUUGUAGGAUACUUGUCUACGAGUACAUUGAUAAUGGAAACUUGGAACAGUGGCUUCAUGGAGAAGUUGGACCUUGUAGCCCUCUAACAUGGGACAUUCGAAUGAAUAUAAUUGUUGGAACAGCGAAAGGGUAUGUUCUAAAUUGAGUUUGCGUUCACUAUUUUGGUUGUAGAUAAGUAAUAUUCUUCAACAUCUUGCCAUAGUUUUGAGUUUGACUUCAUAAAAUCACAGGUUAACAUACCUCCACGAGGGACUCGAGCCUAAGGUUGUUCACCGUGAUAUCAAGUCAAGUAACAUUUUGCUUGACAAGCAGUGGAAUCCAAAGGUCUCUGACUUCGGCCUAGCAAAGCUUUUAGGCUCAGAAAGGAGUUAUGUAACAACUCGUGUGAUGGGAACUUUCGGGUCAGUCUAAGUUGUAGAGUGAAAUGUAUUACUUGAUUUCUAAUUUUGAAUUCAUGAACUUGACGGAGUAACUUACACAAUGCCGACUGGGGUUGUUUUGUAGAUACGUAGCUCCAGAAUAUGCAAGUACUGGCAUGUUAAAUGAAAAAAGUGAUGUAUAUAGUUUUGGUAUCCUCAUUAUGGAGAUAAUUUCAGGGAGAAAUCCAGUAGAUUAUAGCCGCCCUUCAGGAGAGGUGUGUUUCUCAUCCAGAUUAUUUGUCAUUGCAUAACUUGGCCUAUACAGGCCUCUGCUUUCACCAUUAACUUUUCAUGGUUGAUUGGUGGAUCAAACUUUCAGGUCAACCUAGUUGAGUGGCUUAAAACAAUGGUUAGUAAUCGAAAUGCUGAGGGCGUUCUGGAUCCUAAGUUGCCUGAAAAGCCUUCAACAAGGGCACUGAAGCGUGCUCUGUUAGUAGCUUUACGGUGUGUGGAUCCUAAUGUUCAGAAGAGGCCAAAAAUGGGGCAUGUAAUUCAUAUGCUUGAAGCAGACGAGUUUCCUUUCCGAGAUGUGAGUUAGCAGCAUUUCAACUAUUACUUAGACCAACUUGAUGUGUGGGAAUAUUUAUCUUCAUUCCAUAAAAUUAGUUGCCUCUAUAGUCUUGUCUUAAAAGUAUUUUACAAAGAAUAAGUUAAUGAGUUACUUAAGUUAGAAAUCUGGUUUAUUUGCUUUAAACUAUGUAUCCGGUUUUUCCUCCUUCCAUAUCUCAUGAUCCAUCAUUGUCUCUCCUCAAUAUCUCAGGAUCGUAGAGUGGGACGAGAACCAGGACGAUCACUACUGAAGGAAAAGCUCAUGGAAAGGCUUGUGAGUGAAUCCGGAGAAAGCAGCGGAUAUGAAAGUGGAGCAACACAAGCAAGCCGACAUCUAUGGAGAAAGCAAGAACUUGAAGAACAACAGCCUCGCGAACCUCACACUUUAAGGUGAUCUUGUAUACCCAACCCACAUUAUUAUCAAUCAGGCUACACUCUAAAAUGUAAGGAUUAUUUCUGCAGCCUCUCCCCCUUGCUGUACUGUAUCAAACAAUCUGUAUAAUGUUUUGUAUCAAUCUUUCUCAGUUUUGGGAUUCAUUCUAAUGGUUUAUAAUCACCAAAAUUAGAUACCUGUAACUGUAAGUACAACAUUUGGAAGGAAAGUUUUUAGUUAAAUCUGAAAUGCCCUGAAUUAAGGAUGGUAAAGAGUGAAGAUGAGUACUUUUUAGGUUGAAGUUUGGUGGGUGUGAUUAGAAUCAAAUCGGGUCCUACUGAAGUUUUGGUGGGUGUGAUUAGAAUUAAUUGGGGUCCUAGUCUUUCACGAGCAUUACUGUUGGGGUGGGGACUUGGGUUUGUGAAGUAGAAGGAAGGAGAACCUUUAUUUUUCAGGUUUACAGUAAAGGAACUGUUGUGUGUUUGGAUUUUAGAAUCUUGGACCACUCUCUUUAAAGUUCUUCGGGUAUUGUUACUUGUCAAAAAGUCAUUAGAUUUCUUUUUUGCUUAUUACUUUUGGCAUUUCUGUUUUCUACUUCUAAAACUCUGAGUUCUGGUCACUGUUUUACUCUCUCUCUCUCUCUCUCUCUCUCUCGACACACACAUGGCAUUUCCUAUCUUGAAUCUUGUUUUUCAUUGGUUAUGAAUUUUGCAUGUGCUGAGCAUUUAUGCUAGUAGGGCAGAAGGCUUAUGCCACUUUCCCCUUCAAUUGACUCGAUGAUUGUUCUUUCACUUUCUUAAAGGUUGUUAAUUUAAUUUUAAACAUUUAAGAAUGGAAAAGAUGAUAAUUUUACUAUAUAUAGUUUCCCUCUCUACUUUUGAUAGUUAAACUCUUGUUAGAAGUAGGAAUCACAAAUGCACCUUUGAUCUCUUUCUAAGACUUUGUUAGAAAUAAGAAUUGCUUAGCAUCAUUAAACUCACUUUUCUUAUAUUCAAAAUCAACUAUUUCAAAAAUUACUCUUAAAAACAUUAAUAUUGUCAUAAUUUAGACUUUUGCUUACAAAUUGUAUUCGAAAAGAGAUUCGUACAAUCUUAGAUAUGUUUGGUAGGCAAAAUUCAAAUAUGCAUUGGUAGGUACUCAAGAUUUUGGAAACGAUGUUUAAAUUCAAAUUUACAUUUUUCUUUUGAGUUUAUUGCAGAGUUAGGGCCUAUAUCUUAAUUUGUUGGGAGGUGUGUGAAUGAGCAAUGAACAAGGAUGCUCUUUUGGGUGAAAAAUGAGAACUUAAUCCUUAUACUUCAUCACAUUGUCCAUACAAAAGAUUUUGAUGAUUCAAGAAAAUUGUGAAUUAUAUUGAAAAAUUAAUAGACUUGAGAUGAUGCAGAAACGAUCUUUUAGAAAAUACAUCAAGUAAGAAUAGCAGUGAUAAAUAAAACAUAGUGAAUAAUCAUCAAUAAAUAAAGUAAGAAUAGAGUUAUGAGUAGAAGUAGAUAUCAAGAUAUCAUGAUGAAUUAAGCCAAAAAGGUGUAUGACAUAACAUGAAUAUGAAAAAAAUUUAGGGAAGAUAAAAGCAAGUUGUUUCACAAGCUUACAAAUGAUACAUCAUGGUAGCAGUUUUGUUUUUUCUUUUUAGUAUCUUUUUUCCCUUGAGAAAUACCUCAUGGUAGAGUUUUCAUCAAGAAGUCAAUAAAAAUAUUUCUCAUGAGCCUCUAAUGAAUUAUAAGGCAUAUAUAUCGCUAUGAAAUUUAUAUGAUCUAGGCAAGAAUUUGAGUUUUUUUUAAAGAGUAUUUGUGCAUUAUUGAAAUUUAAUUGUGUAAAACGUGACAAUAAUUUUUUUUUUUUUAGAAUAUAGGCUUUAUUAUUACAACUUUUCUUUAAUUAAAACGAGUUAUUAAAGUUUUUAUAUAUUAUUAAUUUUAAGGUUAAAACAUGUGAGUGAAUUAGUAAAUCUCUGAAUAAAAGACAAAUAUAUCAGGUAUGCUUUAAAUGUUAAAAUUGAUUCAACUUGUCGAAUUUAGAUGUAAAAAUGGAUGCUUUCCAAACUAUAUUUAGAGUUGCAAAUUACUCAAGAUGGCCUCAAUGUUUUUAUUUAACUAGGUUCAUUAUUUUCUUCACUGUAUACGAGCAUACUCGUAAUUUCAUAUUUAAGAAAAAACCAAUUUACUCGGAAUGUUAAAGGUAAAACUACAAAAUUCAAACCAUAAUAAGCAAUCAAUUCAAAUAUACCUUUUUCUUUAAGGACGAUUCCAAUAAGAGAAAAAAAAACAAAGAGAGAAAUUGGUUUCAUAUUUUAAUACAAACACAAAUGAGCAUCCUGAGUUGCAAGUAAUUGAAAGUUUAAAUUGCGUAAAUAAACAUAAUACAAUUCAAUCAAAAUUACCCGAGAAGUUAUUUUGAGAUUCUAAAGGGGGUUCAAUGUGAAACACAUCUAAAAACUCUGCAUCUCAGUCCAAAACUAAAUUAUAUCCUUUAAAAUGAUAAUUAAUGUUCGGGAAUUACUCCCUUCAAAACUAAAUUAUUGAAGGAAAAAAAAUCGCCAGAACCAAGUCUAAAACUCUGGAGACAUUUUCAUCAACAUCUGAAAAAUGAAUUAACCUUUGCGGUGAGGUUAACCACCUCAGCUUAAGCGCCACCAGAUCCGUAUUUCUUCCCGAAGACGAUCACCUGCAACUUAUCGUAACCGGCAAGCACACCAGCACCAGCAACGGCACGGAGAAUGUUAGCACCAGCACCCUUGAAGAGAGACUUGGCACCUUCGUUCUUCAAGAUCUGAGAGAAGGCAUCCAUUGAGCUCUUGUACUUCACUGCUUCACCAGAUGUCAUCAUCAUUCUUCUACGAACAGUGUCAAUUGGGUAGGAUGCAAGACCGGCACCGUUGGUGAUGAGCCAACCAAGAGCAAAGCUAGCGAAGAAACUAUCCUGCUCUCACAUAAAAGGUAGAAUAUAAUCAGAACAUAGCAAUUCAAACAUUGGCAUUCAUUAAUGAACUCAAUUUAUAUAAUCCCCACAGCAAACAACUAAAACCACUAGCAAACUGACCUGCAUCUUCCCGGUCAACAAAACAGGCUUUAGAGAAUCGUACAUUCCGAAGUAUAAACCACGGUACACAAUGAUACCAACGCAAGAAAUGUUAAACCCACGAUAUAAACCAGCAACACCAUCAGACUGCAAUGUCUUCCUGUAGACAUCAACCAGUCCAUUGAAUUGCCUUUCUCCACCCUUCUUGGCAGCUUUGGCAUCAUUUGCCAAUCGGGUACGCGCAUAGUCAAGAGAGUAAACAAAAAGAAGGGAUGAAGCACCGGCUGCACCUCCGGAUGCAAGGUUACCAGCAAACCAUUUCCAGUAACCAUCCCUGUCUUUCUUGAAGUUGAAAAGUCUCUUGAAGUAAUCCUUAAAAGCAAAGUUCAAUGCCUGGAGCAUGUAACCAUAAAACAAUUAGCUCAAGAAAGUUUAAAAAAAUGGAGAGAUAAAAUUAUACAACAGAAGAAAACCACACACUUGAGUGGGGAAAUAACGGAUGACAUUGGCAGUGUUUCCUCUCCACAAUGAACCGAAACCCUCCUCUUGCAUUGUGCGCUUAAAACAAUCACCAAUACCCUUGUAUGGCUCAGACAAACGUCCAGAUUUAAUCAUCUCAUCUUGAUUUUGAAUUAAGAGUUUGACACGCUCAAUCGGGGCAGCAGCUGUUUUGGACACAGCAGCAGACACACCACCCAUAAGAAAGUCAAGCAUAAAGUUUCCUUUCUCAGCAGGGGCAGCAACAAAAAUGGGGGAAGCGGUUGAGGAAACCCUAGAAAGGUCAGUUGUAGCUACACAGGAUUGCACAGCAGGAUAUUGAAAAGCAGCAUUGGAAUAAUUGGUAAUCGGUGCACGUCUCUGAUAGAGUGCAGGAUUUCUAAAGCCAUCAUCACAAGCCCGGAAACCCGAAGCAACCCUCGACUGAAGGGAGAGCUGACCAGCAACCUUCUGAUAGAUAGUGGGAUGUUGAACCUGAUCAGCCAUGGCUACUUCUUCCCUGCAAUAAUUCCCAAUGAUUUCAUCAGAUGAGAAAUACUCGUUUCAAAUUUAGAACAAGAGAUGACAUUGAGACACCAAUACGACAGUAGUGGGCCAGAAGUACAGUUUAGGUAAGGCAGAUAGCUAUUCAAGGAAAAUGAGAUCAAUAAAGAAUCGAAGAACAAAGUUAAUAUUUUAUAAGCAUCGUUCAAUGUAGCAAAUCAAGUACUAUAAGUCUUCGUUGAAAACAGAGCUGUAAUAACAAAUGCCAAGGGUUGAAAAGUAGCAACAUGGUCAAGAGUAAAGAUCAUUUACUAAAACAUAUAAACCUUAAUUCUGUUUUAUGAAAUAUCUAAUCGCAAUAACAAUAACAUAAGAAAAAAAAACGUACACAAACACACCAAUUUAAGGGUCGGCUCCAAACACUUAAAAGUAAAGAGUAAAUGCAUCCGUAAGAGCGCAGAUUCAUAACAAAAAAUUCGCUGAUCCACAGUAAAACAAUAGGAGACAACCAGUACGAUAAGAGGUCUCAUCAGUCAUCGCUAAGAGGCCACACAGUCAGUACAUGAUGAUAAUAUGCGAGUUUUAUAAAAAUACAACAAAUGAGAUUAGAUCGGAAAAAAUGGGAACACAACAAACCCAAACAGAAACUAGAAAAUUCACAUCAAAGAUUCCGUUCAGAAACUUCAACAGCAGAACUUCGGAAAUAGUUAAGGUGAACAGUAAACACUAUAAGAGAUAUAUUUAGGAAGAACAGAUCUCAAUCUAGAAGUAAAUAUGAGAAAACCAACAGACAAAUCCGACAAUCUGAAGUCUGUGCGAUCAGAAAUUUAAGAAAUAGCCAAGGAUCAGACCCCAGAAGUUUAAAAAAUAAAAAAUAAAAAAGGAAGCAGAAUAAAGACGAAUAAGGAUCGUUUUUACCAAAGACGAACCGAGAAGAAAGUGAAAGUAUGAAGAACUGCCGGAUCUGAAGGUGAAAUUGAAAGUGAUCGGUAGAAGAAUUGUGGAUCUAAAAGAGAGAAAGAGGAGUAUACCUUAGGAGAAAACUGAUGGCCGCGAGGGAAACUGGGAGGAGUCUGCCGCGGCUACAAUGUCGCGUAGGACGAAUGCGAAAACUUCAGGAGAAGAGAGGGUUUCCCGCUGCACCAUGGGUCAGUAUUAAGGGUUUAAAAUGGGCCCUUAUUGGGCCUUUAUUACCAAAGCCUUUACCAUAAGAUUUUAUGUUCUCCUUUAUUUUUAAAAAAUCAUAUUUAAAAUAAUUACAAAUAUAAACCAAUAUUAAUGUUACAAAUCUAUUAUUAAUAAACAAAUAUUCACUCAUACAUAAAUUCUACCAAAAUAUAAAUCUAUCACUAAUACAUGCAAAACAUAAUAAAAAUAAAAAAUUUAGUGUGUUAUUACUCAAUAACUUCUUGAACAUGUUUUUAUUUUUCAAGGUUAGAUGGAAGGUUUAAACUUGAAUUUUAAUUCUUCACAUGUCACUUGGACAUAGCACUAGAAAUAAACUAAAAAUUAUUGACAUAGAUAUUGAUUUUAUUCAUUAAUUAGUGUUGACACAUUAUUGUGUUUACGUGUCUGAUUUUAUUGAUAAAGUAUUAUUAAUAAAAAAUGGUACAAACUUUCAUUAACGACUUAGUAUAAAGUUGAGAAAAUUGAAAAAUGGAAGGCCAAAUUGAUAAUUAACUACAAAAUUAAGGUUUAUAUUAUAUACUUUAAAUAAUAACAACAAUAACAAAGUUGAAUAAAAUCGUGCUCACUUCUGCACGCCUUUUUUCUUUUUUUAUUUUUUAUAUAUUGGUCAUAGAUUAAACGAAAAGGCAUUUCUAUAACUAGCCAUAUGUUAAAUUACAAUAUUAACAACUAGUGUCAUAAUCCAUAAUUUAAUCAAUAUAUAGUAUGUGUUUUCAUUAUACAUAAAAAGGCAUUAUCAGUUAAACUAUAAAAUAUGUUAAGUUACAAUAUCAAUCUCUAAUUUUGUGUUAAGUUACAAUAUCAAUCUCUAAUUUUGGUUAUUGGUAUAAUAAAUUACCAUUGAGAUCUCUAAAAUUUUGAAACAUUUAAUAUGUUUAUGAGCUUUUAAUUUCAUAACAGUAAUGUAUUUUUUUUCUAAUUACACCAAAUACGUAUGACUCGUUAGACACCAGUUUUAAACUUUUUUUUUCUUUUUACUUUUUGCUUUUCUGUAUAGACAUUCACUUUGGACAAUAUCCAUCCCUUUAGUUUCGCCCUCUCUCCCAUCAUCACUGCUCUUCCAUUACACAAACAAACAAACAUGAAAGCGAAAUUACAUAUCCAUCUUUAUUUUGAAAUUUGGGCAUCACAUUCCUCGGAGUAGGUGCAAGACGGACUCAACCCAACUCUAACAGAUGCUGGAAUUCCUUCGGCCCUUCAUCGAUUUUCCUCGCAAAAAAGUUGUCUUCAUUUGCAUUAGAGAGGCCUCCAGCUUAGACCGUGUACAAUUCUCACUCCAUCCUCAUCCAAUCCUUCUUAACUGCCACUUUGUUCCAAUAUUUUCCCAUUAUGUUUGGGUAUUGUUUUGUAAUUGAAUGUUAAGCAAUAUGAUUCAUGAUUUAGGGGAAAAUAUACAUUUUUGUCUCUCGCUUUAGAUUGAAAUACAUAUAUGAUUUAGUUAUGAUUUUUGGAAGAAAAAUAGGACACGGCAGAGAGUUUUAUUCAAUGUGACAUAAAAGGGUUCUCAUGGGCCGCUGAUGAACUAUAAAGCAUAUGUUUGGUAUGAAAGUCAGAAUUUAGGCGAGAAUUUGAGGGGUUUGGCCACUUAUUUGAUGUGUUCAUUGUAGAGCUUGAAUGGUCUAUUUUGUGCAAAUUUGACUUUUAUUCAAGUGGUGGCCGGUGGGUUGUUGAAGUUCUUAUAUAUUAUUUCUUUUGAAGUUCCAACUAAGUGGGCGAAUUAGAAAAUUCUGAAUAAAAUAUAAAUAUUAGUACACUUGAACUAUUCAUGUUGCCAAAUUUAGUGGUGAGAAUGGAUUAGUUGAUUCGAACAUUUAUUUACAUACAUAAUAAUGUUACUUACCAGAUUUAUACAUCUUUUUCGACGUGUUUGAGGAUUGUGAAAAUGGAAUAGAGCUAGAGAAUAACAAGGCAAACACAAUACUUGUUUGAAUGAAAAAAAUCAAUCAUUUGUGCAUCUAAAUCAUAUAUCUUUGCAUUCAUUUGCUAACAAUUGUUACGUAAAAUGCUAAUUCUUGAUCUCCUCAUGCGUACUGAAAGCUGAAUAAACUUUGUUGUAUGGCUAUUCUAAGAACUAAAAAAACAGAGUUAAAAGAUUUAAAGGUAGAUUGGUUUGAUUUUGGAAUUUCUAGAUCGUAAAACAUUCCGUCUACUACAAGCCCCCAGAUGAACAUCCUCAGUUGUAAAGUAAGUGAAAGUUUCACUUAAAUAAACAGAAUACAAUUAAAUCAAAAUAUCUGAGAAAUUAUUUUGAGAUUCUAAUGGGUGAUCCCAAUGUGAAACACUUCUAAAAGCUCUGCAUCUCAGUCGAAAACUAAAGUAUAGCCUUUUAAUAACUGAAAAGUUUGGGAAUUACUCCCUUCAAAACUAAAUUAUUGAAGGAAAAAAAAUGGCCGGAACAAAGUCCAAAACUCUGGAGACAUUUUCAUCAACAUCUGAAAAAUGAAUAAACCUUUAAGGUGAGGUUAACUACCUCAGCUUAUGCGCCACCAGAUCCGUAUUUCUUCCCGAAGACGAUCACCUGCAACUUAUCGUAACCGGCAAGCACACCAGCACCAGCAACGGCACGGAGAAUGUUAGCACCAGCACCCUUGAAGAGAGACUUGGCACCUUCGUUCUUCAAGAUCUGAGAGAAGGCAUCCAUUGAGCUCUUGUACUUCACUGCUUCACCAGACGUCAUCAUCAUUCUUCUACGAACAGUGUCAAUUGGGUAGGAUGCGAGACCGGCACCAUUGGUGAUGAGCCAACCAAGGGCAAAGCUAGCGAAGAAACUAUCCUGCACUCACAAAAAAAGUAGAAUAUAAUCAGAACAUAGCAAUUCAAACAUUGGCAUCCACUGAUGAACCCAAUUUAUAUAAUCCCCACAGCAAACAACUAACACCACUAGCAAACUGACCUGCAUCUUCCCGGUCAACAAAACAGGCUUUAGAGAAUCGUACAUUCCGAAGUAUAAACCUCGGUACACGAUGAUACCAACGCAAGAAAUGUUAAACCCACGAUAUAGACCAGCAACACCAUCAGACUGCAAUGUCUUCCUGUAGACAUCAACCAGUCCAUUGAAUUGCCUUUCUCCACCCUUCUUGGCAGCUUUGGCAUCAUUUGCCAAUCGGGUACGAGCAUAGUCAAGAGAGUAAACAAAAAGAAGAGAUGAAGCACCAGCUGCACCACCGGAUGCCAGGUUACCGGCAAACCAUUUCCAGUAACCAUCCCUGUCUUUCUUGAAGUUGAAAAGUCUCUUGAAGUAAUCCUUAAAAGCAAAGUUCAAUGCCUGGAGCAAAAAACCGUAAAACAAUUAGCUCAAGAAAGUUGAGAAAAUGGAGAGAUAAAAUUAGCUCAAGAAACAAUUAGCUCAACAGAAGAAAACCACUCACUUGAGUGGGGAAAUAACGGAUGACAUUGGCAGUGUUUCCUCUCCACAAUGAACCGAAACCCUCCUCUUGCAUUGUGCGCUUAAAACAAUCACCAAUACCCUUGUAUGGCUCAGACAAACGUCCGGAUUUAAUCAUCUCAUCCUGAUUUUGAAUUAAGAGUUUGACACGCUCAAUGGGGGCAGCAGCUGUCUUGGACACAGCAGCAGACACACCACCCAUAAGAAAGUCAAGCAUAAAGUUUCCUUUCUCAGCAGGGGCAGCAACAAAAAUGGGGGAAGCGGUUGAGGCAACCCUAGAAAGAUCAGUUGUAGCUACACAGGAUUGCACAGCAGGAUAUUGAAAAGCAACAUUGGAAUAAUUGGUGAUCGGUGCACGUCUCUGAUAGAGAGCAGGAUUCCUAAGGCCAUCAUCACUGGCACGAAAACCCGAAGCAACCCUCGACUGAAGAGAGAGCUGACCAGCAACCUUCUGAUAGAUAGUGGGAUGUUGAACCUGAUCAGCCAUGGCUACUUCUUCCCUGCAAUAAUUUCCAAAAUCCACGUCACAUGAGAAAUUCUAUUUCAAGUUUAGAACAGAAAUUAAAGAAAAACUAUCCCGACAAUAGGCCAAAAGUAGAGAUUUUGAAAGGCAUAGAUAGCUAUUAAAGAAAAAUGAGAUCCUGCAAACCGUGGACACUACUAUAAAUCUUCGUUGAAAACAGAUCUAAAAUGACGAAUGCCAAGAACGGUUGAAAAAUAGCAAGAUGGACAAGUAUUUAGAGAUCGUUUGCAACAUAACAUAUGAACCUUUAAUGAUUCAUCGAAGCCCAAUUCGGCAGAACGCAAAAUGAUUAAUAAGAUAAGAAAAUAAAAACGUAUACAAACACAUCAUUUUAGUCUCCGAAUCAAAGCAUAUAAACCAAUGAGGAAAUACAUCCACAAGAAUACAGAUUCAUAACUAGAAAUUUGCUGAUCCAGAGUGAAACAACAGGAGACAAUCACUAUGAGAAGAGGUUUGCUCAUCCCUUAGAGUCCACAUAUUCAAUCUAUCAUGACAAUAUAAGAGGUGAAAAAAAAUACAACGCAUGAAAACAGAUCGAAAAGAAUGUAAACAUAACGAAACCGAACCGAUACCAGAAAAUUCACAUAAAAUAAAAACAAAAAAUAAACUCGUAGUUAAGGUGAACAGUAAACAACAACAGGUAAUAUAUUUCGGAAAAAACAGUAUAACAACCAUAAAUAAAUAAACUUGAUUUACAGAUCUCGAUCUAGAAAUUAAUACGAUAAGACCAAGGCACAAAUCCGACAAACUGAAGUCCAUGGAAUCAAAAAUUAAUGGACUAGCGACGGAUCAGAUCCCAGAAAAGAGGAGAAGAAAGACGAAUAAGGAUCGGUUUUACGAAAGACGAACCGGUAAGAAGGUGAAGCUAUGAAGAACUAACGGAUCUGAGAAUGAAAUUGAGAGUGAUCUGAGAGAGGAGUGGUGUAUCUAAAAGAGAGAAAGAAGAUUAUACCUUAGGAGAAAACUGAUGGCCGGGAGGGAAUUUUGGAGGAGUCCGCCGCGGCUACAAUGUCGCGUUGGAAUAAGGCGAAUAUUUCAGGCGGGGAAAGGCUUUCGCGCUGCAAUAUAAUGUCGGGAUUAGGGGUCUAAAAUGGGCCGCUAUUGGACAACGUUGGGCCUCUAUAGGAAAGCCCUUACCCAUGAGAUUUUGAUUAUCGACUUUUAUGGUUAAUUAACGUGUGGACAUCUUCUUUGAACAUACCGUUAGAAGUUGUGUUAAUUAGUAUUUAAAUAUUAGGUUGUGUGUCUAAUUCUGUUGAUUAAGUGAUAAUUAAGAAUGUUACUAUGUUUUUAUUAAGUUUUAAAAUGUGAUAACUAACUAUAAGGUUCGGGUUUGUUUUUCAUACUUUAAAAAAAACAAGAUAUUUUUUUCGUAACUAACAGAAAAAAAUAUAAAGUGAAAAACAACUAUCAUCUUUUAAAAGAUGGUCCACUCAUAGAGGAUGAUCUUCAAGCCAAAUGAAUAUCAAUUAAUGUGUGUGACAUGUGCAACAAAAUCGAACAACUGAAGUGACAUUGCAAUUAAUAAAGGCGAAACCUUUGAUUUAUCUACUCGAAUGUAGCUCAUAUAAGAAGUCAGUAAAAUACCUAAUAUUGUUACCAUAGCAUGGAAUGUAGUCAAUAGAUUCCAAGUUGAACGAAUCACACCAUGGUGAUAAUAAUAUAAAUCUUGCUCGUCCUUGCACACCAACUUUUAGAGCUUUUUUCCUUUCUAGUGAUAGGUUAAACAAAAUGACUUUUUUUUCUAGUAAAGAUAAACAUGUUAAAUUACCUGUUUUGAGAAUAGAUAUUCAAUUUCUAUUCCUUUUAAAUGGUUUGAUUUAUCGUUUGCAUUUGAAUCUCUCACUAUUAUUCUACUUAUGAAAAUGCUUAUUUUUAUAUUACAAGUUUAAGUCGAUUAUUGGACCGAAUUAUACUUUUGUUAACCGUAUCAAUAUUUAAUAUUUUAUGCAGCUAUAAAUAUGUUGAAUUACUAUUUAGAUGUCUAGAAUUUUAAAAUAUAUAACUUUACUUACUAAAUACUGUUUAGAAAAAAAUGUUAAAUCAUGCACAACCAAAAGAACUUACAAAUGCUAUAAGCACUAGCAUGGAACUUCUAACAUUCUGCUACUCGGUUGAUUUCCAACAUCGAUGAUUAUAAGGCCAUACUGCGACCUAAAAGUUGAGUUUUGUAACACUUGAAUACUUUUUUCUUUUAAUUUUUUCUUUGGUGGAGAAUCAAAUUCUUGCCAUUUUUAUCGAGUAUAUAAAGUCUCAAUCAACUUAGUUGUACUCGUGUUGACUUUUAACAUUUAUGAGAUAUAUGUCACUAGGACAUGGAUCAAACGCAUAAAAAUUAGAAACCUAAUAAUCAAUAUGCAUGUAAAAUCGAAGGUUGUAAAAUAUUAUUGACCCUACUAAAAAUAACACGUGAAUUACUGUUUGAUGCCUAAAAAGUCGUAUUGUUAAGUUUUAAGUUAGAAUCAAAAUUAGUCACUAAAUUUAAAAACGUAAAUACUAAUAUACCAAUAAAAUGUGCACAAUUGUAAUGAAACUCAAUUAAUUGAUCAUCAUAACAUAUUUCAACCAUGAAGGUAAUUGAACUAUUUUUGUUAACACAGUUACAUAAAAUUAUAAACUAUCAAAUCCAGUAUUAUCCAUAACAAUAAUGACAGUAACAACAAUAACCAUGACAAAAAGCGAAUUCAUAUAAUUAUAUAUAGAAAGGACAUUUGGUUAAUGAUAUAAAAAAAAAAGAGUUGAAUUAGUAAUAAGUAUAGGAAAGUAAAUGUGAAAAUUGAUACAAAUAAGGGAUAAAAAAAAUGUAUGUGUUUUAGUAAAAAAUGUGAAUGAGUGCAAAUAAUGGAGUAAUGUAGGUAGUAAGAAAAAAAAGGAAAAGCAAUAUUAAAAGGCCGCCAAAUAACAUAAACGUUUUGAUUUAAAAAGAACAGAAAAGAAAAAAAGGAUUUUGGCAGCAGCCCACGCACAUGGAUUGGUUACACUUCACAUGCUCCGUUUGCCCCCCUCUUACCACCGACGCAACCUAACGUUUAACAUUAACUCCAUAAAUCCCAAUUCUCAAUUGCUUAACAACUCACUAUCACAAUAUCGCAAACAAUAAUGAUAAUCUCUCUUCUAUAUAUAUAUUUUUUUACUUAUUUAUACACACACAUAUAUAAUUAUAAAUUGUGAAGUGUCUGAUUUAUUACCAAAAUCUAUUCUAUUUUAAUUUUGUAUUUUUUAAUAUUAUUGUUUGUUUAAUUAUAUAUAUAUAUAAAAAAAAAAUGGAAGGGUUUAGGCUUUAGCGUGUUCAAUAAUGAAGAUUCGUGUUGGCGGUGCCAACUGUAAUCUAGCUGUCAGUAACUAAAAUUCCAUUGCCCAGAAAUCUCUCCUUCUUCAGCCUUACGCCAAAAUUUCAUCUCCCAUUCCCCUUUUUACCCUUUUCUUCCUUUUCUGUUUUUAAUACUCACUUCACAAAACCGCGUCUCCCCUUCUUCAAUGGCGUUACUCUUUACACUUUCACUCUCUUGAGUCUUGAUCUCCAUUCCAAACUCAAAUCAACGCUCUACAAUCUUCCAUUCUACCUUAACCCAACUCCCAUUUCUUCAACACCCCAAUAACUCCCACAAUGCACGCUAAAACCGACUCCGAAGUCACCAGUAUCGCCCCUUCUUCUCCGACCAGAUCUCCUCGCCGUCCUGUCUACUUCGUUCAGAGCCCUUCCAGAGACUCACACGAUGGGGAGAAGACUGCCACCUCCUUUCACUCUACUCCUGUUCUCACUAGUCCCAUGGACUCCCCUCCCCAUUCUCGCUCCUCCGUCGGCCGUCACUCUAGAGAAUCUUCCUCCAGUAGGUUUUCUGGAUCUCUUAAACCUGGAUCCAGGAAGAUCACUCCUAAUGACGUCUCUCGCGGCGCACAUCGGAAGGGUCAGAAGCCAUGGAAGGAAUGCGAUGUGAUCGAAGAGGAAGGUCUUCUUGAAGACGAAGAUCGGGGAAAAUCUCUUCCUCGUCGCUGUUAUGUUCUCGCUUUCAUUUUGGGAUUUGUUGUUCUUUUCUCUAUGUUUGCUUUGAUUCUUUGGGGUGCUAGUAGGCCGAUGAAGCCCAAGAUCACUAUGAAGGUAAAACCACAAUAGCAAUGCAAUACAUUUUCUAUAUUAGGGAUUUUUUUUUUCUUGUUUCUUGUUCGUUGAAUUUCCGAAUUUUUUACAGAGCAUUACAUUCGAGCAAUUCAAAAUCCAAGCCGGUUCCGAUUUUACGGGCGUCGCCACUGAUAUGGCUUCCGUAAAUUCUACUGUGAAACUCAUUUUUCGAAACACCGGAUCAUUCUUCGGCGUCCACGUCUCUCCUACUCCCGUCGAUUUAUCAUAUUCCGAAAUCACAGUCGCAUCAGGAACCGUAAGCUCCCAAAACCCUAACCCCCAAAUUUCUUCUCAUUCAAUCUCUAACAAAUUGUCGGAAUUUUCAGGUUAAAAAGUUCUAUCAAUCACGGAAGAGUCAUAGAUCUAUGACAAUCAAUGUAAUCGGUACCAGAGUCCCACUGUACGGAAGUGGAGCAAGUCUGAGCGGUUCCACUGGAACCCCCGAAACACCAUUGCCGUUGAAACUGAGAUUCGUGAUCAGAUCCAGAGCCUACGUGCUGGGCCAAUUAGUGAAGCCAAAAUUCUACAGACACAUCGAUUGCCCCAUAAUUUUCGAUUCCAAGAAACUCAAUGUCCCCAUGUCGCUCAAGAAUUGCACAGUCGUUUGAAAACGAAAACGAAAACGAAAUCGAGAAUCACUUGAACAUUUAUUAAGAUCAGUACUUGUUUUUUUGUUCUUGAGGUGUCUAGGAAAUGGCGGACUGCGACAACUGGAACAGAAACGGGGGACGCCAGAACGGGAAGGGUAAAAGUGGAAUAAGCGACAGAAACGGGGUUUCGAUUGGCUGCCCGUUUGCCCGACUAGUGCAAUACAGGUCGGUUUCCGGGCAGCGACAUGUGAAUGAAUGUUGGCUUUUAUUUUAAUUUUUUUUCGAUUUUUAAUUAUCUCAUUCUUUUAAUUACCAUAUGUGUGAGUGAUGAUAAUCAUAAUAUAUAUAAAAUCAAAUUUUAGUUUACAUAUUUUUGCUCCAUCAUUGUACUAUUUAUUAUUCUUAAUAAUGCUUUACUUAAUACUUUUAGAGUUUGAUUUGUUCAUAAUGGACGGUGGCUGAUUGGUAAAAUAAUUGCGUCUGGAAGGCUGUGUUUGUCUUUUGGAUGUUUGUUUGUUUAUUGCAAUUAAAAGUCAAACUUGAUAACAAUUCUUUAUAUAUUCAUAUGCAUUUCUUUAAUCCAUAUUGCAAGGGAUGCAUGUGAAGUGAUGUUCUUCAUUUUAUAAUUAGUAUCAAUAAACCGACUUCCCAGUUUUAUUUGUUUGUUUGAUUGGGAACAAAAUCUAAAUUGGAUCUUUGGUUAGUAGUAAAAUUUAUACUUACCAUUCGAAUUAUGAUGUUAAGUUUGAUUAAUACAGAAAUCCUAUAACAUACCUCUUUGUUUGAUAAUCCGUUUUUGUUGGGGUUUGGUAAGAGCAGAGUAAGAGUGAAAGGAGUAAGGAUGUUUUGAUUUUGUUAUUAGAGAACCCUUUUGACAUGUCCUUAAUUAAUCAAACUCCUCUGUAAUGUAUUAUAAUUGUAAAUGUAAAUUAAGUUGCUCUAGGAUUAGGCUCCUAUAAAUGGAUCAUUUGUACCUUGAUCAUAUCCAAUGUGUGAAAAUUACACCCAUUAUAUACUCAAUCACUCUCUCGCUUUGAAUCUCAUAGUCUCUUGUGUCGAUCCUUUAGGUUCAUCAAAUAUAAUUCACAAUCCUAUAAAUAUUGUAUCUGAUAUUCAAAAUUUAUGAAGCCUAAGACUUUGAUAUACCAAACGAACAACUAAUAUAAGCUAUCUCCUGACAUAACUCUGAUUCCACACAAAUUUAAAAUGGAAAAAUUCCUUGUGUUACCUAAUAUCUUUAAUCAAUGUACUAAUUAUGCAUAUAAAUAAUGAUAUUGUACACCUUCAAUUUAAACUCUUGUUAUUUGAUUUUGGAACCACAAAAAAAGUCGUAUAGUUAGAAAAUAUACUUGUUCUCACUUUUAUAUACGAGUUUUCUCCUCAGCCAACAUGAAACUGUGGUAGGGACAACGUAUACUCUCUAAAGUCUAACAUAUCUAUCUACAAUAGUAUUGUAUUGUCUACUUUGAGCACAACUCUUGUAACUCCCUUCUUUUUUUUUCAUUUUACGUAAAAUUUCUUAUACUUCUAGAGAUAAUUGUCAUCUCACUGUAUAUCUACGAAGGUGGAACUAGCGAUAAACAGCUAUUUCAGCCAAGAUUUGAAGAGUAGAGUUAAGAUCUUCCUUCAUUCUUCAAAAGCUUGUAUACUCUAAUCUCAACUUUGUUUUCUUUGUUCUUUUUGGGCCUUUCUAGCUCAAACUGAGAUCACAUCGUUCCUAUCACUUUUGGGGGAAGAUGAAACUGUGCCACUUUAAUGUACAAUGAUCCCAGGGCCCAAAAAUUGAGCCCAUUUGUACCGAACCCAUGAAAUGGGUCCAACCCACACUAAUCCCAAGUGUCUUAAUGCUUAGGAAGCACAAGGCCCAACUGCACUGAAGAAGGUAUCAACAGUUUAACGAGAGUAUGAAUUAAUUCUGCUUUAAUCUAUCAUAUAAUAAUACUAAUCUUCACUCUAUGUAUAUUCCAAUCAUACAUUAAUGAUAAUACAGUACUACUAACCAAUAAUAACAUAACGUGGGUGUAAUUUCAAAGUUCCAUAGCUCCAUCAUUCAAACAAAGAAAAAAAAAAUGGAGAAAUUGCUGAAUGGGUUUUGGAAUUAGAAGAAAAGUGAAGAGAGUGAGGGAGAUAGAUUUUAAUGAACUUUGUUUGGCUUAUGUAAUGAUGGGUUCGAAAGUGAUGACAAAGAGGAAAAAAUGAAAAAUGGUUGUGCCAUGAUUAUAAACUAUAUGUAUAAUUAGUGUUACAUUAAUUAUUGAAUCUCCACUUCCACUUUCACCACCGCAAAUCUCAGCCCAUACAAGUCCUGUCAUACUCAUACCUCUUUGCCUUUUUCUUUUUUCGACCUCUCUCUCACACACACACACAGUCUCUCUCUCUCUCUCUCUCUCUCUCUCUCUCUCUAAAUAAUAAUAAGAAGAAGAAAAAGAAAAGAAGUGAAAAAAUGUUGUUUUUUGUAAUGUAAAUCUGUAGUGGACAGACUGAAAUUCCAUUAAGGAAUAAGGAGUGGGACUUUGGUUUCACUUCAAUCAUCGAUCCAACACUCCUUAUUCCCUAUAAAGCUGCUUCUCUCAUUUCCUUUCCUAUCCUUUUUUUUCUUUCUUUUACUAACUUUCUUUUAUUUUUAUUAUUUUUUUCCGUUCCUUCGUUCUUUGUCUUUGUGGGGUCUUUUGUGCCUUUCUUCCACUUUGUAUCUAUUUGUUUUUCCUCAUAGAUUUUAUGCAUCAUUCAUCUCUUUCAAAAAAAGAAACAAAGGGAAAAAUUAAAAUCUUCAAAUCCCACUUUCCUUCUUCACUCAUUCCUCCUUUUCUCUUCUUUCUCACACACAGAAACAGUCUACAAAAAAGACAAAAAAUAAAGAAUGAUAAGUUUAUGAUCAAAUGGAAUAAAGAAUAUUUAUAUAUAUUAAGGUGUGUGUGUUCUGUGUGAGUGUGUGUGAUAUAUAUAUAGGGUGUUGAAAAGACAUUAUGUUGUAUGGUGAUAAUGUUCUGAAGUUUGUUAUGUUUUAUAGUUUUGAAGGAGAAAUUAUAAGGAGGAACUGAUAAAUGAUGGGAUUGGGAAUUGAUGGAUAAGAAAUGUGUGUAUUUGUUAUUAUUUUUAUUUUUUACUUUUUGGGGGAUGGAUCGUGAAAACAGCUUAGAGUUUCUUUAAUUAAAGCCAACAUCAGAAAAAAGCACCAGCAUUGUAAGUUUUGGUUCCACUUUUGGUAACAGUAGACGUGAUGCUAUAAAGGGCAAAAAUUUAAAAAACAAAAACUCAGAUUUCAAGUCUCUACUCCUAUAAUCUAAUUUACUAACUUUCAAGCUCUUUUCUUUCUUUAAAAUAAAUAUAUAUCUAUAUAUAAUAAAAGUUUGAUCAUAUGGAAUUUAAACCAAUUAUUUCCUUUUCUUUUCAAAAUGAAUAUAAUUGAUAACACAAGCACACACAACUCUUUUGUUGUGUUUUGUUUUUUUCUCUUGGAAAAAUACUUUUUUUUUUUUUUUCAUAUUUAAAAAUUCUACAUUUUAAACUUUUUUCAUUACAUCUUCACUCUCAACCACUAACAUAAAUAUCUAAUAAUUGAUUUAAAAAGAAUUAUGAAGUGGAAAUUUGAAUUUAAUUUUAAUAACAGUGAAAAAUAGUUAAACUUAAUUAAUUAUAAUUAUUUUUAAUUAAUCAACACUAAGGAUGAAAAAUGAACCUUUAAUGAAAAUCUUAAACCUACACACAAAACUGAAUGAUUGAAUGGGUAGCAUUUUGAAAACAUGUAAACCAAAUGAAAACUAUACUUAAAAAUCAAAGUGAAAUCAAAGUGUGUGUGUGUGUAUAAUGUUAAAGGAAAUAUUAAGGUCCCAUAAGAUUGGAAUAGAAAUAAUGUGUAAAAUGUAAUAUAAGAUGGGGGGGACAGAGGUGAAGGGGAAAGGGUGUGUUAGUGUUACCCCAGAAAAGGGACCGGGGAAAUUCUAUGGCUUUAGCUGAACGAUCUGCAUCUGAUGACUCAACAUGCAAUCCCCUUUUCUUAUUGACGUGAUUGAGCAGCCAAAAGUUUUUUUGUUUCCUAAGUGGAUAAUUAGGUGGUGGGUUUUAUAAGGAAAGGAAAACACAUAUGAUUAAUUAUUUUUUUACAAAGACAUUCAUACCCCUUAUAUAUAUUCAUCUCACACACCCAAAACCAAAACCAAAAAAUAAAAAUAACUAUCCUUCAAAUCAUUCAUACAUGAUUCUAUGACCAAGUUGAGGUUAACUUUGGCAGAAUUAUUAACACACACACACAUAUCUAUAUUCUUUUGUAAACUGGAAAAAAAUGGCAUAAUUGACAAUCAUUUAGGGCAAAAAAGACAGAAAAGAUUGAAACUUUAAGCAUGAGGAUAGAAAAUGGAGGGACCCAAAUGAAUAUUUAGGUUUUUGAUAUGGAUCAUAUAUACGACAUUAAUUACUCUGAAUCCCUUGGAUUGGGGGAAGAAGGGUUUUGGGUGCAAAGGCUAUGUUAUGGUAUUAGGGCAAAGGGCAAAAAUGAAUGGGACCCUCUCUUUUUCAAUCUAUAUAUCCUUUUUCAUUUUUAACAUUGAUUACAUAUAUAUAUACACACACACACACAUAGGUAAGUCAUAUAGUAUAAAAAGAAGAGAAGAGGAAGAGAAGAAAAAGAAUGUGAUAUCCAUGUGAUCUAACAGCCUUUAUGUUCCCCUCUUCCAUCCACAUUCUAAAACAUCUCUUCCUUUCUUUUUCUUCCCCUUCUUAAUCUUUGAUCAUAUUUGAAUAAUCAAUGCACAUGUGUGUUCAUGUUUUGUACUAAAGAAAAAGAAGAAAAAAACCAUUGCUAGGCCCCCAUUGAUUUUGCAAGCCUAGGGGUCGGCCAUUACCUGGUCAUUUCACCCAUUUAAAGCAUGUCAUUAGUGGAAUUCCAAGGCCCAAUAUCACAUCAACUUGUCAGUUUUGAUCAUUCUAACCUUCCAUCUCAACUUUGUGUUUUCUCUAAAUCUACUCCUAUCUUUUUUUUUUGGUUGUUGUAACAUGUAUAAGUCAUUCCUGUGAAAUCAACUAUGAUAAAAAAAAAAUUAAUGUGUAAUUAAACUAAUAGAUAAUAUAAUUACGUUCGUGAGUAGUUGAAGAAAACAAUUUACCUAUUAGAAAGACUAAUUCAAAUUAUAGAUCAAAGAUGUCUUCAUGGUCUAGAGAAUUUAUAGAGUCCACUCUUUAGACCCCUAUACUCGACCGUUUGUGCACAACAUAAUAUGUAUACGUUAAUACGAGAGAGUCGAGUAUGAAAAUGUAUUUUGCAAUAUUAAUGUGUCUAAAAUAUAUAGGUUGGAGCUCAAUUUAAAAAAAAUAUAUUUUAAUAACAUAUUUGGAUUGGGUGGAUCCAUGAAGUGGAAGCAAAAAAACAUGGAGUAAGCUCAUUUCAUAUUCAAGUGAUGUCCUACAAUAGGUUCUAAUGCUCACGGAAAAUAAUGAAGAAGAAAACAUGCCUUUUCUAUUAUUAUUUGUAGAAGGGUUUGUGGUUGGUGUCUUAGCUCUAGGGCUUCUUUAGUAAAAAGAAAAGGUAGAGAGGAAAAGGAAAGAUAAUGUGGGGGAAAGACAUGAGACAUUUAUUGUAUUUUCUAUCCUUUUGAUGAUAUACUCUUUGUAAAGUGACCUAAAAUUAGCUUUAUUUGUUGAUAAGAAACCAUUGGUCAUAUGAAAGUUCAAUUUUUUAAAUGAAAGUUUCUUUUGAAUUAAUUAGAGGGAGUGUAUAGGUCUCAAUUUGGUGGAAGUCUUAUUUUCCUAUUUUUUAAUGUCUUUUGUUGGAGAAAAUCAACUUUUGCAUGGAAGUAUAUAUAUAGUCUAACCCCCUUUUUCUAAAGAGAAAAUUUUAAAUUGGCCUAACCUUCCUUUAAGUUAGGGUAUUAUCAACUUCCAAUUAUAAAAUCAAUUAGCAUUACUAAAAAAAGAUACCAAAUCUUUUUUUGUAUAUACAAAAAAAAAAGAUCUUAAUAUAAAAAAAAACAACGAAUGUCAUGUUAGUUUUUUUUUUAUUAGUGAUUAAUAAAAAACUAAUUGUGUGGAUAAAAAUACUUCCAAAUCAAAUUUUAUGAUUAAACUUAAAAUUUUAGAUACUAAAAUACUAUAUAUCGUACUCAAACUUUAAUUUACAAAAAGUAUAAAUUUCUCUAUUUAAUUUUAGCACCUAUGUAUCUACGCCUAUUGACCCUUGUUACUCCUGUGACUUGUUAAAAAAUAAAACUAUACACAUGUAAGUCAAUAUUUGAGCCACUAGUCAUAAAGUUAGAAAGUUAAGAUUCUAUUGGUUAUCAUUGCCAUUGAAAUUUUACUUGCACACUUCAAUAUAUUUAAUAAUGGUUCAAAAAGAAAGAUUUAAAAAUGCCUACUAGUUUUUAUAUGGAAACAAGUCUAUUAGUCAAAUUAAGAUAGUCAUGUUGUGAUAAGAAAUAAUACUCAAAAGCUUUAGUAGGUGAAAUUAUUGAACCUAGCAUGUUUGAAGAAUGCGACCGAAAGAAUUCACCUUUAAUUAAACGGUGAAUCUAGAAAAAUUAUUGAAUGAUUGAAAUGGUACUACGAUUCUUGAAGCUUGGUGUCAAGGGAAGUUUAGAGGUAAUGAGGUGGUCUUACCUAUACAUCUAGUGGGAAUAAAACCUCAUUAUUUAAAUUACAAUGAAGCCAAAAAUAAUAAUGAAGCGAAAGGGUUGUAAAUUGAUUCAUGUCACGUUGGGAAUACCAUAUUUUUUUGGAAGGGACAUUUGAUUGAUAGCAUACAAUAAAUAUAUAAGAAGAAAUUAUGUGUUCCCAAAAGGUAAGGUAAGUCUUCGAUUUGCCUUCGAAUUACAACCCGUCAUUACGUUCUAAAAACCAAAUAUUCGGAAGGAGGUGAAGAAGUAUAUAUACAUAGUGGUUAAUUAACAUAAGAUUUAUAUGCUUUCAACCAAAAGGCUAAAGUUACGUUUGAACCCACCUCUUCCAAAUUUUUGUACUAAGAAAACCAUUCAUGGUUAAUCAGCUUUCUUAUACUUUAUUUGUACAACAUUUUUUUAAAAUAAAUUUUCUUAUAUAUGUUUAAAGAAUAAUAUAGUAGAUUAAUUUUCUUAAAGAAAGAAAAAAGAAAAAAGAAAAAGAAAAAAAGUUGAAGGUUUGAAUAUGGUAAAGGUGGUAUGAAUGGUGUCAACGUACGGGUACAUUUGGUUUAUCCUUUGAUACUAAUUUCUUGGAAUCGUGAAAUUGUAAAAUAUUUGUGAAGGAAAUCCAUACACCAAACCAAGCAAAAGAGUACUAAAAAAGAUAUAUAUAUAGGAAUAGGAAGAAAAACAAAGGGUGUGUGUGUGUGUAUGUAUGACUGUAUGUGUGUUGUUGAAUCAAUUAGGCAUUAAUUAGGGAGUGUGAAUUCUUUGUAGGAUCCAUAUACCCCUCGUGACCCUUUAAUUCAUCUCUCUCUCUCUCUCUCUCUCUCCUUAAAUAUACACUUAAAUAUUACUCUCUUUUUCUUUUAUUUUACCCUUUCUUAAGACAUACCCUCCACAAAAAUGCUUCUUCUUUUCUUUCAAAAAAGUAAUUGAUUAUAAAAAGCUUUAAACUUUGUUAAUUUCUUUAGACCAAACUAUUUCCAAUGAAGAAAACAACCUUUUUCUUUUCUUUUCUUUUCUUUUUUUCCUAAAUGGUUUAAAAAGGUUUUGUCGGAAUAAAAUUAUAUAAAAAAAAUUAGUGUUAAAAGACGUAACUUUCUUCCAUGGUUUGAUUAAAGUGUUCAUAUAAUAUAAUAUAAUAAUAAAACAAUGGACAUUAUUGAAAACUUAUUGUUGGAAUAAGAAGAGGAAUUUGGGAGUUGCAUCUUUUAAAGAAAAUAAAAGGAGUUUUGACGCAGAUUGAGGUUCAUAUGAUAAUAUAUAAUAAUGAUAUUUGAAAAAGAGAGUGUAUAUGUGUGUGUGUGUGUGUGUAUAUAUAUAUAGGAAUGGUAGCAUUGUUGGUCGCCGUUGACAGAUAUGGAUAUAAAGAGACAAAAUAGUUAGGGCUUUUCUUUCUAUAAAAUUGCAUAAAAUGUGAAAUUUUAUUUCUUUAUCUUUUACUACUAUGGACCAAAGACAGCCAAGAAAAAUAGAAAAAAUAACACCUUUUUUUACCUCAGAUUUUGGAUUUACUUUCCGUUUCAUUUAUAAAUUACAAAAACUUACCCAUUUAAUUUUACUCACUUUUGUUUCAAUUUAAUUUAUAGAGUUUAACACUUACAAUUUAAAAUUUAAAAUUCCAUCAAAUACUCAAAUAAUAUACAUUAAUACUUAACACGAAAAAUAAACGUUUAGUAAAAAAUUAAGAUUAAAAGUAAGAAUCAAAUUGAAACAAAAAUACAAAUUUUUGUACCAAUAGGAAUCCAAUCACAAUUAUUAUAUUAAAAAAGCGUAAGUGAAUAUACAUGUAACAAAAAUGGUACAGAAAUAGGUAGGUGCAAUAAUUUAAAUGGAGCACAUAAAAGGGAAGAAGAGUAAGUUUUUUUCUUUUUCUUUUGUGGUAAGGUGUUUUUAGGGUUGAAUAUAAAAAUGGGAGAUGGUGUAGAGAAGAGAGUGGGGGAAUGGGUUAAAGAAAUUAGAAUAGAAUCUUCUUAGGGUUGCAUAUUGCAAGAACAAUAUAUAUAAGAGAGAGACAUUUUGGUAGAGUUUUUCAUAUAUAUAUAUGUAUGUAUGUAUGUUUAUUGGUACUGGUGGGCUCAGUACGAUCAUCUCCCAUCAUUUUUAUUCAUAGAUAGAUAGAGAGAUGAGUGGUGGUGUUGGUUUGAUUUUAUCAUACACAUUUUAUUAUUUACUUACACACUUUUUUCUUAUGGACCCAUUUCCAACCUUUUUCUAGUGAACAAUUCUGUCUUAUAUGAUAAUUCUAACCAAAAAAAUUCCCCUUCCUAACACAAUUAUAUAUCUAUAUGUCUUGGUUUCGCUCGUUUUUUCUUACUACUUUGAUUAGUAACUUCAAACGGUGUUUAAAUUAAACCAGUAUGACAAAUGUUUCUUUUCUUAUGCUCUUGCAUUUCUCUUUCAUACUUGUCAAAACGAUAAUAGAAAGUACUAUAUAAAAUAUUUCAUGUUCUAACAAGUAAAAGAAAUUUUUUAGUGGAACAAAUUUUUUUAUCACUGAUACAAUGUAGUACUACGAACGGUUUGGUUUCUUCUUAAAGAAAAUGUGGUACUACGAGCUCUUUCCAUUCACUGUUUUAACAAUAGAUAUGUUUGGUUGUUACAUAAUUUUAGAAAGAAUAGAAAAAAAUUUAAACUAGUAAGAAACCAUUUUUGGGAUCUUUUGAGCCUCUUUUAACAAAUUGUUGAAUAAAUGUUAAGAACUCAAAAAUCCAAAAUUGGAAAGAUAUAUUUUAAAAAUUCAAUUAUCUAACACCUGUAUUCUUCAAAUUUGAAUGACAAGAAAUGUAAAUUUUCUUUAUUAUUUUAUCUCAUAUUUUUUUAAAGAAAACAUACUAGGUACACCAUGACAUUUUCACUAACUAGACACAUGUUUAGCACCCUUAUCAUUUUUGUUUCAUUAAUAAUAGAUCGGUACAAAAGCAAGGAAUACAAACAAUAUUAUCUUCUUCAUUAUUAUUUUAUUUUAUGAGUCCUACAUAAUUUUUAGAUGUUUCUUUUUACGCCAACCGAAUAAAUGAAAAGUAAUGCUACCUUCAUUCAUUGCGUUGAAAAAUGCAACAAAAGUUUAUGUGUUUAAGGGAUGAAAACUAUUCCCUAAAUGGAAUCGGACCUUAUUGCGUGAAAUAAAAAAAUUCAAAAUAGUUACACAAAUAAAAAAAAAUGGUUGUUUACAACAUACAGCAACCACAUUUGAAUGUUUUUCAUCAAUAAAUUUUUUAAAAAAUUAUGUAAAUUAGUACAUUAUUACAAUGAUAUAUAAAAAUUCACCUAUUAAAUGUAGUAAUAAAGAAUGACAUAGUAGUUUUAUUGAGAAUAAGGAGAAGGUACUUGCAAGUUAAUCAAGACACUUGUAUAAAUGGAGAGUCCCACCAUAGGAUUAACAACUCAUAUAGUAUUGAUUGAGUGUAUGAUCGAGAGAAAGAAAAAGGGUUGAUUAAUUAUGUAACGUAAGAUUUAGCUAAUCCAAUCCUUUCUCGUCUGUAGUGGAGAUAAUAUUAUUGCCAUGUUUACGUUAAACCUUAAAAGGGGAAUAGUUUUAAUUGGUGUUCUUGGUUUUUUUUUAUAUAUAAAAAAAUGAUGAUGAAUAGGGUUAAAAGAGUGGGUGAAAAUAGGGAAGAUUAAAUAGUCACACGUACACCAGAUGGAAGAAAAAAAAAAAGGAAGACAAACAAAAAAUCACGAGAAUGGUAUACAGAGAAAAGAAAGCAGAAAGAAAGUUAUAAAAUUUUAAAAACAUUGUCGUCAUCCUCAUUCAUUAAUUCAUAUAUAUCUUUACAAAUAUAUAAAUAUACAUAACAAUGUCAGUCUUCUCUGAAAUGGUUCAGACAGUAAAAACGUCAGAAAUGGAAGAAGAAGAAGGAGAAAUAUAUUUGUGUGUGUGUAUAUAUAUGUAUAAAAUUUAUAUUUGUAAUAAAUUACGACAUUAGAAAUUUAGAACACAAGAAGAAACAAGAAAAAUUGUAUCAUGAGCUCCUCCCAUUUUCCAUUGCACUUCUCGGGAAUUGAAAUUUUCUUAUGGCUUUAUCUUCUCCCAAAUCACAUUUCAAGAAAAAUUAUGUAUGUUUUCUCAACAUAAAUCAAUGAAAAAUAUGUUUUUCAAAUGCAUCUCAUUCCCAAAGGUUUUUCAUAAAACUCUCAUUCUCUUUUUUCAAUAACAAAAAAACAUAGAAACUUGGGUUUUCUCUCCCUUCUUUCUAGAGAAAAAACACUACAUCGUUUAACUUAAGUAAUAAGAAGGGAGUCCAUUCAAACCUUUGCAGUGUCAAAUGCUUAAUUUUCUCUAAUAUAUAUGACUUGAAAUCAUUCUUACAUUAAUAUGCAUACUGUACACAUACUCAAAUUUAUAUCGUUAAUUUAUUAUUUUAUUUUAAAAUAAUGUAAGGAUAAAAUUGAUUAUUUUUUAAAAUUCAUUUUAGAUUUUCAAAGUUCAAAAUAAAUAUUUUAAAAGUUUAAGAGAAAAAAUAGAAUAACUGAGGGAGAAAAAAAAGAUUUAAACAAAAAUUAAAAUCACUAGGCCAGUAAGUUAUCAAGGAAUAAUUUAAGUUUUUCAAUGUAAUUUUAAAUAAAAUGUUGGAUGAGCUAAUUUAUUAAAAAAUUAAACACUUAACUUUUGGGUAUGUAAUCAUGUAAGUAUUAACACAAAAAUAUAAAAGAGGAUCCUAAAUGAUGGAUGGAAAAAAAGAAAAAUUAGUAAGAACUAAAGUAUGAGAGGAUAUGGUGUUUUUUCUUUUUCUUUUAAAAAGUAUUAUUUAUUUGAUGAAAGAUUUGUUUUUCGUUUUCCAAUAAUGAUAGAAUCGUAGAGAUAAUCAGGAUUAUAAUCAUUUUGAGUAUCUAAUUGAAAUAAUUAGGCAUUAUCGUUUUUGAAGCUAAUAUCUCUAUUCACUUUGGGUUGCCUUUUAUGUAUUGAAAUGAUAUGAUCUCCCACUUUUACUUUGCAUAGUCAUUCAUCAUAACAAAAUAUGAAACCUUUUUUUCUGGAGGAUAUUGAUCUCUCAGUUUGUUCAUAAUUAAUAUCCACUAAUUAAUUCAUUAUUUAAUUAGAUGGAAGAUUUUCCAUGCAAUCUUUGUGCUAAUUAUCACAUUGGAGAUUUUGCAUGGGUGCCCUUCACUCUUUGUUCCUUUUCCAAUUAUGUUGUCUUACUCUAAUUUUGCUUUUGAUUUUUUUUUUUUCCUUAGUCAAGUGAAAUGAAAAUUGUUAUAUUUGAGAAUUAUGAAGUUGUGGAAAAACUUUUGGGGCUAAUAAUUCACUCACUUGGGCAAUUCAUAGAAGGAGAGACAUCAAAUAAAAUAUAUGCAUGGCAUUUAAUUUUUGAAAGGAUUACAUUAUUAUACAUAUGGUCAUAAUUAAUCAAAUUGUAAAGAAGCUUUUUUUUUUUUUUGUUCUAGCUUGAUCAAUUAAUUAAAAGAGCUAUCUCACUGUAUGUAUUAAAUUUAUUGCACAUACAUUUUAGUUGGAAAAAUUAUAUAAAAAUGAAUAAAUAUGAAUCAACAGUUUUUAUAAUAGGAAAAAAAUCACCAAAAAAAAAGUAUGUAAAAAAGGGUUACAUCAAUUAUGUCACAAAGUUGAUGUAUCAUAAUUUUAAACAAACAAUUAAUCAAUUAAGCAGAUAAAAGAGAAGAGAAAUGAGUUGAUGAAUUGACCACGUUGAUAUUCAAAAUAAAAAUAUAUAAAAUAAACCUUUUUGGUGGCUAAUUUUUGUUUCCUCGAACCACUAAAUGAAGAAAGCAACACUCUCCUUCCUUCCUUUCUUCCUUCCUUCCCUCUUGACGUAAUAAUUCCACUCUUAGAUUAUUUGAUUUAUUUUUUCUUGCUUGCAACUAUUUUACAACAAUUUCUUUAACAUAAAACAAUCAAUUAAAAGAACACACAACAACAACAGAACGUUGUUGUUUUUAUGUCAAAUAACUGUCCUGCAACGAAGAGAAAAAAAGGAAUCCAUCUCACCAUUUCAUUGGAGAUUAUAUGAAGAAAGAAAAAAAAGAAAAGCUUCCAUUCCCAUGAUUGAACUCCUCUUCAAAAUAACAAACUGAUAAACAAAAAAAAAAAAAAACUUUUUUUUUAAAAAAAUAGAAAUCAUGGUAUAGACAUUUCUUCAAUAUACAAAUUAAGAAGCAACCAUUCUUUACUGUGCCCAACUUUAAGUAAGUGUGAGAGAGUUCAAUGUCAGAAAGAGGAAAAGAGAGAGAGAGAGAGAGAGAGAGAGAGAGAAAGAAAGUGAGAGUCACGGGUUUGUCUUGAAAUGCCCUUAUUUCCACAGUUCUAUACAGACAGACACAUAUUCUCUCUCUCACUAACCGAGGAGAGAGAAUUUCAUUUUUAAAAAAAACAAUAGGAGUUUAACACACUGAUUAUUCCAGCAAUAAUACCAACAAACUACACAUAUCUUUAUGCAUAUUUCUCAAUCACAAAACAAAAGAAAAAGAAGUAUUAAAAAGAUACUUUGUGUUUUAAAAAAAAUUAAAAUGUUUGCUAAACAUUUAAUAUAGAUACUUGAAGAUGAGUGGAAUCGAAGUGUUUUUCUAAUAACUAUAAAGUAAAAAAGAAAAACAUAUAUGUUGAGAUUACAGUUAGAGAUUUCCACAAUAACGUCACAUCCUUUUUCUCUUCUAUGUGUUACCAAAAUUCAUUUAUUUUAUUCCACACACUCAGUCCCUCUCAUUCCUUAACUUUUGUUUUUGUUUCUUAGAAGAAAUUGCAAAAGUUAGAGUUUCCAUUCCAACUUCUUUCUUCUUCUUCUUCUUCCUUCAUCAAACUAUGUCUGUAAUGCUUGACAAUUGUGAAGGCAUCUUACUUUCUUUGGACUCUCACAAGUCUGUACCUGCCCCUUUCCUCUCCAAAACCUAUCAAUUAGUCGACGACCCCUCCACCGAUCACAUUGUCUCCUGGGGCGAAGACGACACCACUUUCGUAGUCUGGCGUCCUCCCGAGUUCGCUCGCGAUCUCCUUCCUAACUACUUCAAACACAACAACUUCUCUAGCUUCGUUCGUCAGCUCAACACCUACGUAUGUAAUUCACAACUUCACAUUCUUCUUCUUAUUUUUUUUAUUAGAUGAAAGAGAAUAUCUUGACUGAGUUGAUACAUAUUUAACACCCACGUCGUGCCUCGUAGCUCAACAGAUCAUACAACGAACAUUGCUCAAUUUUGGACUGUUUCUUAACAUGUUCUGUUUAUUAUUAUUUUUUUUUUUGGAUUAGGGUUUUAGAAAGAUUGUGCCAGACAGAUGGGAGUUUGCAAAUGAGUUCUUCAGAAAAGGAGAAAAACAUUUGUUAUGCGAGAUUCAUAGACGAAAAACUGCUCAGCCACAACUGCCUUACACCCAUCACCAUCUUGGAAACAUUAACGGUCCUAGUUUUUUCCCAUUUUCGACACGAGUUAGCAUCUCGCCGUCCGAUUCAGAUGAGCAAAUCAAUUGGUGCGACUCACCGCCAGUGCCACCGAGGGCUACGGGGACAGGUGGAUAUUCGGUUAUGGGAAGUGGAAUUAUUAGUAACAAUAGUAGUACGAGUAAUUACAAUAUGAUGAGUUCGGUGACAGCUUUGUCUGAGGAUAAUGAGAGGUUAAGAAGGAAUAACUCUAUGCUGAUUUCGGAGCUUAGUCAUAUGAGGAAACUUUAUAAUGAUAUUAUCUAUUUUGUUCAAAACCAUGUGAAGCCUGUUUCUCCUAGCAAUUCUUUCCCUUCUUUACUUCUCUCUCAUCAUCCUUCUACUACUAAUUCCCAAAAACCCCUUAAUCAUUUUCUUGGGAUCUCUCCUCCUAAUACUACUUCAACUACUACAAAUCACUUUUCCGUUCCUGGUACUAUUGUUACAACUCACUUUGUGAGCUCUCCAACUGCAACGUCUAAGAGUGCAGUUACGGAGCUUGACGUUGGAGAAGCUGAUAACAAUAGUUGCAAAACCAAGCUGUUCGGAGUGGCGAUUUCAUCAUCUAAAAAGAGGAUGCAUCCUGAUACUACUACUAAUUAUGUUUCUAUUUGUUCCAAUGUCUCAGAUACCAACAAGAAUUCUCGCUUGAUCUUGGAAAAAGGUGACAAUUUGGGGCUCAAUCUUAUGCCUCCUUCCACCUCCUAGUUGUUCCUCAUCCUAUCCAAUACUCUCUUUUUUAUCUUUCUUCAAUUCUCUCUUAAGAUUAUUCAAUUUUUUAUUAUCUUUUUUUAUUAUUCCCUUUCUUUUUUGUUAUUUUUGAGCGGAUCAUAUCGGUUCGAUUUGAGAACUGUUGGAGUAUUUCGUGUGGGGGAACUUGUGAAUGGUGUAUGUGAUUAUCUUGUACAUCUCAAUCUUUGUUAUUCUAAUGCUCACGAAAGAUAAUUAAUUAAAUUUGUGGGUGGGUUUUUUCAGUACAGAAAGUGAGAUCAAACUUUUGACUUUUAGAAAAUAAGGUUACAGUAGGAUAUGGAAUUCUUUUGAGUGAACUAACAAAAGGAAAACACAAAAAAAGUCGAACUAAAUUAUUUAAGCUGCAGUGGUUUAAAGCACAAAUUAGAAAAUUGGGAUAAUAAUCAAUUUUGAUUCCUUUUUCUUUUGUUAACAUAAUUUCUUGAUUUCAUUCUGUGGUCUUCCUGAUACAAUCUCUGAAAGUUUCAGUUUUCCAUUAGUAGGGAAAGAGAGAAAAAAGAAAAAUAGUGGAGAUUUCAUACAAUUCUUAAUUACCUUUUGUUUCUCUGAUGGAAAAAAAAGAUACAUUACAGAAGAAUUAAUGAUUUAAUAAGUAUAAUAUCCUUAAGUAGUAAAGAUAUGUGACCUCAAGGAGAUUUGUUUAUAAAGCACAUGCGGCUCACACCUAAUUUUCAUCACUAUUUUUUAUGAGUUAUAUAUAUAUAUAUUGGGAUUUAAAUAUAUACACAACAAUAAUAUUAAUAAAUCACGAUACAUACAUCAUAUGCUCAUUAUUGUAAAAUAAAAAAUGGGAAAGUUUUACUUGGAAAAGAAAAGUGUUAUGAUAAUUGUUAGUAGCUAUGAUUUUCUUCCAAAAAAAAGGAGCAAAUUGGAUGAAAGUGAAAGGAAGAAAGAAAAAAAAGGGUAAAAUGGGAAGUGAAAUAAAUGUUAGAGAUCGGGGUUUGUGUAUCUUUCAAAUUGUUCUUAUUCUUCUUAGCUUCCUCAGGGACCAAGAACUUCUGUGUCUUUUACUUAUACUUUUCAAGUAUAUAUUGUUUGUACCAAAUAGAUAUCUGAGUAAUGGACCAAUAUGUCCUAUUUUUUGGUCCCUCCUUAUUCUUUCACAAAUUUCAAUAGCCUCACUCUUCUCCUCCAGGUUCUCUUCUUCCCAUAUUUUGAACCACCUAAAAAGGAAUCAUUGACUGUUAGAUGAGUAAAUUUAACAUAAUCAAACUCUACCUACUUUAUAGUAUUUCAGUAAUAUAUAUCAUAGGAUGAUGGGUUUUAUAUAUAUAUAUAUAUAUAUAUAUAUAAUUCGUGCCCUAUAGUUUAUUUUCAUUUUUCUAUUUGUCUAGUAUAUGGAUGCUACUAGGAAAACAAAGGAUUUAUGGCCAGUGAUGGUUUGAAAACCCACAUGGAAAGAAAAAUCGUUUUAGUAAUUACCACAAAAAGUUUGUUUUUAAAUUUCUUUUUCAGCAAUAGGUUUGAUAAAAUCGUACAUCAUGUUCAACUUCUUCAUCUACUUUUUUGAAGUUGAAUACUAAUAUAGGAAGUUUAAAUCUUUGAUUUCUAGAUCAAAACUAUAUGUAUUAUUCGUUUGACUUUACCCUUAUUUUGUUGAUAUAAUUAUCACAUUUCCUUGAGGUUAAAAACAUGCAUGUUCAUGUAGACAAAUUUUAUUGAAACAAAAAAGUAACUUUACCAUAAUACGUUAAUAAUCUUAUAAAGCAGAUUAUAGACGUACUUUUUUGUUACCGAAAUAUUCCUUUUUAAUAUAUAAAUAAAACAAAACAUUUGUAUAGUAUAAGAAGGCAUCUAGCUUCUGAAGAAGAUGCUGAGAGAAGGCAGAGAUUUAAAGAUGAUGUCAACAAAGUAUCUACAACCCUUAACUAUCAACAUUAAAGAAAAGAAGAAAAAAAAGGCCAUCAUUGGGAAGUAUGAUUAAAAUUAAGCUGAUUAAGUUGGCCUUUCAAAUUAUUUUUAAUAAACAAGUCAUGAGAAACAACAAACUAAAUUAAACAAUGCUUAACUCCAAUGGAAAUAGUGAUCGAGCAUAAGUAAAAUAUAUUUAACUGUUUCUCAUGAUAUAGGGAUUAUUUUAUAUAUGAGAGCAUUUGAAGGAGCAGUGUAUGGUAUUAAAAAUGAAAUGAUAAAAUUGUAAAGGAAAAGAGAGGGUAUAGUUUGAAAGGAUGUGAGGGGAAGUAAGAAGAAGAUGAGAUGAGUAUGGAGGUGCAGAGAAAGUGAGAGGAGACAGUGUGUGGUGAAGAAAGGUAAAGUCAAAAAAAAGAUCCAAUUUUAUUUUUUAUUUAUUUUUUUGAAAUUUUGAUAUGAAGAAAGACAUAAAAACAAAACGAAAAGAAAAGAAAAAGAAAAAGGAAAGAAAAUAAAAAGAAAAAGGGUUAAGUUUCAGAAUAUCUUUGUCGUGCAAUCAUUUCAUUUCGUACUAUAAAUCCCUAACCUUUUUCCAAUAAAACCCACCAUCUUAUAUUCUUCUUUUCUUUUUAUUUUUUCCUCUCUCUCAAACACUCUCCCACGUGACUCCUUUUCUACAUACGUGUGAACUAUUAACCCACCCGUGUGGUGCGUGUGGUAACUCUCUUUUUCUCUUUCUUUCACUCUUUUAAAACAAAUAAAUCAAUUAUAAAAAACCCUUUUCUUUCUUUCCACUUUGCUUUUUUUUUUUCCUUCUCUUCUUUCUUUUUGCUUUCUUCCAUUUUUUUCUUUUUUUGUGGAACCACUUCAUCACAAAUCAAAUUUAAUCACUUUUCUAUUUUAAUUCCACCUAAUCAUUAUCAAUCUAAAUUUCACAUUAUCAUCCUCCUACUCUUUUCUAACUCUUAUUUCUAAACUUUUCUCCUCUUUUAUUUUACUAUACUUUGUUUUAAUUGCAUGAACGAUUUCAAUUUCAUAUACACUGUGUUAACAGUUAAUUAAACACUAGUUGUUUCUUUUACUAUUUUGUUAUGUAAAUCAUUUUGUAUUCCAAUUAAAGUCAAUUGUAUAUUCAAUAACAUAUAAGAAGUUCACCAUUAUAUAUUAGUCCAAAUUAAUAUACUAACCUAAAUUAAAAUUUAAACUAAUUUUAUUAUUUGCAAACUAAGUUUGCACUAACUCUCAAUACAAUUUCAAAACUUUGCCUAAACAUAGCCAACUAUCUUUUUAAAACUAUAAAGUAAAUGGUCUUGAAACAAAACUUCAACACUUCAAAUUAUAUAUAUAUAUAAUUUUGUCCUUUUUUGAGAUGAUAAAAUAUAAGUAUUUCCAUAAAAAUGAUUACCUAGUGAUAGUGGAUGAAAGGUAGAAAAGAAAAAGAGAAAGGAAAAAGAAUGGAUUAGACACAUCUUUUACGAUAGUAAUUUUUUUUAAAAAAAUGAUUUUAAAAUAAUUUGAUAUAGUUUUUUUUUUUUUUAAAUACUUUUUAUGAAGGCAAUUUCUGAUCUCAGUCAACGGAUUCCUGAACCUCACUUUAGUUUCCUCAUGAAUAAUAAAGAAGAUAUAUGAUAAUGGUAAUAAUGUUGUAUGUGUGUGUGUUUGUAUACACACAUAUAUGCAUAUAUUGCACAUUACAUAAAUAAUUAUGUGCUAUUAAUUAAUUAUAUUCUUCAUGAAUAUUCAAAAAAGUAUGACAUCGUGGACAGUAGAUGAUUAUUAAAAAUUGAAAGGUAUAGAAGAAUGGUCUUUUCUAUUUCAUAAUCAAAACAAACAUCUAUCAAAUAUUUUUACAAAAAGUAUGUAUAGUGGUGUUUUUUUUAUAUUGUAGUUUAUAAUCAUGAAAAUUUUCAAGUUUUAUCUCUAACCUUUUACAAUUUUAAUUCAAUUUUUUUGUAGACUAAUUUUUUUUCUUCCAAUUAAGCCUAUGUUGUAUCAAAAUAUCAAUUUGAUGUCGAAAGACUUUGAUAGAGUUGAAAUAAUUAUAUAAAUCUUCUCGUCUGAAGAAAGAGAGAAAGGAUUUAUGAGCCUUCAACUUUGAAGGAAAGCCCACAGGGCCCAAUACAGGAAAGACCCUUUUUUGCAUGUGGGUUUGUAGCCCAACUCUUUUUUUUUGUUUUAGAAAUUAUAAUUAUUAGGGUUAUUGUAUAUAUUCAACAUAUAUGUAUAUAUAUGAAAGAUUAGGUAUAUUAGGUAUUCUAGAUAUUCAAUUAAAUAGACAAUCAAAUGAAAAUGUAGCUUUAAUUUGAUACAUUUGAGAGUUUAUUGAAAUUUCGACGGUGAAAAAUAAAACAUUCAAUGACCGAAAAAUACAAAACUUAUUCGACAGAAUCUAGCUAGAAAUUUCGUGCUUAAUAUUAUAUAUAUUCAAAACAAAUGAAACAUUUGGUAUAUUAGGUAUAUUUUAGAUUAUAUUCAAAACAUAUGAAACAUUUGGUAUAUUAUGUACAUUUUAAAUAUUCGAUUAAAUAGACAAACAAACGAAAAUCUAGUUUUGAAUGUGAUACAUUAUAGAGUUUAUUAAGAAUUCAACGUUGAAGAAGAACGAUCACCCUAUAAAAAAAAUUAAUAGAAUUAUAUGUCAGUAUAUUUUAUUAUUGCAUAUAAUAUGGAGUAUAUAUAUACUAAAACAUAGAACAUAUAAUAUAAGAUAUAUAUACUAAAUAACAUAUAUAAAUUCUGUGUAUAUUUUAUUAGUGAAAGGUUCUUAUAUCAAUUUGUUUAUGUAUUUUAUUUAAAUAUUCAUAUCUUAUGUGGUAAAUAAUACGUUAUGUUUAAAAUAAUAUUGAUUAUGUAUUAAAGUUGUUUAUGGCUACAGGAACAUGAAUGAGAAAUAAUUAUGACGAGUAUAUGUAAUAUAUGUCAUUAAAACAUUAAUUGUUUUAUAGUAUAUGUAAUGUUGAGAAAACUUAAUAUGGUUGUAACGUAGGGAGUUUGAUGAAAGAAUUGAAAAUCUAAGGAAUUGUAUGGAAAAAAAAUGAAUUAUUCAGUAAUAUACAUGUAAGAAAUAUCAUCAGCGUUAAAUGCAGUAAAAAAACACAUAACAUAAAAGAAAAAGAGUUUAUUAUUGAAUAUAUGCAGUGAUAUAUAUGUAACGAAUCACAAAACAUAAAUGAAUUAUUCAGAAACAUAUGCGUAAGAAAUAUAAAAAAGAUAAGGAAUGAAUAUAUAAUCCGUGUAUAUAUUAGUAUAAAAUUACUCAUAUUAUAAUAUAUUUUGAUUUAGAGUUAAUUGAAAAGAUAAUUAAAAAUUAUUAUUAUAUUAAUCAAUCACAUUAAAUUAAGGAAGUUAUAAAAUUUAUAUUAAAUUCAAAUAUUUUCAAAAAGGAAAUAUUUCAAAUAAUCACAUUAAAUUAAGGAAGUUAUAAAAUUUAUAUUAAAUUUAAAUAUUUUCAAAAAGGAAAUAUUUCAAAUAAUAUUAUGAAUCAAAAUAUCUAAUUAAUAAUUAUUGAAAGGUUUGAAUUUGUCCUUAAAUAAUAUCUUUUCAAUUUAAAAAAAUAAUUUUUAAAUUAUGACAUUUGUCAAACUUUUUAUUGACAAAUCUUUCCAAUUAUUAUUAUAUAUAGACGUGUUUAUUUAUGUAUGCAUGUAAUGUGAGAAAUUAAUAAAUGGAUAAAUUAUUUUUUGGUUCUACCUAGAGGCAAAAAAAAAAAAAAAAAAAAUUUCAGAAUUGAUUUUCCAACGACUUUGUGAAAGAUUCUUACAUAUACCAUAAUACUUAGGUUUAAAAUUAAAUUUCUUUCGUUUUAAUACCUAAAUUUCUAAUUAUAUAUAUUAUAACUUUAUUAUGCAUUCCUCUAUGAUAUCCAUUAACUUCAGAAGUGAAAAAUAAAUCAAUUAGAACAACUAAACCCACCAAAAAAAAACAUAAACAUAUUCUCACCAUGAUUCCAAGUCAGAAAAUUAUUUUGUUUGACUUAAUUUUUUUAUAAAAAAAACUAUAUUUGAGAUGGUUCAACACCAUCAACAGACUACCAGAGCUUAAUUUAAUGGUAAAGAAAAUAUAUGAUCUCUAAAACAAAGUAAGAAAUCAUGAGUCUAAUUUGUACGGUAAACAUCUACUCUAGAAUUAAUUAUUUACGAGUUCAUUUUACAUUUGAUUUUGCAGUCAAAUUAGACGAAAAAUUUGAAACCCUCGUAUGAAUGUUUAAAUGAAAGUAUAAAAAGACCAUGCAUUAAAACAAAGAGAUAUGAAAUAGUGUUAGAAAAGAAUUAGAUGUAUGGAGAUAUAUAUUCUGUAUCUUCUUCAAGUUUAUUCACCUCCACCCCAAGCCAAAGCACAAAAGCUGGUCAUUAAUGGCCGCUUCUCUUUACUUUGACUAUCUGUUUCAAUGCAUUAAAACAUAAAUAAAUAAAAACAUAAAAAUGCUUUUAUAUAUAUAUAUAUAUAUAUAUAUAUAUAUAUAUAUAAAAUGAGAAAUUGAAGAAGAUGAUGCAAAGAAGGGAAGAGAGGGGCCGUUUGUGUUAGUAAAAGAGUGGACAAACCAAUUGUUUAAUCUGAACCGUACCUGCACCAAUUUGGAUGUGCCAAUGGAAAAAUCACUAUAUUAUUUUUUUAAUCUCAAUAACCCUUUCCCCAAUUCAUUGUAUAUUUCAUUAUUAAUCAUUUAUAACGCACACUCUUCGUUUAUUUUAUUUUUAAAAUUUUUGAAAGAACAAUACAAGUGGGGUGUGGGGGAUGAAAAAGAUAAGGUUCUGUAAGUGAUAAUGUUACGUGUUGUUACUUGUUAGAAAGAAAAAAGAAAAUAGGAAAAUGGGUUUUUCCAACAGCAAAAUUUAUAAAAUUGCAGUUUCUUUUUCUUUGUUUUUUCUUUUGGAAAAAGGUUUGAUUUCAAUUGGUUAUGUAUUGCAUUUAGAGAUUGAUGAAGUGUUGAAGAACAUAUGUCUGUUUAUUCACGUCUUGUUGUUGCUUAAAAUGUCUGUGUUAACUAUAUUAUAUUAUUCUAGAGGCAUUUUUGGGAUAGGCUGUAAAUUUUAAAUUAGGUAAAGCCCAAAGUGAUAUGAGACAAAGGCAACUUGGGAAAAUCUAUGUUAGAUUGUAAUAAUAAAUGUAUUGUCUUUUAGUUAGCCUAGAGUGUCUACUGCUGCCUUACUACCCAACUAAAAACAAUCUUCAGGACUAAACCCCCAACCUUAACCAUCUCAGCAAUUUUGUAAGUAACAUUACAGUUUCUAUCAUAACAAUUACAAGAAUAAUAAUCACAAAACACCCCCACCUAAUGUAUAAUGUUUUAACUUUUUGGUAAUUUUAAUUUAUUUUUAUUAUUCUUCUAACUAUGCAUGCAUGUUGACAGAGGUUUCAACAUCCUACUCCAAGAGAAUAAACGUUAUUAGCUUUAACUAUAUAAAUGAGUUAUGUACUCUCAUUUUUUGUUAAAUCAUUACACUUUAUUUUACCAUUAAUGACAUAUUAUAUACGCGGUAAGGUGUGUCGGUAUAAUUACAUUUAUAAUAAUCUAUUGGUUUCAAGUUUUAGGUCAGUUAAUGACUUAAUUAACUUGGUAUUAGAAAUGCUAUCAAACAAAUGCUACACUUUGUUGUGAACAAAGUCUAAACUCCUUUUGUAAUUGUCAUAUGCUUCUCCUUAUCUCUUGAAUUGGAAAGGUUUUCUUUACUUAGCCUUCUUUUCUUUAUGUUUUCUUGCUAUAUCAGCGGAGUUACUGAAGAAUGAUCUCUUAGAAAAGUAACUAUAAUAAUAAUAAAGUAAACUUUAAGAGUACAUGAUAUUAUGAAUGAUAUUAAUUACACAGAUUUUUUGGAAAUGUGGUCUCCAGUUCUCCAACCUAUUUUAGUUCAUCUUCUAAGGGGAAUUAGUAGGCAUAGCAAAUUGAUGCAUUCCAUUUUUCUUACAAACUUGCAUAAACUAUGAUUACAUUUUUAAAGUUUUAAUUUGAUCAAUUAACCUCCUAGACUUUAUUAGGUGUUGCAAUAAGCACUUGUGUGAAUUGAUGUGUAAUUUCAUACCUAGUAUUUCUCGAGAGUGUACACCUAACGAAGAUGUUCUAAUGUUAUCUUCUUAUUAAAAAAGGUAGUGUUCAUUCUAUUUACUUAUAUAUAUAUAUAUGAUAUUAUUUGUACCUUAUUAACUUUACCUCCUAAGCUAUACUUGAAGUUGCAAAAUAAUACGGGAUAAUGUUUUAGGAUUUAACGCCAAACUUAACACAAACCCAUUAUAUAGCACUGAAUUGAAGCAAAUUAUAAAAAAAAAAAAGAGAGAGAGAGAGAGAAGAAAUGUAUAUAAUAACCCAUAAACCAUGAACAAAAUCUUAAUCCAUUCAUUAAGUUAUUUCCAUAAUGUUCUAAUUAAACUUAUGAAGUUAAAUCAAUACCAUUUUGGGUGGUGGUGGGGGGAAAAUAUAAUCAAAAGUGAUGAUAGAGAAGAAGAAAAAGUAGGGUUUGUUUCAGAAGAAGCUAAUCCUUCUCGAAUGGCGUUCCAAUGAAAGCAACCAAGAAAGAAAAGGAUGCAUGAAAUUUAAUGAUUCAAACUGCAAAAGAAAGCACACACCAUAAUAAAAUGAAAUGAUGAGGAUAAAUUAUAAUACAAACUCCCUGAUAUUUCUGACCCUUUUCAUGUGGGUGUCACCCCUAAUUUAAUUUUACCCUUCUAACCUAUUUCUUCGUCCAAACAUAUAUUUAAACCCCCUUCUCUCUCCUCAUAUUCCUUCUUAUUUUUAUUAUCCAUAUCCCUAUCCCUUCAAUUAAUUUUCUUCUCAAAUCCAAUUCCCAUUCAUUUAAUUAAAAGGAUGUUUGUGAAUUAAAUUCAACAUGUCACCAAAUAGUACUUAAUAUUGGCUAACUAAAAGGAUGUUUGUGAACACAUUUCUUAGUAUGAGACACUUUCAAAUGAAAUUAAAAAUGUAGUUAGAUCGUUUGUUGUUCUUAACGAUCGUUUCCUAAUUAUCUUAAGAAUAGUGGUUUUUUUAAAGAUUAUAUGAGAAUAAAAUUUCUUAAAAAUUAAAAUAAAACAAGUUUUAUUUAAUACAUGUAUAUGUAAAGUGGAGGACGCAAAGAUAACUGUGGGGGAAAAGUAUGUGUCUUCCCUUAACCAUCUCUUAAUUGUUAUUUUUAGUAAAGAGAAUAAUUGCUGUAUAUUAGUUCGUACAUUAUUAUCGAUGUUUGGGAAUUAAAUAGCCAUUGUUUGCAUUACGAAGAAUUUAAUGAGGUAUAAAAAUUAAUUGAUCACUAAAUGAAUACCGUUAAGUGCAUUUAUGAGAUGUUUAAAGAAAGAACAAUUGCAUUUAUGAGAGAGAAGAGCACCUUCCAAACAUCCUUAAACACCACGACCACGAUAGCCUUAAAUAUAAUUUAGAACACAUUUAUGAUAUUCAACAAUCAAAGGUUAAAUAAUAUUAAUCACUAAUGAGGAGUAAUAUCUUUAGAACAUACUACAACCAUCAACCGUUCGGGUUUUAAUUUCAAUUCCUCUAGAAAAGUUACACACAAAUCACCAUUUCCUUCAAUGCACUAGCGUCUAAUACAUGUAAAAAUCAGAUCGGGAAACAAACAAAUAUAAAAGGUUUUUUUUCUUAAGAAUCUCAUUGUUUAUUCAUAUUAUGUUGGUUAUUUGAGUGUGAAUCAUUGGAAAUUUGAAAAAGAUUUGGAAUAUUAUUGAGAGAGAGAGAUUUAAAAUAGUUUUGAAAAUUAAAAAUGCCAAUGAAUUUCCAGCAAAUUGUUUUCUCUCAAUCAUUUCAGCUGAAUGCAAUGUCAACAAUCUCUUUAUCUUCGAUUUUUUGAUACAUCCAAUAAUUUAGAAACAACAAGUACAAAACCGGAUAUUAUUGUUAAAUAUCCCAAAUUAUUGGUCAAUUAAUCAAAUUAAAAAAAAAGAAGAAAAAACCCUUAGAUAUAUGACACAUGUCUCAACAUUACAUUAUUGCAUAUAUAUAUUAUAUGAUAUUAAAUUAAUAUAUAAAUAAGGUUUCACAAGAAAAAUAAUAUUGGUGUGUUCCCCCCACCGAUACCAACCUUCUUUCUCCUUCUUCUCCUUCUGAAAAUUUCUAUAAAAUUGGAGCCUUUUGUACUUGUUUAAUUGACUUUUUUUUUUUUUUUGGUAAUAAUUAAUUGAGAGAGGGAUUUAGUGAUGGAUAUUGAGGAGAUGGGAAAGUUUGGAGAGAAUUUUGAAUGUAAUGAAAUUGCAACUAGUUUGGAUUUUGGUUUUGGUAGUUCCAAUAUUACUUCCACUUCACAUCCUAUUUUUCCGUCUUUUAACAAUAUCCCACCAACCACUCUUUCUAUGAAUAACGCCACUCACGCUGUUGCACCGCCGUCUUUUCCGCCCUAUUCCGCCGCUGCCCGGUGGAGAUCCCAUUUUCCAGCCACCCGAAAUUCCCGCAUGGUAUGUAUCAUAUAUAACUCUUGUAUACUUUGAGUACUUUUUAAUCACUUUUGGUACUGUAUAACUAAAUAACCUAAUAUUCCAUGGAGUGAGGAUUUGUUUGAUUUUUAGUUCUUUGUUUUUCUCGUUUAUGUUAAAAGUCUUAGAAUUUCUAAUUAAAUUUUAACGACAAAACAUAUAGAAGUAAGUGUAGUAUUUUGUAAAAUGAAGGUAGAAAUUUAAAAAAUAGGAGUGAGGGUUAGUGGCCGAUUUAUGAAAAUGUUUUUAAGAAGGCAGGGGAGGAGGAAGUGGAAGGAUCAGAAUCAGAAUCAAUGGGGGGAGGGAUGAGAGAGAUGAUAUACAGAAUAGCAGCAAUGCAGCCAAUAGAGAUAGACCCAGAAGCAGUGAAGGCACCAAAGCGACGGAAUGUUAAGAUUUCAAAAGAUCCACAGAGCGUAGCGGCAAGGCAUAGACGAGAGAGAAUUAGCGAAAGAAUCAGAAUUCUUCAAAGAAUAGUCCCAGGUGGCACCAAAAUGGACACCGCUUCCAUGUUAGACGAAGCCAUUCAUUACCUUAAGUUUUUGAAAAACCAACUCCAUUCACUCCAAAUCGCCGCCGCCUCCUCCUCCUCCUCCUCCUCCUCAUCCUCCGCCUACGCCUUUCCCACCAUCGCUCAUUAUAAUAAUAAACAACAACACUUGAUCCACUUUCCUCAAUUGCCAACCCAUCCACAUCACCACCUGAACCAAGAUGCCUGAUUUUCUUUUUUCGAUCAUGAUGAUUGGCCGGUAGAGUUCCAAAAUUUGAUAAAAAUUGUAAGAUGGUCACUCACAUGCAGUGCGAAGGUUUUAUGAAAGAGACAUCUCUUGUACUCUACUGUUUGAGGAACUUUUAUGUCUCAUGACAAUUUUUGUUUCGCUUUCCUUAAUUCUUUCAUCGAUGGACAAAGUAGUUGUUGUGCUUAUUACUUCUUCAACCUAAUAGUAUUAAUUAUUAAUUGCUUUAAUCAAAAGCCAAAAUGAGUUUGAUUUCGGUUUAUUACGUGAGUUAGCCAUAACUAAAAUUCCUAUACAAUCAAUAUAUUUCCCACCAAAUAUAUCGUAAAAAAAUACGCAUAAUAUUUUACAACAAUAAUAUUAGAAUGGAUUUAUUGGGUAUGUUAGAGCUAUGAAGGGGUUGCAGCGAUUCAAUUUUAUAAAUAAUGUGACACCUGGAACAUUAUACAUACAAAUAUUAAAUUGAAGAAAGAAGCACGUGAAGUGCACAUGAAUAGUCUGACAAGGAGGGGUGGGUGGCUUACGGCUACUUUUACUUUUUUUGGUUUACAAUGAUGACGUCGUCUCACCUGAAAGCCAUUCCUCCCAACACGUGUACGGCGUUUUCCGACGCUCCGACGUCUAAUCAUCCAAGAAGCUUUCUCACACCUCACUUAAUUGCCCACGUGGCACUGCCAUUCAACGCAUUUCAUUUAACACCGCUCUCUGUGUGACUUUCCACUUUCCAGUGUGGAAAAUAUAAUUACAUGCCCAACUUUAUUCAUCUUUUCUUUUUUCAUGUCAUUAAAGACCUUUUAAGUAGUCGAAAUUUAUUAAGUAAAUUAAACUAUCAUAUGAAUCCUAACAUAUUCCCAUACUAUAUUGUUAUUAUUAGGAUGAAAAUUAACAAAUUGGAUGUUGUUGAGAAUGGUAUUAGUAAAAUACAUAGAUUAGAUGGUAUUUAAAGAUAGAGUAAUAAAGUCACAUAUAUUUCAAUUCUAUUUUAAAUGAAAUGACAUAUAUUUGGUUAUAUUUUAAUUUAUUUUUGUUAUAUUUAAAAUGCUUUUUAUAUGUAAUAAACUUCUAAAUGAAUAUAUACAAACUUUAGAGGAAAAUUAGGAAGUGAGUAAAAACUAGAUAGAAAAAGAAGAGAGUAAUACAAAUUUUAUGGAUAUUAUAGGGAUAAAUAAAGUGAAAUCGGAUGAAACCAACCUCAAGUAAUCAACCAAUAAUCACUUUCUUGUCAGGGCCAAAAAUCAUUAGAAGGAAAGUGAUUUUAUUUUUAGGAAUGUAAAAAAAACAAUUUUGAUCAUUUUAACCUAUUGGAUACAAUUUUUUCCAAUGAAUUUCAAAUUGUAAAAGAUUGUUGCUUAAAUCUUCUCUCAUAUGCAUAGUUAAAGUCAAUACACUACUUUCAAAAGUACUUAUUUGCAUAUUGAGAGUUACCCAUCUUUGUGGUGACAAUUUUUGUAUUUUGUUUUCUUUUUAAAAGUAUUAUAAUAUUUUACAUUCAAGUAUAUGUUCUUUCUCUCCCUUUUGGAAAAGAUCUCAACGUUUCUUACUUUUUAAUGUUCCAUAUUUGAAAAUGUACAUCAGAGGGAAUAAUAAAUGGUGAGGCUAAAAGCGUAGUAAUAUGCUCUAAAGUCAAAUCUACUAAAAAAAAAAAAAAAAAGGACGCACCGACGCUAAAAUGGAUAUUUGCAUUAAACCACAAAUCAUCAUCUCAACAAUUGAAACUUCAAUAUCUGCCACAUUAUAAUUAUUGAAUUAAAAUAUAAGAUUGUAUCUCUCCCAAAAUUAGUAGCUUAUACCAAUUAUGGAAGCUACAAAAAACUUGCCAAUCUCUGGGACUGUUUAAGAUUUGCUUUUGCACGGAUUAUAAACAAUUAUAGGAUGAUUUAAAUGUAUCAUGUAAAUAACCUAAUAUAAUUAUCAAACCAAUUUAAAUCAGACAACUUCAGUAUAAUUAUCUUGUAACAAAUUAGUAUAAAGAAUCAAACUAACGUUUAAUUUGUUCACUAUAUAUCACUGUGACCCUUCAACAACUGAGAUGUACACAGCCAGCAGUUAUUCGAUAAUUUUUUUGUGCAUAUAACACCAUCAAGCCUUAGACAAUAUAGUUUAGUAGAAAACAAAACCUGUUGAGAAUUAAACAGAUUAGAGAAAAGGGGUUACUUUAGUUACAAACAUUGCACCAAAUCUCGAACUUUUGUCUACAUGGAAGUUGGCUACAGAAAGUUUCUGAUAUUUCACCUCCCAUGAAGUUGGUUAUGAAUGUUUUACAAGCUCAUUACGAAUCUCUAGUAGAAUAAUUAACCACACCACGAGAAAACUGCAUCGACGCCACAUUCGAGUGGAAGUGGCAGCAUCUCUUCAUCUAUACAAUGUUGUUCCAUGUUCUUAAACGCCAAUUAUCAGUAAAUAUAAACUCUAUCUGUCAAAACAAGAUCCAUGACUGCCUUGAUCAACAUUAACGCUAAAUUUUUAUGAAAACGAAACUUUUGUUCCAGAACAAACUGCAGACAUAGGGAGGCCCAGCACUUCAAGUAUUCCUGUGAUAAAAUCUUAAACCUAUCAGUACAAAAGAUUGUGAUUUCAAGUAGGCAGAUCUUCUCAAGAGCACAAAUGAAAUCUAUUCCGACGAGUAAGAAAAUUAGACAGUGAAAGUCUAAUCACCUGGUUGAACGGCCAUAUCAGGGAAUUGGUAAUCAACGGAGCACUAAAAAGCAUGGCAGGUGAAACAACCACUUAGGGAACCCAUAGGACGGGCUCGAUAAAAAGAUAGAGACUUGAUAGAUGUCCUGUUAUCUUGGGGGGACUGGUUUGCCAUCACUGAGCUCCUCAUUUCUUGGGCUCUCUUCUGAGCAGAUUUAAGUUUAUUCAUGAUCUUAUCCAUUGACGUUGCUCUCUUCUUUUCCAGCUUCAUCUGAUGCAUGAGUCUCAGUGAGUAGGAGCAAAAGGAAAAACUAUAUAUUGUAUCUAUUAUCCAUCAUUUACCAAAUGUUAAAAAUCAUAAGAAAUGCUAAUUAUGAAAAAGAAAAGUAUGAAAUGACGUAUCAAGAACUAUAUAAGGCCAGAACCUCUAGUUUCCGUAUAGCUGCAUCAGCUUUUGCUUUCUGUAGAUUUUCCCAUGCAGUUAUUUUGGCUUCCUCACGCUUAACCCUGCAAGAGUCAGAGUUGGAAAAGAACACCAAGUCAGCGAGUUAACUGCUGGCAUAAUUUUUCAUUCAAUGUGCAUCUUUCCUUGGACUGGUAAUGAAUUGUAGGAUUUAUUACAAAUCAGAUGCAUGUGACAUGAGCAGGACGAACGUACUUUGAAAUACUUUUUCCUAUGUGAGGAAUGUCUAGAUCCGAACAUCGAGAAACCGCAUCAACAUCUUUCUUCCUCCUGUCAUCAAGAGAGUCUUUCCAAGGAAACGAGCCUUUAUGUUUCUUAGACCAUCUUGUCAUAGUAACUUGAUUAUCAACUUGUACAUCCCUGAUCUCCAACUUAGAAGUGACAGCUCCCAGCUCAAACAUAUGCAUAGCAGAUGAACUUGAGGCAGAGAUUGACGGUCUCGUCUUGGGAGAUGAAUGGACACUACUCUCUGGGCUCAUUUGUGUAGCCAUGUCCCUUCUUGAAACAACACGAGAAACAUCCGUCCCUGAAUCCUUGACUCUAGUUAGAAUGUCGCCUGAUUCUGCAAAGAAUUUUAACACAAACUCUUUAGUGCUACAACUGUGUAAUUGGUAGUCUGCUCAAUUACAGACCAUUUUCUCAAGCAAGAUAUCAUAUUUUCGUAUAUAUCAAUAGGUCCAAAGCAGUCUUAUGUAGUUGAUACAAAAUAUGCGAUAGCUAUUAUAUAACCCUGCGCUAGAAUCAGGAUCCAUUAUAAAAUUGCUAAAAAUAUGAACAGAAUGAUUAAAGUGCAAUAACGAAGGACCAAUGAUCCUUCUUUAAAUUUAUGAAGCAACUCAUGUUUAAGCAAAGAAGAAUAACUCAGAGCGGCCUUUACCUUCUUGUAAGCCUGUUGUUGAUGACAAUUGACCCAACAUUUCAGAGCAUCCAUGAACACUAAGUGAUCGCGCCAUGGAGGGCUCUGUUUGUCCAUGAAAGGCCACUUCAUGCCCACCGGAAUGAAUCCCCAAGCUAUUAGCUGAUAUCACUCCAGCUGAAAAUGGUGACCCUGUAAUGAAAUUCCCAAAACUCCCACCUUCGUAGGCCGGAACUGCUGGCGAAUAUAGUGAAUAGUAUGCAGAACCAGGAGGGCCAAGUGGCCCACUCUUUGACUUCGGUCGCCGUUGAGGAAGUGGAACUGAGUUCCUCACAACCCCAUCACCGGAUAUGGGACUAAAGAUCCACCUUUCAGCAUCUUCCCACUUUGAUGGCAAUGUUCUGCCGCUAUUAAGAGUCAGCAAUGCAGGGUUAUUAGCAUGUUUCCGACCACCAUUGUUGUGCAAUGGCACACGCUCUGAGCUCCACCCCUUUUGCAUACCAAAGCUAUUGUGCCGAUAAUUCGGCGUCCCAGGGCUUGGAAAUGUUCCAGUUUUGCGCGUUGAUACAACAGGGUUCUUCUUUACAGCUGCCAAACGAGGUGAGGAAGUUGUGGUAGCGUUAUUUAGAUCCAAUGAAGCAGGUCUCCUUCUGUCCAGUUUCCUGGAUUGAGCUUCAGAUCUGGAUCUAUGAUCUUGACACUCUGUAAAACCAACCCCAAUUCAAGUAAAUAUUGCUGAUAAAGACUUAGAAAAUGAAAUGGAGCUGGUUCUGUAAUACCUUUCAGGGCAAGAGAAAAGGAAUUCCUCGCUGAAUCGACGGUUCUAUUCUCAUCUUCUAAAUCGACAUUGCUGUCAUCCUUUUGAUUUGCUGAGCAUUAAGUGUGAGAAAAAACAAUUAGAAUCAAAUUUGAAGUAUGCAAAAAUUUCUGUGGGUGUUUCUUUGUGAGAUUCUACUUUUUUUCCCCUUUCUUUUUAUUCUUAUGCCACGGAGCUUAAAAUCUAGCUGUACCUUUCGCUUUUUCUCCCUUUGUAUAGAGACGACUGUGUUUGUUGCUUAGUGCAGGUUUGUUUGGAUCUGGAUCUGGACCACCGCAACUCUCGUGGUUUCCUUCAUCAUGCCCUGCCAAAUGCUGCAAUCAAAAUCACAAAACAAAAAAUUUCAAUCCCAGCACCCUUUUUUCCAUCUGAUCAAUCAUCUUCACAGCCCUGUACUCGCCUCCAAAUCCCCUAUUUCAUUACAGUGUUUAGACAAGGAGACUUCCCGAAUUCGUUGCCAAUAUUUGGUAUGUAACUCAAGAAAGUAAAAAAAAAAAAAACCCACGAAAACAAACUACGAAAUGAACAACCCCAAUUUUCCAAUUCGUCUCUAAUCUCUAACAUUACUACACAAAAUCCCCAUUGAAACAAUGCACGAAAUAAACAACCCCAUUUUACCAGUUCACCGCUAAUCUUUGAUACCAUUCAGAAAAACGAAAACCCCACAAAAACAAACUAGAAAAUAAUCAAUCCCAUUUGAGUCAAUGCGACAAGAAAACAGAGAGAAGUGAGAUUUACAAGUGAGAUUUCAGAGAUGAGAGAAUCGCGGUCGUGUGCCUCCGACGCAAAAGAGCAGCGCUCCACACUGGCAGAAGCAGAAGAAAAGAGACUGAAACUCGACUCAAGAGCGUAAAUGACAGAAUCGGGGCUGGAAUCACGAGCUCUAAAGCCUGGCCUGGACGACGCAGUUUGGUCCUGAAACCCCAUCUCCGGCACCUUUCUCCCUCUACUUCCCUGCAUACAUUACAGUAACACAGUCCCUAGAGAAAUAGAAAAAGGAUAAUGGUUGAAAUGGCGGGCAGUGGAGGGAAUCGCUAAGAGCCUUAUGAUUUGCCAGGACAAUCCGUCCAAAGUUCUACUUCCUUAGAAGAGAAAUUAAAUUAAUAAAAUGUUCUAUUUCUGGGGAUAAUGAGAUUCCUUCCUUGGAAGCAACCUUAUUUAUUUAAGAACUUCACCGUAAAAAAAGACAGAACAACCACUCUGUUUCAAUCGACAAGAGACAUAUUUGUUAACGCCUGUAAGAAUACAGAGUUGAUAGUUGUUUGAAAUGAAAAAGUUUGGAUCAAUAGAAUAGAAACGGUAAAACUAUAAUGGGGUUAGAGAGAUUUGUAGGUUUAAUUUUUUUUGUAAGUGUUGAGGUUCCUUCGAGCUCCCCGUUUGAACGGCGAGCAAAACUGCAUCACCCACAUAUCAAUCACUGCCAUUGCAGCACUGCCACCGUUUCUGUCCCACUUGUCUACUUCUUACUAGUCUAAGCUAAUUUGAUUCCUUCUUUCUUUUUUCUCUCCUUCAAUAAAAAAGUUUUACCCAAUCAUUUUACUAUUAAAAACCUUACAAUUUUACAACUUUGUUUCAUUUUUGUUCUUUAUUUAAUAUCGUUUAAGGAAAGGAUUAAAAUACAAAUUAUAAGAAACAAUAUUGAUAGUAUAAUAAUGAAUUAAAAAAAGGAAAGCUCGUGGGUGGUGCAUGUGAUGGGGGGCAGAUUAAACAAAUGUAAAUCUGCAAAAUAACAUAAAAUUGUUAGUAAAUCUGACCAAAGAAUCAACCAAAUGCAUGCCAAGAGAUUGACCUUGAAAAUGUGAAGCCCUCUUUCAUUUUCCCUCUUCUAUAAUAAUUGUCAUGAUAUCUAUUUUCAAUGUCUGACUCUGACCUCUCAUUUAUGAACAUCAACUCAGGGUUCCACCUAAAUUUUCUACAUUUACCCCCCCAAAAAACAACAAUAAUAGAGUACAACUCAACAUACAAAAGUACAAAUUUCACAUAACGAUAUAAACAUAACUUAAGAGUAAUUAGCAUGUAGUUUUUAGAUUUCAAAAGGUUAAUUAAAAUAUGUGUUUUAUGACCAAGGUUUUUGUUCCAACUCUUACAAUCUCAAAGAUAAUAAUUAGUGUGAUAAUAUAUAGUUAGAUAAAUAUUAUAAAUUUUAACUAUUGACUUAAUAGAAGUUUGUAACACCUCUACUCAUUAUACAAAUACAAGAGAAUGUUAGUAAGAACAUAUAGAAUAUGUGAAAGAAUUGAUUAGUUGUAUUGACACCAAAUAAAAUAAUAACUACAAUUUAAAAAUGUUAUUCAUAUGAGAUCUACGAGAAAGCAUCGGAUAAAAGUUGGAGAAAAGAAAAAAGUGAACCCCUAAAAAGAGGAGAUCACAUGCAUUUAAAAACAAUCAUAAUCUUGAAAUAGUGAUAUUCAAUUGAUUGCACUAAUAAGCUUUAAAAGAAACAAAAAUCAACACAACCCUAUUUUUCCACUACCUUUUAUUGAAGCAUCGUUUUCCUAUACCCUUACUUUGCUAAUUUGCUAUAUGCAUUAGCCUUCCCCCCUAUGAAAAUUUACCUCUUAAUUGCCUAUUUUAAUGCACUUCAAUUGAAUAGGGGUAUGACUAUGGAAUGCUACAACCACUCUUAUCAUUCUCGAAAUUCAUUGAAAAUAAAGGAAAAUGACAAUUAUUAGAUGAUAUAUAUCUCUCUCUAUGUGCUUCAAAACAAAUAAAGGGAGAAGUCCAUUGUCGGUGAAGGGUAGAGAAUUAGGAUAUGAGAUUUUGGAAGGGAAAGGACCACAAGAACACAAGAAAUAAAAAGGGUUGGUUUUGGUUUCCUUCUCUCAAAUUUCACACUUCACCAAUCUGUCGGUUUGGAUGAUUAUUGAUGAACAACCCCUAACAAAUUCUAAAUUUUAAUUUCAUAUUUUUCCACCUAAAAUUGAUUCAUUUUGAAUAAAAUAAGUUGUAGUCAAUGGAAUAAUUGGGUUUCAUUAUGACGUUUUUAUAAAUUUUGUGUAUACGUAAUAGAUAGGUUGGAUAUAUAUUGUGUAAUAAGUGAGAGAGAGUGGGUAUGAGCAUAUGAAUAUAUAAGUGUACCUCUUUGCGUAAUCGUGAAACUAAGUACAAUAUCCUCAUUAAUGUCAUACCUGGAUCAACAUUUUUCUUGUAAGUCAUGUAUCUUAUUAAUUUCUCUAUGUAAAGCAUUGUGAUGUGCUAGUGUUUGAAAAUACUCAUUAUUGAUACGUGACCGUCGUCUAUAUUAUGAUUAUUUUUUUAAAAAAAGUUCAUUUGAGAGUUUUGAUGUCAAUUGAUGCAACAUUUAGAGGUAUUAAUAUGAAUCACGCUUGAACGAAGAGAAAAAUUGUCCUUGUAUCAAGUUGAGAGAGAGUAUUCUAGAAAUUAAAAAAAAAAAAAAUCAUGUAUAUAUUCAAAUAUUCAAAUUGAUUCAACAAGUUUCUUCAUAAUUUUGAAUGAUUUUUUAUAUAGCAUUACAAGGAAUAAGACGUUGAUUUAAUUAUUAAUUUCAAAUUAUGACUAAACAAAUAUUAACUAAAUUAUGUAUGUCAAUAAGUAGUGCAUUGACAAGUAAACAAUUUAUUUACUACGAGAAAGGGGUCUUGUAGUGAUGGGACCCAACUUCUUGCAUAACACUUCAACUAAGUUCUUCAACUAAGUUCUUCAACAUCCAACUCUUCAUAAACCAUACUCAUCACUCAUCCAUUUAUGUUUGGGACGGACUUAAUUUUGAUGGUCUGAGAAAUGUAUAUACAAGCGUGAUUUUUAAAAAUGAUUUUGACAAUUUCAAACACCCUCGUCAACAUUCUAAAUCUAUAAUAUUAUGAAUUUACUCUUUGAAAGAAAAAAAAUGUCCUAAAGAUUUACAACCCGUGGCUUGUGGCAAAAGGAGUUUGAUGCAUUACAAAUAAACGCGUCUCGAAUUCUUGAUGGGGAACCAAAAUAAGAGGGUGAGAAAGAGUCAAAAAGUGGGGCAUUCCAGUAAGAGAAUCAAGAUUUUUAUAAAAUAACGGAUAUGUAUGUUUUUAGUUUGGCUAAUCUAAACCUAACAACUUAAGAGGCAGAAGUCAAAACUGAAAAAGAAAAAAAAAAAAACGCAUCAAGAUUCAAACAAAGGAAAAUCAAACGGCAUUUUCAGCCAUUGACAUGCCAAUGAAUUGAACCUGAUGAAUCCUGCAUUUAGGAUUGGCAUUUACUCACAACAACCCCAGCAGCAGCAGUAGGGCCACAUCAGGAAAUGCCACAAAAAGAACUUAUUUCUCUCUCCAUGGCAGGAGGGUGGAGGAGGAGCUGUAUGAAGUAGUAUUUCAAGAAAACGAAUCGAUCUUUAUGUGCUUUGCUUCCACUUAAAAGCUACUGAACUACUGAUGAUCCACUUCGAAGCCAAUACAAUACCCAGCAAGCAAGACACCCCAAGAUAUAUGCUACCACAGCACCUACAGCAGAACAAUUAUAUGUACACCUCCAUUUAUGACGUUAGUUUUUUGGUCUGAUAUCAGAUUAACGUCCUCCGAAAUCACCAUGGGCCAGUCUGCGUUCGUCUUAAACAUCGCUUCUUGAUUCCUUGUUGCUUAUCCAUUACUUCCAAUGCCUAUAACCAAAUCCCAUCAAGAAAAUAUAAACCAGACAUUGCCAAAAAGAGAAGAUUGCGGUAUCAAAGGGAUGUGGUCAUCAAUAAUCAUUGGGAAUCAAAGAUAGAAAAAUGGUUUGAUGAGGGGAGGCAGAGAGAAUGUUUUCACAAUGAAUUAACCAGCAGUCCUCACCAGUUAAAAGACCAAUAUGAAAAUGUAAAGAGCUUAAGGCGAGGUGCAAAAUGAGCAUGCAUGACUUCACAAAAAAUACAAUGUUAGAAAAAAGUUCCAUCACCAUCGAGGUAUUAUAAUAUACAGCUGAGGAAAAAAAAAACUUGAGAAAUAAAAGAUACAAGAAAACUGUGAUGUCUUUGAGUUGUGUAUAGAUCUACCCUUAAAACAAGAAUGACUCGUAAGAAAAGAUUGUUUUAAGAAAAGUUCUUUUUAUUUAAACUCUUGGUAAAAUAACUGUUUAAAAGAAACUUUAAAAGUGAUCCAAAAGCUAUGUUAAAUGAUUGUCAAACACUCCAAUUUUUUUUCAAAAUGAUUUAUUUUCAAAAUUAAACACGUGAAAAGUUUAACCAGAAACACCCUAAGAAAAUUCCACAGUGAUGGUAAAAUGCACAGACAGCCAUCUAGUUCAUAAAAUUAUCAAUCAGGGAAGCAUACCCGGUUCUUCUGCAUUUCCAUGAUUUCUGCCUGCAGCAACCACACAAAAUAAUGAUUGAGAAUUGGUGAUCCCCUUCAUUUGAUAAACAAGCUCACUGUUUUGAGCUAGAGACACUUAUUUACCUGUUUCUGCCGGAGUUCUUGGUUCUCCUCUUUUAGCUUUGCAACUUCUGCUUCCAAUUCCAUUGUGUAAGCCUAGUGGUAGCGAAGAAAAAGUCAUGGACCAAUGAAUAUCCAUCAAAUAUAAAACUAGCAUCAAUCUCGAGUUACAAAUUUCAGCAUGAUGUGUGGUUCAAAAAAUUGUAUCAUAGCUCAAAACAUCAUAUAGACUCGGUGAAAUUUGGUAAUGUAGCACUCACGAAGAAAUAAUCUAGGGGCAGAAGGUUAGAGUCUUGCAGAUUCAUUUUUUCAUAACCACAGGCAUUUGACCAGUUUGCAUACACAUCUCAACUAAACGGGCAUACAAAGUAUUUAGUAUUUUUGAUAGAUGGCCACUAGUUUAAACUUACAAGUUAAAAGACAGUCCUAAACACCUUGUAUUGUAACAAAACUAUGUGGCCCAGUUUUUCCUCUUAGGAUGCCUUCAGAUAUCAAAUGCUUUUAAUCCUAUAUUUAUAAUAUUUAGCAGCAAUAAAAUAUCACCCGAGUUUCAAGGAGAACCAUUCGGAAAUGUGUAAUGGCAGAUGUGCUUUUCUUCAUGGUCAUAACUACAUUUGUAAAAUGGGACGGCCAGAACUAAUAGAGAGAUAUAAACCAUGGUUUAGGUUUAUUAUACCAUUUACGAGCGCAUCUAAUAAAGAAUAGAUCAGCACAUGGAUAAAGCAUAUUGUAUGACAUGCUUAAGUAAUUGAGGAUACAAAUGCAUCAAACAGUUGGUUUCACACAAUGUUUUUUAGUGUAACUAAGCAUUUUUCACAAUCCAGGUGCACAUGACAACAUAGAAGCAAGUCAACAAGAACUCAAGUUAUAUGGUUUAGAACAGUUAACGCAGUUAGGGUGAACAUCAGAUCACCUGCUUUCGCGCCCGAGAUCUUGCAGCGGACUCUCUGUUUUUAAUCAUUCUCCGUUGCCUCCUCUCAACAACUUUGUCGACAAUCCCAUUACCUCUCCUCCCCCUGAUUCCACCAUUAAGGGCGUAAGGCACAGGAGACACUGAAGAGGUAUCACCAUUGCUCUUUCCGAUUCCAUCAGAGGAUAGUUGGUUCCCUGGCGAUUCUGUGGCAAUAGGUAACGGAGCAGCUGCUAUAUUGACCACUCCCAUUCUUCCACCCUGCAGUGCGGUGCCUUGCAUCAAAUUUGUAUUCAGCCCUUGAUCUGCAAUCCCCAUAAUUCCACCUCUAAUUCCUGGACUAGCCAGCUGAGCAUCACUGGGUAAAGUCAACUGAGAUCCAUAUGUCAAAGUCGCCUGCUUUGGAAAUAUUGGCUGCGGCUGAUGUGCUCGAACUCCAUUGGCAUUCAGCGAUAAGUUGGACGAUUGAAUCUGAAUGUGAUUGUUAUUCUCAGGAACUUUCGGCUGCCGCUGAAAAGCAAUUCCAAAACCGGUGUUAUUGCCGAAGAACCCUCCAUUGUUGGGGUUUGCAGUUACUUGAGUAUCCUCUCUCACCACUCCAGCUCUGAAUAAAAACUCUUCGAGGGUCACCUCCCCGAGAGUUUGCUGCCUCUGUUGCAAAUUAGGAGCAAGGGUAGCCCCGUCUUUAGCACUAGCAUGUUCAUUGAUUAUGUCCUUCCAUACCUCAUCCACCUUCUUCUGGCUGAGUGUUCGAGGCAGCGUCAAAGACCCCUGUCUCUGCAAAUAACCACUACUACCACCAGCACUACCACCCCCUUCUUUACCAACAGCAGCAGCAGAAGAUGCCAUUGUUUGCAUUUCUUCAGCGCUCCAAAUGUUCUUCAACAGCUCAUCCAUGUUCAUUGACCCAAAAUCCUUUCCUAUACUCCCCAUGCUCUGAAACUCAUCGAAGGUCAUUGAGUAGAUCGACGAUUGUCGCGCUAAUGGAUAGUUCGCCGGAGGUCUUCCACCUCCGCCUCCGUUCCCGCCAGAUGGGUCAUUCCCAAAAUCUUUGAAAUUCAUCUCCUCCCAAGUACCAAGGAAUCUGAUUCAAUAAGAACCAGUAUCGGAUCCAACCACCAAAAUAUCACUCCAAAUUCAAGAUCAUUCGACCUUGGAAACAAAAACCAAUCACUACAAGACGACUUCAAAAAACCUCACGCGCAAAGAUAACUCAAAAUCCGUAGAGUUUAGCUUGGCUAUUCCAUUCAAACCAAAGUGUUCCCCCAAUUAAGAGCUCAUACGAAUAGAACUCCUCAAAACAGAUUCCAUCAAACCAGAGAACACAGAGAUUUCAAAACCCAACAAAAAAAAAAAAAAAAAACCCACUGCUAAAAUUCAAGUUCCCACAAAAUUUACACAGAAAACUCCAUAAACAACAAAUUCAGAAAGCAAGAAGUGAUCGAAAUGCAAUCCAAACAACAGAAAUCAAGCAAGAAAAAUUGAUGAAAAACGCAAUCCAAAAAGAAAAAAAAAAAAAAACAAAAGAACAAAGGGGACCCGAAAUUGACGUAUAUAAUACUUUAAAAAUUGUUUAUAAAAAUUCCUGCUGUGAAUUACACUUAAAAUAAUUUUGUUUGUUGUUCUUGUUUUUAUUUCUGGUGGCUAAUUUGGCUGCGUACCUUCUUCUUCUCUAUAUUAGGGCUUUGUGAAGGCGCCAAGUGUCGGCUGUCGCUUCCCAUCUAUCUCCAUAUUUUAUUAUUAUUAUUAUUAUUAUUCAUUUUCUUUUCUCACUGAUUUUCUUUUCUUUUAAAUAUUAGGUUUGAAGACAAUGAACGAUCUUUGCGUUUAAAUUACUUUAAAUACUUUGAAUAUGGAUUUAAAAUAAAUGGAAAAGUGGGCCACCUCUCCUCCAAGAUGAUGAGCCUUGACGUGAAAAUCAUCCAAUUGUUUCUCGCAACGUGUGUUCAUAUCCACCGUCCACGUUUUUUGGCAUUGCAAUCCCUCUCCCCCUUUUUUCUUUCUUUCUCAGUGGGUAUGCUUCGUACAGUGCACAUGAUCCACUCGAGAAUAAAUCCCCUACUCCUCACACCACUCCAUGACUUUCAUGCUCCCCACCCACACCCACUCUUUCACUCUCCUUUUUAACUUUAUCCUUUCUUUUAUUCAUUUUAUGCCCUAAAUUUCCCUCUCUUUAAUCUCAACAAAAUAUAUGUCUAACUAAACUACUCCAAUUAAUGCGUGGAGUUUAUGAUACAAACGAAAGAGAUUGAUUGUAUUUAUAAAAUAAUGAAUAAGUUAUUUCAUUGUACUAAUUCAAAUCAACAUUUUGAAUGGUUGCCAACGCAUUUUAUUUUUUGAGAUGGGAAAUUGAAAUUGUGUGCACCCAUAAAGUAGUGUUAAAAAGUAUAGUUAAAAGAAUAAAAUAUAGAAAAGAAAGGUUGAUGGUAAUAGUAUAUAUAAUUCAAAUGUGGGGUUUUAAUGUUGCGUGGAAGAGUAUGGUUGGUUAAAAUAUAAUAAUGGGAAAGGGAAGGGAAUGGUGUGUGUUAGUUUACGUGAUUAUUUUUGUCCAUUUGUGCGUUUGGAGAUCCCGAUAAGCUUAAAAACCCUAAAUAAAUAAAAACCCACGCAGUAACGCACACUUUCCUCUAAAUUCCAAAUCCUUUAAAUCUUCUCCUCUCUUUCUUUAUAUAUACUUUCUCGUUCACAUACAAAAAUACUUACUUUCAAAUUCAUUAAAUUUGUAUACAGAUAAUAUGAAAUUAUUAAUUCUAUAAAUUAAUUUCACUUUAUCAUAAAUUUCAUUAGUAUUUUGUUGCAACUCAAACAAAUUUCUAUGACAUUAGAGGAAGAGCUCUCCAACUAUUUUAUUGAAUGAAUAUGUUUUAGUUGUGACUUAAUUUGGCUAACAAUCUCAUAAUAUCCAUCAAACAUGCAGUUGAUGAACUUGACAACUAUACUAUAUAUAGUAAAAAAUGUCAACCAUUAUUUUUUCAUAUUAAAUUCUUUAGUUUAAAUCAUACAUUCAUUUUUAUAUUUGUAAGUUUAUAUCAUUUUAACUACUUUUCCUCUUAAAACAUCAAAUUUGGAUUUUUUUUUUUAUCAAAUUUUAAAAAAUUACAAAUUUGGUAUGUUUUCUCUUAAGAACCUACCUUCAAGUCCUUCAUAUUCUUCUUCACCCCAUUUAUGUCUCUCGUAGAAAUUAAAUUUGGAUUGAAACAUGUUUUAAUCGAACAAAGAACCAUGUCAGUGUUUAGAAACAUAGCAAAUUAAAAUGGAUGAAAACAAAAACAAAAGCCUCCAUUUUAGCUAAAUAAAAACUUGGUAUUAGAUCUCCCAAAAUUGAUAAUUGUUUUUGUAGAAUAUUACAAAUUUAUGCAUUAAAUAAGUUAUACAGUGGGAAUUAGAAGAUUUAGUUUAUAUUUUAUUUUGAUAUGUAAACCUCCAUAAGGUAAAAGUUAAUGAUACGUAGAAUAAUUAAACUAAAAACCAUCCAUCCAUCUUGAUUCUAAUAUAGAUAUAGCUAAAAGAAACUAUCCUACUGUACUACAUUAAUUGUGAAUAUAUAAUGAGUUUGAUACUUAUGACAAACCAUUACAUUACUAUAGACAUAUUGAAAACAAUAUAUUAUGUAUUUGUUUGUUUAAAUAAUUAACAACACUAACCAAUAGUGAAUUAUGAGUUAAAACAAAAAAGAAGGGGGUUAGUGGGUUGAAGCAUAGGAGUAGGAAAGUGAAAUUAAUUAGUUGGGAAAACUAGAAUUAGGAAUGAGAUUAAUAAUAAAAAGAGUGAUAAGUUAAUGAUUGGAUGAAUGGGAAAGAUGAUAUAUAUAUAUAUAUAUAAAGAAAGGGUUUGAAGGGAAGAAAAAAUAAAUUAAAAAGAAAGAAGCAUCUUCCAACCUAACUUCUAUCUGUAAAUGUGCAUUGGGUCCUACCUCCCACCUAUUAAUUAAAUAUUUAUUCAAUUACUCUUUUUCUUUUUUCUUUUUUCCUUUUCUAAAUAGUAAUAAUAAUAAAGAAAAAAAGGAUUCAUAAUGAAUGGAUUAAGUUGUUACUUACACGACAGUGAAUUGGGGGAAAAGAAAGCAACGUGGCAGGCAUUAAUUGGUCUGUGAGGCUGUCUACAUUUGGUAUGAAAAGGGAAAGUAAUAAGAAGUCAAAUAUUUAUAAGUAUUUGCUAAAAAACCCUCUAAUGCUCUUUCACCUUUCCAUUCCAUUCCCACCCUUUAUUUUCUAAUUAACAAAUUAAUUUAUUAUUAUUAUAUAUAUAAAUAUAUAUUUGUGUGUGGUAAUAAAUUACUGUUUAUUAAAUGGUGAAAAUAUUCUUAUUAUUAUCUUGUUUAUUUAAUACAAUCAAUAAAUUAAUAAGUUAAACAUAAGAUUGUGACACAUAUUUUGAUUAGUGUCAAAAUCAUUAUGCAAAGGUAUAUAAUAACAACCACCAUUUCAACUAAUAUGUGUUUCUUUUUUUAAUGAGGAAAAAGGCAAACUUUUCUCUCUAAAAGGAAGAUUUUCGAAAUUCCGUUGGUUAACGGAACCAACAAAACGGGAUAUUUCAGUUUUACCGAACAAUUCGGCCUGCUUUUAAUUGGAUUACCAUUUAUUUAAAAACUUUUGGGCUUUUAUGGGCCUCUCUAUUCAUAACGGAAAUUGACACCAAUACUAUCAAAAAUUCACAAUAUCAUCCAUCCUUUGUUCUUAAUAAUUUGUAUAUACACCUAAUAAGUUCUCUCUGUGUAACAAAAAUUAAUAGGUUUUAGAUUAUAUGUGAUUUGUCAAUUAAUAGGAUUCACCUAUUCUGAUUAUUCAUCGUGUAGCUGUUAAAUUAAAGUUAAUAAUAGCUUAAUUAUUAACGAUUGAAAAACUAUUUAGUCAAAUGAACGUUACAUUUUCUGAAUUGGUGGGAUGAGAUUAUAUCAAUUAACAACAAAAUGCAACAAUUUCCAUGCAUGCAUGUCUACUUUUGGCAAUCUUAACUACAUAAAAUAUAUUGAAAGCUUUGAUUAGUUGUAAUUAAUUAAUUUAAUCAAAUCUUCCACAGCUCAAACAAUAAUACUUGUACCUCGAACUCACCAUCAACGAAAGACCAACAUAUAUAGAACGAGAAGAACGAAUUAAUUUCUACGUAACCUUUUUUAAAUUACAAAAAAACUUUAUAAUUAUUAUAAUUCGUAUUUUCUGGCAUGACUUUUCACUUAUUAUUUAGAUAUAGUUGCUGAGAUUUGUGUCUUGGAGCCCUUUGUAUUAUUCCUUAACCCAAAUUUGAAGGCAUGCAUGGCUAAUUUGAGCAAGAAAAUAAAAUUUAAAACAUUGGUUGAGAAGCUCUCAUAGUUUACUUCCCUUUCUUUAAUUACAAGAAAUAAAUCGUAAGCAAUCUUAGCGUAGGUUAUUUUGUUCGGUAUUCUUUUCCAUGUAAAUAUAUUUGUAUAUUUUGUGUGUCAAUCACAUAGGCUUAAUUAUUAUUAUUUUCAAGCCUCAAAUAGAGCUUACAUUAAUUAAUGGACAAUGAUUGAUUGACUGACUUGAAAAGCUUUAUUCUGGCUAAGUCAAAUAUGUGAAAUAUGUAACUUUUCAUUAAGAUUCUAAUGUAUGAGAAAAAUACUAGAACAAAAAUUACAAAAAAGAUUAAUUAAGAGUAAUAGAAAAGGAGCUGUUGUAAUAAUGCAUGAGAGGAUGACCAUAAAAACAGCUAACAUCUUUCCAAAUCUUGGAAUUAUUGCUACUUACAUGAUGUUCUUAAAACUUGUAAUUUAUAUAAUGAUUUCAUAAGGUUUGUUUGCAUUGACUUGACAAAAAAUAUAUGUUUAAAAAUUAAUCUACACAUACAUACAAAAGGUUAGUUUAUCUCUCUUCCCUUAUUACUACUGUAUAAAAAUAUAUAGUUUGAUUAGUAAGCUAAAAUUGUUACAGAAACAUUGAAUGUUGUUUUCUAUUUUAAAAAAGACUGGACAUGGAAUGUUCUAUUAAUUAAAUAUUAUAUUGAGUUCAAAUUAAAUGAAAAAAAUAAUCUAAGAUUUUAUGAAUAAAAAACAAUUAUCUGGAGUACAGAAUUGGACGAAGCUUCCUCAAUAUGCAGUGAAACCUUUCUACAUACUUAAUUAAGUCGAAUGUAAUCUAUGAAAAUGAUUGAAAACUUUAUGAUUUAGGUUAAAGUAUGUAAACUUUGUGUGAUGUAAGUCUCUCAAAUUUAUUGGUUUGGACCUAGAACACUUGAUGUUAGACGCUACAAAUUUAUAAGUUUAACACACAUUUCAUUAAUCUAAAUUUCGAACAUCGUACAUAUUUAUAGAUUCGUAAAUUUUCACUUUUUAUUAGUUGGAUAGAUUUUGUACUCGAUGAAUUUGUAUUAUAAAAUUUAAAACUAGGCAUGAGUCUCGUACAAGUUCUACUCCUAUUAGAUACUAUAUAUAUAUAUAUAUUAAAGUUUGUUAUAAUUUUUUAAAUAGGUUUAAAAAAUUAAACUUUAUGUUUUAUGAGAAAUUCAUUAUAGUUUUUAUGAAUAUGUUUGAAAUUUAUUGGAUACAAAGUUGUUGGUAGGUUAUAUAUAUAUAUCUAUUAUUAAAAAAUUUCCAAGACAUUGUUAGUUUAAAAAAUAAAAGAUACUAUUUCCAAAAUUUAAAAACUAUUUAUGUUAAUAUAAGUAUGUAUGUACGUAUGCAUAGAGGUCAUUUGCUUUAUACUUUUAUUGUUUGUGUGGAAGAAUUGCCUAAGGAAUUUAUAGUUGCUUAAUUAAAUGCAAUAAUGGUUCAAUCAACUACAACUUUUCUUAGUUUAAAAUAUGUGUGUGUGUGUGAGACGGUCAUGAAAGAGAAAGGUAAAAUUCCUAUCUUUGUAUGAUAAUCUAUAUGUUUAGUUGAUCAUCCAUAACCUAAAUUCGUUACUAAUUUUUCUUUUCAAAAGUUCUUAGUCUUAUUGAUUCAUCCCUAAAUAUUUUUAGUUUUCUUUGUAAGUUUUUAUUAGAGAGAUGAGAAUCAUGACUUACCAUCUUGACUUAUUUUUUUUUAAUCUAAAAAGACAUCUUUCCCGUUUCUAUUUUCAAAAUUUCUUUCUUUUCAAUAUUUGUAAAUAUAGCAAAAAUAAAAUUGAAACUAUCUACAAAAUAUAACAAAAAAAAAAAAAAUCAAAUUUGCUUAAGUCAAUUUAGUUUUCUUUCUACGGUAAAUAGUUUCAAUAUUUUUUUUAAAAUUUGUGUUUAUUGGAAAAGAAAUUUUGUAGAGGAGUGAAGGGAGAAAUCUUCAAUGAUGGACGAUCUCGAAAUUGGUUUUGUAGACAAUGAACAUCACCUAAGAAUUCAUUUGUAUUGAUUUGAGAAAAAAUAAUAUUUUUUAAAAAAAGACUCGAUGUUAAUUUAGUAUCUCAAACUUACAACUAAGAACUAAGUUUGUGGAAAAUUUAGUAAGUAUGAUUGAAAAACGGUUUGUUUCAGAUUGAUUUUAGAAAUCAACCUAAGCAAAUUAAACUAUUCACGUAAAAAAAUGUGAACUCCAAAUUUAUUAUAUAUUUUUGUCAAACAACUAAAAAAUUGUCACGCCAUAGAUAUAAAAUGUACAUUUUUUCUUUGGAAGAAAACAAGAACUCCACAUAUAGGGAAAAAGAUUACAUUUUUUAAGAGAAAAAUUGGGAGAGAGAAAAAAACAAAUUUUGUAAAGCAGAAUUCUUGCUUAGACUACGCUACAAAUUUUUUUACAACCAUCAUUUUCUUUUCUCUCUUUUGUUUUUGGAAAACGAAAGUCUCUCUUCUUCAUGCAUCAAACUGUAACUUACAUUGUAAUAUACGAUCUGUUAGCAUAUGAAAUAUCAUUGGCAGAUUCUUAGUUCAUCCAUAUACCUACCUGUGUAUAUACUCCAGUCCCUCUUCUUUCAAGUUGACUUCGAAAAAGACUAAAUAAAUGUUAAUACAAAGGAAAGUGUUUGGAAGUUUCACAUUAUACAUAUCCCCUUCUUGUUUUUAAUUAACAACCACUGUCAAGCUGCAGAAAUUUGCAUAGAUUUGCUUUCAUUCACACCCCCUCCCGACUCUCUUUCUUUCAUCAAAGUCAUUAAAUUUGAAACUUUCAAGUUGAAAUCAAAUACUUCAAUCUCAAGAAAUGACUAAUUCUUUAAUUUAAUUGUUUUUACAUGACUUUCAUUAUUUCUAUAUAUGUGUAUUAUUAUAAUUAAUUAUAUGUCAAUUUCACAGCUUCCAUAGCUAAAUUGACUUCCAUUUUGAUUCAGUCAAUCUUUCCCAUUAGUUCUAUAAAUCAAAUCAUACCAUUCACUGAUCCAAUCUGAUCGAUCUCCCCACACACUUUUACUGGGAAAAAAAUAAGAUUAAAAAUGGCAAAAUUUGUUCAUCCUUAUAGCUUUUGCAGUCUUUUCUUCUUUCUUGGAUUAUUGCUCUUGUUGGGCUCAUCUCAAGCUUAUACAAGCAAAAAUGAAUUCAAAUGUAAAACGAAUUUGGCAACUAAGAGCACAAGAAUUGGAGUGGUUUUUGACAGUGGGUCUCAAAUUGGGAAGCAACAGAUUGUGGCAAUGAAAAUGGCUUUAAGACGUUUUCAUUUUUCUUCAUGUGCGAACAGCUUGGAGCUUCUCCUUCAUGAUUCUCAUGCCAAUUUCAACAAUUCAUAUGCUUCUUCUUCUGGUAAUAAUUAAUUUCUUCAUUUCUUUUUGAAGUUUAGUUUCCUUUACAUACUGCUCAUAAUUACUAGAAAAUGCUAGUUACAUUAUGUAUUAUAUAUAUCAUCCUUUACUCUUUCUAGCCUUGCUUUUUCUUAAGCUGGGCUUCCUUCUAAAGAAUUAUUCAUAUUUCACUAGUGAUAUUUUAAUGGUAAAUUUGAGAGGUUUCAAAGGGGCACAGUACAUUAUUUUACAUUUGCAAUUACAAUUUGGUUCUCUCUUUUGAUAAUGGUAACAAUUUAGUUGUUCUUAUACUUAAUUAAUUAAACAGUCUCUAUUAUAUGGAGAUUUUUGUAAGAUUUAAUGGGGUUUUCUACUUGAUCAAUAAAUGUAGUUGAUGACGAAAAUAAAGUGUUUGAAAUUAAACUUCAAAAAUGAAAUAAUUACAUAAUAAAAAUUACACCCUUUACGUGAGUUAAUUGCUAAGCACUGAUAUUUAUAAAUUAAACUGAGAUGCUUCUUCUAUAAUAACGAAGAAAUCAAAGUGGUUUUUCCAUCCUUUAAAUUUCAUUUUCUAAAACUUUAGAAUCAGUAAGAAUGAUUUCAUCUCAAAGUUUUGAAAAUAUCUUAUCUUGUUAAAAAAGAUACAUAAGUUUUUUGUUGAGGUCAUAUUCAAGAUGAUGAGAUGUUGCAACGUUUUAAACAAUAUAUAAGUUAUCUUAUUCUGCACCAAUAAAUUAUAAGAUAAAACGACAUAUAUAUAUAUAUAUUUAAUCUAAUUUUAAUUCUAAAAUUAUAACAGAUAGUACUAUUAUUUUGGGUAUAAUUAUGUGAUCAGAUGAAAGCAAAAAUGAAAAUUAUUAAUAAAGUAACAUAUUACGUGGAAAGAAAAAAACUCCAUCUAUGUAAAGAAAAUCAUGGAUAUAUCUAAAAGAGAAGUACUUGGACGGCUAGAAUAAUUACACGAUUUUCUAAUUGAAAUUGACUCUUCAUUUAAAUAAUUAAUAUCUGCAAAUAGAAAGAAAAUCAUCAAGUGGGGGCAUAAAAAUCUACAUAAUAUUUAAUAACCUUAGAUUUUUUCAAAAUGAUUUUUUUAGUACAUCACAUAUCAAGUUGUUAACAUUGCUUCUUUUAUCAUGUUAAUUACGUCACAGUUAUUAAUUCUUUUCUUAUAUAUUUUAUGUAAGUCAAUCGAUUGGAUGAUGUAAAGAAAAAGUAAAAUGGUAACUUCUUUUCCACAGCUUUGGAUUUGAUUACGAAGGGAGAAGUCAAAGCAAUUGUUGGAUUAGUGAAAAAACAAGAUUUGACUGUCAUCUCUGACCAUGAAAUUUCUGUCGAAAUUCCCAUUGUUUCAACCUCACAUGAACAAUUACAAACACUAAGAAUCCCAUAUUUGAUUCAAAUGGCCAAUACUGACAAUGAUAUCACCUACCCCAUUCACUGUAUUGCUUCAAUUCUCUCCCAUUUUCAAUGCCUCCCGAAGGUUACGAUCUUUUAUCAAAUCACAAACGAUCCUUCACUCUCACUCCAUCGUUUCUUCGAUUCGUUUUUACCUGCUGGCGUAGAGGUUGAGCACCGUCUCGCUCUCUCGUCGGCUUCCAAUCAAGAAAUAGUGAUUGAACAGGAAUUGACAAGGCUUAUGAACAACCAAAGGAGUAGGAAUUUUAUAAUUACACAGCUUUCUCUGGAGCUGGUUGAUCUUCUUCUAACAAAAGCAAAGAAAUUGAACAUGGUUGGAAAUGGGUAUACUUGGAUUAUCUCACAUGAAGUUUUUGACCUAAUUUCCUAUUUAGAUUCUUCUUCUUCCCUAUUGAGCAAAAUGGAAGGGGUUAUUGGGUUUGGUACUUAUUUCAAUGACUCAAGAAAGUCCUUUAAAAGCUUUGAAACAAAGUUUAAGAAGAUUUAUAGAUUAGAAUAUCCGCAAGAAGAAGAGCCAACAAAAGCAAGUAUCUUUGCCAUUCGAGCUUAUGAUGCAGCUCGUAACAUUAUCAGAGCCAUGGAAAGGUUGGGAGAUGAAAAUUUAAGAUCAAGUAGUAAACAACUAAUGGAUAAAAUUUUAGAGAGCAAUUUUGAAGGGGUUAGUGGAAUGGUGAAAUUCUCCAAGAAAAAUGGGAUGUUAAUAUCUGAAUCACCAAACUUCAAAAUCGUUAAAGUGGUGGAUCAAACCUACAAAGAGGUGGGUUUUUGGACACCCAACUUAGGUUUUGUUGAGAAUUAUGUGGAAAUUAUUAGUAAAACCACCACUAAAUUAGUUAAACACAGCAAGGGAAAUUUGAGAAAAAAUUUGAGUGUUGGAGAUUUGUCAAGGCCAAAGACAUCAUCGAGUGAAAAUUUCGAUAAUCAUCAUAGCAAAAAAAAGUUCAAAUUUGCAGUUCCUGAGGACGCAGCAUGCAAAGAAUUUGUUAAAGUGAGCCAACAUUUGAAUGGAAAUUACAUCACUGGAUUUGCCGUUACCUUAUUUAGGGCUGUUAUGAAUAAUAUUAACAUGUCAGAAUUCUCGGACUAUGAAUUGGUUCCUCUUAAGGGCACAUACAAUAAGAUGAUAGAGGAUGUCUCCAAAAAGGUAACCAACUCAAAACCUUACACUAUAUAAAUAUAAUUCAUUAUUACUCUUAUUUAAUGAAAUGCAUUCGACGUAGUUAGUCUCGGGAGUUGUGAAAGUUUUAUUUUCUCUUUCAUAUUUUGUUUUUAACAUUUGGUUUCAGUUCUUUUUUUUAAAAAAUUGUGCUUAUGUUAUAUUGUCGUCGGUAGAUUUUUUUUGGAGCUGUUGGAGAUAUCGGUAUAUUAGCACAACGCUAUAAACAUGUGGAUUACACGGUAUCAUAUUUAGAGACAGAGAUUGUGAUGGUGGUGCAACAAAAAGAUGAUAAAUGGAAAAAGAUAUGGGCUUUCAUGGGGGCUUUUCAACUUACAAUGUGGCUCUUAAUACCCACAAUGCACCUUUUUAUUUCCUUCGUUAUUUGGUUGAUUGAACGCCAAAAUAACCCAGAGUUGGAGGGUGUUGGAAACAUGUUGUGGUUUUCUAUUUCCAUCGUAUUUUACAUGCACAGUAAGUUCUCUACUCAUCCACUUUCCCUUUUAAACUAUAACAUCGAUGAUAUUAAAUAAAAUUCAUUAAUGAUUUGAUCACAUUUGACCCAAUUGAACUAUUUGUGAAACAAUAGUUUUUGGAAUGUCAUAAUGCAGGAGAACCAGUGAAGAACGGGAUGGCUCGAUUGGUGUUAGGGCCAUGGUUGUUUGCGAUACUAGUGAUAACGGCAAGUUUCACUGCGAGUUUGGCCUCGAUGAUGACGAACUCUUGGCUUCGACCAUCAGUGCCGGAUGUCGAAACGCUGAGAAAGAUGGGCCAUAACGUAGGGUGCAACACCAACUCUUUCAUAUGCAGUUAUCUCGCUGAUACCCUAAAAUUUGACCCUGAAAAAAUAAAGAAGAUAGACUUGGUAGAUGAAUACCCAAAGGCAUUUGAGAGUGGUACCAUUAAGGCUGCUUUCUUCAUAAGCCCCCAUGCUAGGGUAUAUCUUGCAAAAAACUGCAAAGGGUACACCAAAGGAGUUUCCUCUUUCAAGCUAAGCGGCAUAGGCUUUGUGAGUUUGUUUUUAUUUGUCUCUAACUUACAAAAAAUCUGAAUUUUAUAUAUUUUUAGUCCCUCAAAUUUGGAAUGAUCGAACUGUAGGCUAUGGAAAAGGGGUCGGAGCUUGCUUCAAGGGUUUCGGCAUCAAUUGUGGAAUUAACGGAAACGAACGAGAUACCACAAUUCGAAUCCAACGUGCUUGCCUCUUUCAAUUGUUCUUCAAAUGGCAAAGGAGAUGGGGUGGGAUUAGGACCUGAGCCUUUCAUGGGCCUAUUCAUCAUUUGUGGCUCUAUUGCCUUUUUGGUUUUGAUAUAUAUGGCCUCUCAAUUCAUGAGAACGAUUCUGAAGUCCGUUUGAGCUUAGUUUUUCCUUUUCUUUCGUUUCUCCACCGUAUGUAAUCAAAAGUUACAUUCACAAUGUAUAUGUCUAUGUUAAGUUGAGCUAAACGAUUAUAAAUAAACCUUUUGCAAUUUUUUAAAUGAAAUAGUUAUCCAUAUAACAAUUAGAUUUAAAAUGACAAGUAUAUAACAAUAUCUAUUAAAGUUUCUAAAUAAUUAAAAUAUAUCACUCAUAUAUCAUGUUAGAAAUAUUGAUAGAUCAUAAUAACGUAAGUCUAUCGUUAAUAGAUUUUGUUACCUUUACAAUUUUUUUUAAAAAUAUUGUUAUAUGCUCAAUUACUAUUUCUAAAAUUGCCAUCAAUUAUACAUUUACGUUAAUAUUAAAUUUAUAAAAAUAUUAAAUAUUAAAAUAUUAAAGAAAAAUAUCAACAAAAGUCUAAUGAUGUGUUUGUAAUUUAUGUUUAGGUACUCCUAAGUUAUUCUAUCUACGUAUGUGUUUUUAGGAGUUUUAAAAAAUAGCAAAUGUGACCAAAUAUUUAAAACCGAUAGAAUUCAAAGUUUUGUAAAUAUUUAAAUUUAUUUUACUAUUUAAAAAAAAUAUUUUUUUUCUUAUAUAAACAUAGAAUCGUUUAGAUUUUUUAUAUAUAAAACUUUUCAAUUAUACCAUAAUUUUGUAAAUAAAUCAAUAACCAAUUAUUUUUUUUUUACUAAUUUUGUUUUAAAAGGCCCUAAUUGAAUAGUUAAUCACAUAGGAUGAACUUAGUAUUAAUACACCAUAGUUUAAAACAUAUUUUAAUUUAGGAAAGUAAAUAUUUUUAUAGCGACAAGACUUCAAUGAUCACUUGGUUCUUAGUUCUAAAUUGCCCCCAACACCCAAGCAAGGAUUCAAACCCUAGCUUGAGAACGAGGGCAGCAGCAACACAUAUCUAUAAACUUACCUACGCUAAGUCAAGACGAUCAAGGUUUGAUCUUUUCAACUUAAAUAUAUUAAAAUUUGCUAAAAUAAUAGUUUUGUUAAUGUUAUUCCUAGUACAUAUAUUAAAAUUAUAUAUAUUAGAAUUAGCUAGGAAAAUAUGUAUGCACCCAUUUGGGUCCAUGCAUGUCCAUCUCAGCCUUUCCCACAUUUCCAAAACCCCUCUUAAAUUAAUAGUUGACUUAGGAAGUUAAAUACAAAUUACGAAACCCCUUCGAAUUUUCCUUCUUUAAUUCUAUAUAUAAUUACUGUUAAAUUUACAGAAUUGACUCAUUACUAUGUUUUCAUUUGAAUUAUCUCUCACUCUCACUCAUUAUCUCUUAACAAGUCAUGAUUUUGAAAUUUUGACUAGUCUUUCAAGAUGUUCCAUCAAAAUUAUAUAUUAAAUUCAAGUCCGAAGAUUUUACGAAUUUUAUAUGAAUAAUUUCAAUGCAUAUAUUAAUUGAAUCCCAAAUUGGCAUUUAAUAAUACAGCUUACUAAAUGCUGAUGGAAUUUAGAAUUUUAUCUGCCCCAACUUCUCAUAUAAACUACUAUAAAAUAUCUCAAGUUCCACUGUGUAUGUAUCCUUCAUCAUAAACUGCUAUACUUGUAACUUGACUCAAAGAAGAAAAAAAAAUGGUUGGUAAUGGCUUCUGCUGUUCCUCCUUCUUUCUGGGGUUGGUGUUCUUGGUUCUGUUUUUGGGCUCAGAAGCUCAUAAGAACCAAAAAGAACUCAAUUAUUGUCAAAGAAACUUAGCAAUAAACAACGGAACUGCAAGAAUUGGAGUGGUUUUUGAUAGUGGGUCUCAAAUUGGGAAGCAACAAAUUGUGGCAAUUAAAAUGGGUUUAAGGGAUUUUCAUUUGGCUUCUUCUUCAUGUGCUAAGUUGGAGCUUCUCCUCCAUGAUUCUCAUCCAAACUCUACUUCAUCACCUUCUUCUAGUAAUCCCUCCUCCUUCAACUCUCUUUGAAUUAAUUACUUGAUUUAAUUUACAUGUUUCAUAACUUUUUUAAAAUUAAAUGAUUGUGCUUUUUGUCAUCAUUUUAAAACCGGUUUGAAUUCCAUUUCUCAGAUAUUUUAGAACACCUUUUCUACUAAAAUUAAAUAAUUUUAUCUAAGCAAAUCCUUAUCUAUUCAUUUCAUUGAUCACUUAAUCUACUUUCUAUAUAACUCAGUGUUUAAUUUAUUUACAAAUAGCUACCGAUUAUAGCUUGUAAAUUAUCCAUAGUGAAUUUUAAUGUUAUAUAUCAACAUUCUAAUUGUUACUGUAUUUUCACAAUCUUCAUAAUUAUCGUUUUUGUUAAAUUUGUACAUAUUGUUGAAUAAUCAAGAACCUUUACAAGUUAACAGUACACUAAAUUAAUGAAUAAAUAGACAGAAGAAAC